rnacentral:lncRNA from 1 species
AUGGACUUGUGGGUUGCCCUUCACCCUGAUCUUUCGUCGAGACCAGAGUACUAUGAUGCAAUAUUGAAUGGUCUCGAGAUCUUCAAGAUACAGAAUUAUGGAAAUAACAGUCUUAAUGGGCUCAACCGUCCCAUUCCAUCUGUUGAACCUGAUGGGAAGCCUGGUGGAAGAAACCCAAAGGUUGCUGCACCAGCAGCCAUUGGUGGAGCUGUUGGUGGAUUUGUUGUGCUACUGAUUGCCUCUAUUGGUGUGUGCAUCAUCUGCAGAAGAAAGAAGAAGGUAGCCAAGGAAUCUGGGAAAUCUGAUGAUGGUCACUGGACUCCUCUCACUGAUUACAGCAAGUCACAAUCAAACACCUCAGGAAAGACAACCAACACAGGGAGCCGCACAUCGACGUUGCCAUCUAAUCUUUGUCGUCAUUUCUCAUUUAGUGAAAUCCAGGCUGCCACCAAUAAUUUUGAUCAAACCUCACUCCUUGGCAAAGGUGGGUUUGGGAAUGUGUACCUUGGAGAGAUAGAUAGUGGCACAAAGGUGGCAAUCAAGCGUGGCAACCCAAUGUCUGAGCAGGGUGUUCAUGAGUUCCAGACUGAGAUUGAGAUGUUGUCAAAGCUCCGUCACCGCCACCUUGUGUCAUUGAUUGGGUAUUGUGAGGAUAUGAAUGAGAUGAUUUUAGUGUACGACUACAUGGCCAAUGGAACUCUUAGGGAGCACUUGUACAACAGCAAGAAGGCACCACUCUCAUGGAAGAGUCGGCUUGAGAUCUGCAUCGGUGCAGCUCGGGGUCUGCAUUACCUUCAUACAGGUGCAAAAUAUACCAUCAUACACCGAGACGUCAAGACCACCAAUAUUUUGUUGGAUGACAAGUUGAUUGCUAAGGUUUCUGACUUUGGCCUGUCGAAGACUGGUCCAAAUGUCGAUAACACUCAUGUGAGCACAGUUGUGAAGGGAAGCUUUGGAUACCUCGACCCUGAGUACUUCCGACGGCAGCAGCUCACUGAGAAAUCUGAUGUCUACUCGUUUGGGGUUGUGCUGUUUGAGGUCCUCUGCGCGCGCCCUGCCCUGAGCCCCUCACUUCCAAAGGAGCAAGUGAGCCUUGCCGAUUGGGCACUGCACUGCCAGAAGAAAGGCAUUCUUGGCCAGAUCAUCGACCCAUAUCUCCAAGGGAAAAUUUCUCUCCAAUGCUUCAUGAAAUUCGCAGAGACCGCAGAGAAGUGUGUGGCUGAUCACAGCAUUGACAGGCCAUCUAUGGCCGAUGUCCUCUGGAACCUUGAAUUUGCACUCCAGCUGCAGGAGAGUGCAGAGGACAACAGCAGCCUCACCAAUGGGACAUCAUCAAACACAUCACCACUUAUCGUGCCCAGGCUUCACUCGGAUGAACCAUCGACAGACACAACCACUACCACAUCAACCACAAUGAGCUUGACAGGGCAGAGCCUUGCAAGUAUGGAGUCAGACGGGCUGACCCCAAGCAGUGUCUUCUCACAGCUCAUGAAUCCAGGUGGCCGGUGAAAGCCAACUGUAAGCUAGAAUUGCAGUUAAUAUCUUCAGAUUUGCUAUGUAUUUCCAGCUUCGUGGUAUAUAUAACUAACUAGUAUAUUUAUCAUAUAGACAUGUUCAGCUCCUAUUAUAUAGAACCGGUAUAUAUUUUUGUCUAGUCGAAAUCACUGUAAUUGUAUGGCUAUUGCCAAGGUACUGUGUUUUCCAUUAUCAUUGAAAAGCUUUUAGAGAUACGAAUCUCACUUAAGGAUCGAUUUGUAAAAUUUACAUGUGCAAGCAAGGUGUCACUAUUUAGUUCCCCUGACAGCAAUCUCCUUUACUUAAUAGUACACGAAUCGGGAGACAUACAAGGUUAAAAUGGGUUACUGACUGCAACAUGUGGUCAAAUGGGCAACUGACUGCAACAUGUGGAAAUCUGUAUUUUCAUUUCUUAGACCAAAAUGCCUCUGUCGCAGAUACAAACUUAGUUCAGUGCAGUAUUUGACUAUCAGACCAUAGUAGUCAUAGCAAAACCUGUUGCUACCACCUUUCCAUCUGUCUGUGUUCAUGUGUAUAGUACACAGAGAGCCUGCAUUGUGAUCGUGUCCACUAUUAACUUGAGAGGCACUGCCAGAUGAAAUUAUCAGAACAUACUACAUGACACUGCAUUGUUAAAUUACCAUCUAGCAAUGCCUCAACUUCAAGUCCAUGAGCUUCUUGGUUGAAAAGGACAUGUCAAAAAGGGAAAGCAUGGUUAUUGAUAGUAGAAAUAUCAUAAUUAUGUAUUAUCCAUUUUGCAGCAAAUUGGAAAAGGUUUUCUUGUUUGUGCUAGCUGUUUUAUCUCCUCCAUGAUGAAAUCACGGAAUGAUGCAAACUGUUCCCACAAUUGCUUAAGAUCUAGGUCACUGAAUUUUAUAUAAAUAGCCCAUGAGGCUCUUUAUAGAUCAAUCUACAAUUUGCCCUAUAUUUUCAUAUUGUCACUGGUAUAGCGCUGCUGUCUCCACAGCUUCCGCCACACCGACCCCACCCAUGUCUGAUCUCUCUAUCAGUGGCUGGAAACCUGCGACCUGGAUUUUAGGGUUCAUGCAUGCCACCGACCACUGAUUGGGCUAGAGUUGUUACCGAUCCUUUUUACAUAGGAUUUUUCUCUAUUUUUUCCGAUCAUAAAUUUGUUUGCAUAAUCCUGCUGACCCGUCAGUACUCCACAAUUCGGACUUCGACCUCUCCAAUGCUUCCUAGCUUGCUUCAUUCUUUAUGCAAUACAAUCUUUGUAAACCUAGCUUGCUUUAUUCUUAAAUGAAUCAGCAGUACUGCUAGGUCGAUCCAGCCAUGGGCGCCCUAGCCAUGGUGAUAUUGUGCCGGGGUGCCACCUGAUCCAUGCGGUGGACAUAGGUUAUUCUUAUUUACUUAUUUAUUUUUAUCCUCUGUUAUCAUCUAAACUUACUCUAGAGUUCUGCGGUAUAAAGUUAAGCUAUUUUGUAUGCUUUCUUAUGCAAUCAACCGUUUUAAUUGAUUUGGCUCAAAUACAAUCUGAUCCAAUUACUUGGAUAGUUAUGUUCAACUUUUUAAUUAUGUCAUUUGUUAAAAAAAAUGCGAAUUGAUGGUCAUGUUCGAAUUGACAUAAGUCUUCUUUGGUUCCAUCCAUUAUAAAAAGCAUGUCAGAACCACGUAUCAAAUAAAAUUUACUGUAUGUUAUAUGUAACAGAAAAAAUACACUAAAAUGAAAUGAAGAAUCCAAUCACUAGAAGAAAAGUGGGUCAAUCGUCUAUAGUUAUUUUGCAUACUCUAUUUUGAGUAUCCCGACAUCACAAAUACUUGGAUUUUUUUGGCCUAUUUAGUUUGUCUGAAAUGUCAUAUUUAAUUGAUCGGAUAGUAGCAGUUACUUCAUCUUAUCUUUUUUUUUAAGUAAUGCAUGCAACCCAAGAUCCGUACUUUCUAAUAUUUGACCGACCUUGUUUUUUAAAUUCGUAGAUUACUAUAUAUAUAUACAAAUUAAUUUCAUGAGCAUAAAUAUUUUAAUAUACUCUGAGUCAAACCGUAGCGGUUGGAGAUCGUAUCAAGUCAAACCAUACUUUACAUUUUCAGAAAGAGGAAGUAUGCACUGCUUCUUUGUAAUCGAAUUUCUAUUUUGGUAAUUCGGUUGAGUGCAUUUUGCAUCGGGGACAAAUUAAUUGGAUUUUACUAUUACUAAUUGGAGGCUUCUUUUGAAACCUCCAGAUGAAUCCACCUAGGAUUCCUAGGUGAACACUUUAGAAAAAGAGAGAAAUUCUAAAAAUUCUUAAAAAAAAUAAAAUAUCCGGCCAUCAGUUAGUAAUAGUAAGAUUUUAAUAGCCGUUGGAUGUACUUGAUUUCUAAAAUUACCUACCAAUACUAUUAUUAAGAAUUAACAAAAAUAAUCCCAUAUAUCUAUGUCUAAAUACCCACGUAUGCCACUAUAGAAAAAUUUUAAUCUAAACGAUCUGCCGGUCACAUCUUACAUAAUAAAUCUCUUUGCUUGAAAUAAAAUAAAAAAUCAUCUAACUAUCAUGUCCUUCCGGUCACAUGUGACGCAAUUAAUCUCUUGCCCUUAAUCUCUCUCACAUUUCACUAAGCAGAGAAUUGGCUUUCGAUGCGCACCCUUUUGUCCCGGUUUAAAGUUGGUCCGGGAUAAAAGGUUUACCAACCGGGACUAAAGUUCGGUCACUGGUGGGGGGCUCACCAACCGGGACCUUUUAUCCCGGUUGCAAAGGCUAGUGGGAAAAAAAGACCCUGAGAGGCCUUUUAUCCCGGUUUGAAACACCAACCGGGAUAAAAGGGUCCCCAACGAGGUGACUGAAAGAGGACUAAAUCCCUCGAACCCUUUUAUCCCGGUUUGUAAUACCAACCGGGAUAAAAGGGGGUCUUUUAUCCUGGUUGGUGUUUCCAACCGGGAUAAAAGGGUCCCCACGAGUUAAUACAAAAGGAUAGCAUCCCCUAUAUAGUCCCAGUUGAGUGACCCGGGACAAAAGAUUCCCCUUGUCCCGGUUGGUUUAUCCCGUAUGGAUUUUCGGGAGAUUUGCACCCUACCAACCGGAACUAAAGGCCAAUUCUCUAUUAGUGUUUAAAUCAUAAAAAAGAGUCUAUCAUGAAAGGAUCUUUAGCUAAUACAAAUAACAAACAAACUAGAUACGUACGUGCAUAUAGAUAUGCCUGCCGAUCAGAUGUAGCGUAAUCUCUUGUCUUCAAUCUUUCUCCCAUAUUUAAAUCAUAAAACAAUCUAUCCUAAAGGGUUGUUAGCUAAUACAAUUAACAAAUUAGAUACUCUUACGUGUAUAUAAAAAGAGAGGUGCCGUCUUUCCCAAAACAACUCUUUUCAUUUGUGUACUGCUUCAUCAACUAGGGCCUGCUGCUACUUUCAUCAACAGAACUAGGCCCUGCUACUAUUCAACAGAAAGGUACGAUUAACUUGCCUUGAACUGUUAUUCCUAUUGAAGGUUCAAGUGCUACGGCCAGGGAACCUUUUAGACCUUUCAAAUCUCAAUUUGUUUAAUUUCCCUUCUACAAUUAGAUUAAUUUUUCAUGGCAUGUGUUACGCCUACUAAACCAUUUGUUUAUUGUUUGGCCUGCUACGUGCUAGGUAUAGAUGACUUCGGAUUGAUCAAAAUCCGUGAUAUUGUGCUCAUGAUCGAGUAGGAAGUUAAUUCAUCUUUCUCUCGUCCAAAACAGCUACAAAACUUUCAAUGAUUACAUGCAUGCUACAGAACUUCUGUUGAACUCAAAAUAUCUUCUAUAGUGCUCUUCCAAACAAUUUAAUUUGUAAUCAGAUAUUUAAAUACAUAUAUUUAAAUACAAAAUUUUAAAUUUGCAGUGACCAUGAAGUUAAAGUUAGAUUUUGGGGAGACAAAGUUGAGGAGGUUGAUGAUAGGACAAAAUCCCAUGUCAUCGCAAUAACAUCUACAACUGUGAGGAAAUUUAGCACUAAGUCAUCAUUUAAUAUGAGCUUUUCAAUAUUUUUCAUUCAACAAACUAACCUCCUAAGAAAUUAAAUUAUUGAUAUUUUCUCAAGGUAAUCAAUAUCAUCAACCAAUGCAACAAAAGUUUAUGUAGAUCUACCUAUUCCUGAAACUAAGGAUGCACACGACAGGUAAAACAAAUUUAGAUAUUUGUUUUCUAUUUAAGCUAUGUAGCAUGCACUCUAACAUGAUAAAUUCUUUUUUAUGAAAAAAGCUUGAUAAUAUUAUCAAAGAGAGAUUCAUAUUGAGAAUCAUCUAAAAGGGACAUUGGAAGACCAAAUACAGUACAACAGAAGAACUUUAGAAGAAUUGAAUUCGAUAUUAUUUGACAUAUCAAAUCAGGUAUGCGUUAGUUUGUUCAUUAUAGAUUAUCCUGUUUAAAGACUUACAUACAUACUGAUGGUAUUGUUUCUACUUACAGGAUAAGAUAUUUACCGUUGAAGCAACAAUAAAUGAAACUAAUGCAACAUUUUGGUUUGUACUACAUCUCAUGUAGUAGAGGCGAUUGUAAUAAGCAACUUGAAAAAAAGUUUGAUCACUACUAUUGCAAUAAAUAUGACAAGAGAGUUGAACCUAAAGCACAGUAAAUUAUUUAGUACUUUACAAUCUUAUUAUAGUACUCAUAUUUCUAAUAGGAGAAAAAUGUCUGCCGAUAUAAAAUUAAGCUUCAAAAAGGUGAUCCAACAGCAGUUGCAACUUGUGUAGCUUUUGACAAGGAAGCACAAAUGGUAAUUAAUGAAUCGGCAGAUAUGUGGACAAACAUUGAUUUUUCAGUUCAGAAUGACCGAGUACAACUUGACAAGUUUUUGACCUGAUUAUACUGUUCCAAAGAUACUUUUCCAACAGAAAAGAUCAGUUCAAGAAUUGACAUGCAAAGUGUCAAAAAGGUAACACAUUUUCAUUAUUACUAAGUAUUUUAUUGCACCUUUUCUUUUGAAUCCUUACUAUUUGAUAAGUUUACUGUAUCGAUGAAAUAAAUUCUGACCUAAAUUUAUUUUCUUUUUGAUUAUUUGAAGGAAGUAGAAGACAACUCAUACAAAGGCUGCACAAUAACUACUGAAAAUGAAGAGGUAGACACUGACGACUCUUUUACCAGAAAAAACAUUUGUAGAAGAAGACACAAGAGAUGGACACGAUGAAAAGAGGAUAAUAUUAUCGUCUCCUUUACAAGGGUGCACUAUUUACAGGGGACAAAACUACCAAUAUGCUAUGAUGAUAUGUCAUUCUAUUCAACACCUAAACUAUUUGUGUCAUUUAUGUGUAACGUCGUUGAGGAAGAAGAAGGUCAAAGACCAUUACCUAACAUCAACAGUACAGUGUUUCAAGAUAACAUGAAGAAAUUGACGAGAGAUAUAAAACGUGGACUACAAUGUAGGGAACCUAUUGCAGGUAAAUAUGAACAUCUCAUAUUCAAGUAUGCUGCUAAUUAUUCAUUUAUAGGUGAGCUAACAAUAUCCAUUUUCAAUGUAGAUAUCUACAUGAUUGAGUUCCAAAAGACGGGCCUCCCACAUGCUCAUAUACUUAAAUUUGAUUAAUAUCUGCUACAUUGGGAAGUACCGAGGAGACACAUGAAACAUAUUGAUUUUCCUUUUUUUAUUGUCAUUGUACUUAUUACCAAUUUUAAAGAAUAGUAUCCACUAUAAAAAAUGUAUUGGUCUCACUACCAAUCAUAACAACCAAUGCUCAUUAAUGUAUUAUGUACUAUUUAAAUUAUAUGAUGUCAUAAGCAUUAAGAAAAUAACACAUAAAAGAAAGCAAAAAAAUAGAAAAUAUUAUUGAUUGUUCUCCCUAAUCUAAAUAAUAACUUAUAAGUACUAGCCCGUGCGGAUGCACGGGUUGAUGGACUAGUUUGCUAAUGAAAAUCCAGCCCAGCCCGAAGCAUGGCCCAGCAAAAUGAUUGGAAACUUGCAAUGGAUUCCUUUUACCGGCGUUGGAAUCCUUACCUGAUCCGUCCCACGUGAAAUCUAGCGGCGCCGGUUACCAUCGCAGUGAUGCCUAGAAAACCCCCAUUGACCCCUGUGCCCUAGCAUCGAUCCCCCACAUUGCCGUCACGCCGACAACCCCCUCCGCGCCUUGCAACCGCCGUUCCGCCGAAAUCCCCUCCGCGCGUCGCAAUGCCAUCGAGGAAGAAGAAGCAGCAGGCCCAGAAGGCGGCGAAUGAAACGGUGAGCGCCAAGUGUUACUCGGCCAUGGAGGUGGAUCCCGCCAAAGAAGACCUCAGCCUCCUGGAGGCCCUCAGGUAUACCACUUGUACUACACAUCGAUCGCGCGUGCACCUGCAUCCUUUGUUCUGAUGAUUGUCCAGAAAAGAUUUAAUCUUUGUCAAACGAGCAAGGUAACUAAUAAGGCGAUCGAUGACGCGAGUGCGCGACAACACACGGCGUACCUGAUAGGCCAAUAUCUGUAGAUAAACAAAUCUUGGGGAUUGCUGGCGGCUUAAGAUUUGCGUAGAUCUGAGCUACGUUAACGAAACUCAUGAUGGAUUGAAACACGCGCGGUGCUGAUUAUGUGCUUGCAGCAUAUUAUUCCAUAGGUCUGAUUUUGCCCAUGUACGCCAUCGUUUUGGCCAACACUUAAUUGUUGGGCAGUGCAGUGAUUUUAUUAGGUCUCUGGUAGGUUUCCGGUCCUAGCAAUCACUGCUGCAUGCUAAUCAGGUUCAUAGUGCUUGAUCAAUAACCACGUGCCAUUGAUUCGAUUUGGUGUCGCUACAUAUGAAUGUACUUGGUGAUGGCCGUGUUAUAACAUGUAUACAAAUUGAUGGUUAAACUAAGAGAAGCUUUCACUAAUCUGAUCUUGCUUGAAUCAAUACAGAGAACCAUUGCAAAUUCCGUUUUUUUAGUGUUUGCAGACUAUAUUAUUCUGCAUAGGUUGCACUUGCACAUUACACUCUCCACGGAUUUUCUGUGGAUAAUCUUAUACUUGGUACCAAUUUUAAAUUGGUGCUCUGCUUUUUCAUAUUCAUGUUUGUGUGGUUCACCAUGCAGUAAUUUUUCAAUUAGGUUUUAUUGUCUGACUAUUUGAUGUAACUGUUGGCUCAAAUGGAUCAUUUUCUCAUUAACCUAAGGGCAAUAGCCCAAUUUUGGAACAUAUAUUGGUAGCUAAUAGAGCUACUAGACUUAACUAACAAUCUCCCCCUAAGUCUAGCAGCUUUUACGUAGAAAUGAAAGUAUAAUUGGUGAUAAGGUGCACGUAGGCACGAACCACCAAUGGAUACUAGUGCUCACAGGCAUUACUAGUAUAUUAUUCUAUCACCAUAAAGACUUAACCCUUCCUGAGUGUUGAUGCGGUUGCCUUGACGCUCCCUUCCUCAACAAACUUGAGCGGACUUACUAUCAAGCGUCCAUCUGCAUGUGCCAGGCCGCGUGUCCCUUAGUCUCAACAAAGGAGCGAGACUCACCGUUGUCGCGCGUCACGUAAAGGACAGCACUGGUCCCGUCCUGGCACCGGCUGGUCGCCGAGAAUGUCCGCCAUGGUGCUGUACCACAGUGGCUCGCCAUUGUGGUGCACGUCAACGCGGUCCUCAUCCUGAGAGAGCGGAGUGGCAAAACUCACCGAGCAGUCCAGUCAAGAGCUCGCCAUAGUCUGUGGAAACACAGGGACUAGGGUAGGCACGCUCGGCGAAGAAGAGCUGCCCACUCCCAUAGGUCCCACAGCCACCAUCCACCAUCUUGCCUUGCACCAUCUCCUUGGUGCUGAGCUGUGCCUCCUCCGCGUAGAGGACGUAGAGGUUGUUCUUCCCCUAUCCACCUUGGCAAGGAGGCGGCAGCGUCGAUCCCAGAUGCGGAGCACUCCGCUGUCGAUCUCCACGCGCGACCCGUUCUCAUCCAGCUGCCUGAGGCUAAUGAUCGAGUUCCUCAGUGUGGGAAUGUAGUAGACACCAGUGAGGAGCCGGUGCUUGCUAGUCUUGGCGAUGAGGAUGACAGAGCCAACGCCCUUGAACUCCACAGCCGAAGAGUUGCCAAACUUUACGGAGCUGCGCACGUCAAUGUUCAAGUCAGAGAAGUACUCCAGGCCCCCAAUCAUGUGGUGUGAGGCACCACUAUCCAGAAACCAAACAUCAAUCUUGUCGUCGCUGGAGGGAGACGUGUGCGCGCGGCUCGUUGAGGUGGAGGAGAGCCGUCGCGGUGCCGUGGGAAGAAGCUCGAUGGUCCCGUGAGGUAGGAACAAAGCCGGCUCUUCCUCCUCCUCCUCCAUAGCUUGCACAACAUGGGCCUAGCCGAGCCUCGGCUGGCGGCACUCCCUAGCCCGAUGGCCAGUCCUGCCAUAGUUGUAGCAAGUGUCAUCUUGUGCAGCCUCGUGCUCGCUGGCGGGCACUGCCCUGGGCGCCUCCUCGCGCCUUGGGUGCUGCUUGCCGUGCUUACGGCCGCCUAUUGAGAAAGAAGACUCCCCUCCUUCCGCUCCUUUUGGCAGGCGAGCCACCUCUCCUCGGUGAGGUGGAGUUGACCACCGAAGAUGAUCUCCCCACCAGAAGAAGGCUCGUCGCGGUCAUCGAACGCCUUGAGUCGUCCCAUCAGCUCCUUGAUCGACAACGUUGAGAGGUCGAGUAGCGUCUCGAUGGAGAUAGCGAGCUGGGUCGCAGCCGCUGCCGCCGCAUGUGCCUCCUCCAUGGCUAGGCGGCCUGCCUCAGCUGCACGCGCUGCCGCAGCCUCUACAGCCGCCGCGUGUGCUGCUCGAGCUGCAGCCACCUCUCGCACCUCGGUGGUGCGCAACGCCGCGCCGCGGCGCUGGUCCUCUCGCCUCACAGCCUCCGCCCGCCGCUCCUCCUCCUCAUGGGCUGCAGCCGCACGCCGUGCCCAUCGCCGCUCCACUGCUGCCUGCUCCUCGGCUGCAAUGCGCUACUCCUGCUCCUAACGCGCUGUGCCGCCGCCUCCUCCUCCUCCUCACGCCGCUCCUCCUUAGCCGUCGCCCUAUGGCGCCGCGCACUGCUCGUGGCCGAGCGGUGGGAGGAGGUACGGAAGGAGCCCCUGGAGCUGGUCGGGAGUGCCGGCACCACAUCGGCCACCAGAGCCGCGGCACCGCCCGUGGCCGGUGCUUUCCUGGAGCCAGGCAUGGGGAAGGUGAAGGAGAACCGGUUGGGGAAGAGGUCGAGGGAGAAGUCACGAGCUGCUCUGCCCACUGCUCUUGGCUGCCGCGCGCAUCCUGCUGCUGAGCCACCCCCGCUCGCUGCUGCUCCAGCUGCCACACGUUGCCUGCCUCGUCUACCCGCGCGUUGCGAGCCGCCGCCGCCACUGCCCUAGAGCUGCGCGAGCCCAAGCAGUCACCGCCUGCCUUUGAUUUGCGCCGUCCCGAUCCGUAGGGGAAGAGGCUGCGCGCCGCCACUUUGAUCCGCAGGGAAAGAGGCCGUCGACGUUGGAUCCACGCGCGGGACAGGUGGGGAAGGUGCUCCAUCAGCUGGAUCUGGCUGGGAGAGCGCGCGUUGCUGCUGUUGGAGUGGGCCCUACGGGCUAGGGUUUUGGGCUAGGACGAGAGGGUGGAGAACGGGAGAGGAGAGAGGGGGUGAGAAAGAUGGGCUCUAGAUACCAAUUGUUGGCCUAAAUGGAUCACUUUCUCAUUAACCCAAGAGCAAUAGCCCAGUUUCGGUAUAUAUAGGCUGCUAACCAAGAGGCAGCUAACCAAAGGAGUAAAAUAGGAAUAAAAGCUGAUGUAGCUACUAGAGUUAACUAACAGUUACUACCCCCAUAUUGUUUUAUUUGACAUUGGUUAGUUCAAAAAAGAAUUAACCAACGUUGGAGGGAGUAUUUAACUUGUUUAUUUGCUCAUUAUGCUCAUUUUUUUCCUUGUUUAUUUGUUGAUCUACUUUCUCUUAGGGAGAAGAACAAGGAUGCAUUGAGACAUGUCCUUGAUCCCAGUUGUGGACCCUUCAAAUCCAGCAAGCCCAAUACAGAUGAAACAGUCUGGUAUCUCACCAGUAGCUCUCAUCAUAUGACUGGUAAUCUUGACCUAUUGACUGAUGUUACUCCAGUGUAUGAUCGCUGGAUACGAAGCAUCCUGGGAAUAGGACCGCCAGCGCAAGUCCUGGCCCGUGGAUCAGUUAACAGCAAUGGCAUCAUUCUCCACGAUGUUUGGUUUGUUCCAGACAUCAACGUGAAUGUUGUAUCUGUCCCUCAACUCGGUUUAGAAUGGCAUAUGGAUGCAGAUGAUUGUUUGCUCAGACGUUCUGAUGACCAAGCAGUGGUGGGGACAGGUCAUUUGGGAACUGAUGGAUUGUAUGAGCUUGACUUCAUCAAUCUCAGUAGGUAAGUUGCCAGUACUUCAAUGAGUUAUUUUUCUAUCAGAAAUUUUCAUUUCGCUAUUCCGUUUUGCUGAAUUACUGAAUAUGCAUACUCUGAUCACCAAAGAGGACAAUUUUCUAGUUUUAUUUAUGAACUGAGGAUUAUACAUGUUCUCAGAUCUUCCAUUGUUAAUAUUGUUGACGAACUGAGGCAUAUGUUCAGCGUCUCCCAUUGUUUAAUAACCAAGCAAAUAUGACCCGCAUUGGUUGUUGUAUCAUUAUUUUAACUUUUUGUUUCAUAAUAUAUGCAAACUACCGACUCAUAGUUACUCCUUUUUUCUGACAUACGUAUCAGAGGACCUGUCUGGUACAUUGCUUCAAGUGUGAGUCAGCACAUGACAGGUGAUCUGCAUCUCCUCACUGACUUCAUCCCCAUCCGACCAAGUCAUACGGUUAAGACGCACACGGGGGCGAGGCUGCAGGUGUGCGGCAAGGGAUCAGUGAAAACUGGGCCAUUCAUGAUCCCUGACGUAUGCUAUGUCCCUGGCCUUGGUGAGAACAUCAUCUCGAUCAGCCAGCUCACUGAUACUGGUUUCACCCUCAUAUUUGGCGCUGAUAGAUUCGCCGUGAAGAAACUUUGCGAUGGAAAUUUAGUUGGCUAUGGCACCUAUGGCGGGAACCAGCUGUUUCACCUGGAUUCUCUCAAGAUCCCCACCAACAAGUGACAGUGUGCCUGUAUCUUGCUAUGAACCUACAGAUAUGAACUUGAACUCGCCUUAUACAUUCUUCACGUACGAGAGGUGGACAUAUGUUACGCCAGUAAACGUCUAUACUUCUGUUAUAUAUAUAUAUGCUCUUUUAAAGGCUGGGUCUUCCUGCAUGACCGUCUCUCUAAACUUUUAAUGCGAGUAACUGUUGGAUUUCCAAAUUGAUGCAUUUGAAGCUAAAUGUGUCUCCUUUCUGUAAGUUUGUGAAUCAUCUCUAGGAAAUGGAUGUUGGUUCGUGCAUAAUUUAAUGAUGAUUUACGUUGUCACAAUCAUAAUUUGGUGUUGUGGCAACAUGUUUGAAACUUAAAACAAUUUAGACUUUUGGCUGGCCCAAUGUGCCAGACACUUUAAAAAAUUCAAAUAUAUCUCAAAUCCAGUAGCAUCUGUCGACGAAUUCCUUCAUCUAAAAAAAGCAUAUGUCAACGAAGACUAGUUAUAAUUUGUGGACCUCUGGAUGAGAGUUGUAUGGUUCAACAUGUGAAUGGUAAUAGCUGUCCAGAUCAAAUACAGGGAUUAAGCAUGCGAAUGGUACUGACUGAUGUACUCCCUCCUUCAUCCCAAAUUAUAGAUCGUUUAGAUUUUUAACAUUGUAAGCACCAAAUUGUUAAUAAACAUAGUAAGCACCAAAUGGUUCCUUUCACAGUAAUUGCUCACCUUUACAUGCAAAUGUACUGGCAAAUGGCAAUGCAUCACGAGCCAAUAACCUUCUCUUUACUGCAAAGGCAGAUCAUGAAGGGGGAGCAAUCAUGAUUAUUUUGUAGUGGAAAUAUCGCAAUUCUACAUCCAUUUACAAUAAAUUCGAAAUGGUUAUCUUCCCUGCGCUACCUGCUUUUAUCUCCUCCAUGCUGAAUCUGCUACCUCGCGCCCACACGGCUAAUGCCAAUGCAACAAUGGGAGUUGUAACGUUUUUCAGAUAAUGGAUGACGUAUUUCUAGCUUUACAUCCUCAGGAUCACAGGAUGACUACAAUUAUUACACAAAAUGGCUUAGAGUGCCCACGUUGCCAUUGCUAGGGAUGAAAGCGGUCGGGAACGGUCGGGAAAACCCCUUAACCAUUCCUGCUACUGCAGGAAAGCCGGAUGGAAAAAACGAAAUUGAUAUUACAGGAUAUAAACGGAACAUUUCGAUCGGGAACAUGUCGAUUACGAUAGGGAAUCGAUAAGUCAAAACGGGAACACCAUGAUACAUAAUGACUCCAAACAGCUAAACAGUAAACACACAUACCACACCAUUACAACAUUACUUAGUCAUAGACACACGGCACACAACCAAGAGAUCCAGCUAGAGUUCCAGACAUACAUCAUGAUUCACAGAUGGCAAGUCCAAAUAAAAAAAAUAUAAAUGCCACAAUGGGCAGCAGCAGCCAACAAAACAAAGUUCAGAAAGGAUAGCAACUCAGUAGGCCCGCGAACUGUGGCAGAGGGGUGGGAGCCUGGCGUCCUAGCUGCCGAGGGUGACCGGCCAACGGCGGAGUGGCUAGGCUGCCUAGGGAACCGGCCGGUGGCAGUGGUGAUGGGGGCCUGGCCGCCAGGCCCCUGGGGCGACCGGUCGGCGGUGGCGGAGUGGCCUGACCGCGGCCUCCUUGGGCACCCAACUGGCGGCGGAGUAGCCUGGGCGCCUGGAGCUCGGAGGCCUGGGCCUGGGGGUGGGCGGCGGCGGCUGACGAAGAAGGUGACUUAGAAGAUCUCUCAUGGCCUCAAACUUGGAGAUGUGAGAAGAGAGAGAGAGAGAUUGGAGUGUGGCGGCAGCUUAGGAAUCGAUGGGGAGCUGGGGACGGGGAGGGGGUAGUCAUGACGUGGUGGCGUGGGGUGGCUGAGGCGGGCCUUAGGGUUCGAUGAUGGGCUAAAGUGCUAGGCCGAGCGAAGGAGUUGGCUGAGUUUGGGGACCGAAUACAUGAAACAACCGCAGGAUUUUUCCCGACCAAAUACGGGAACUGACGAUACGGUUGGGAAAAGGCCCCGACCGGUUCUGCUCCCGGUUUCACCGGUUUUUCCCAGUUUCCUAUUUUUCCUGUGAAAACAAUAUCUGAUCGGAAUCUACAAUAUACUUGGUGCCGGUCGGUACGGGAUUUUCCCGUCCUGUUUUCAUCCCCUAGCCAUUGCUCGAUACAUUGAAAUGAAUUGAAGCUUUGAUAGUUUCACCACUACAUCUGAUUCAUCUAAUUCAAUCUACUUGUGUUUUCUUGUUCUCUCUCUCUCGAAACAACUAUCUUGUCAUUAAUGAAUAAAUAGUUGUACUUGUCGUGCUACUAGUUGAUUGAGUGGCUGUUAAGUUCAUUUCUUAUUGCCUUUCUUUCUCUAGUCCUUUCUUUUUCUUUUCUUACAUCUUUUUUUCAAGGUUUUGAACCUUUUAUUAUUAAAUAGUAAUUCAAAAAGUUGUUUCUUACCGUAAUUCAUUGGAAAUACGCCACGGCACCACUAUCUCUUCUCUACAGCUUAAAAAACCACGAUGGCGAAAAAACAUCGUCGUACAAUCGCCUUCCGCUCGAUCGGUCUGCUGAGGCCCGAUGGGCAGCCGUCUACUGAUCUGUUGCCCCACCGUGCACAUUGCGUUUUACCGUUGAUCCUUGGGAUCAACCCUAGCCGUCCCUCAGCGAACACGCUAAUCCUGCCACCAUCCAGGUCCCUCCGAUAGAGCCCAGGCCAGGACGCCCUCCCUAUUUGCCUAACUAGAGGUCGCGACCUCUCCCCAUCUAAUACACCGCCGCCGCCGCUGCCAUCGAUCCCACCAUCACCUCCAACCCGCGCCGCCAUCCACCUCCUCCAACCCGAUGCUGAGGUAUCCUCGAGCCCGUGCCGCCGUCUCCUUCAUCCUGGGCAAGGAUCACCAUCAGAGAUGGGAAUUGGGAACAGGUGCUGUUGUCAAUGCCGUAUCCAUCCUGCAACCACAAGGAACCAAUAUAGAAGGGUUAGAUCUCCAGAUCAUCAUGUGAUUUUUGCCUCACCACUCCUGCCACUUCAAUUUCUCCUUGCAUUGUUUUGUAGUGUCAAAAUAGUGGUCGAUGGGUUUAAUUUGUACCUUCUUCAGAAGCUAAGGAAAGAUUACAUACUCCAGUGACAAAGGAAUUUCUAGGUGAGGAAUAAGAUGAAUACCAAUUUUAUCUCCUAGUUAGGUCAAGCUUUGCUUCUCCUAGAAAAUAUUUAUUUUGCAAUUCCUCCGAUCCUCUUGUUGUUCCCUAUGACUUCAUGGAAAAAUGCCAUGUAAACACUAUUUAUACCUCUCUUUUUAUGGGCAUCCAUCGUGUAAUUAUCUAUAAUGCGUGUUACCACUAGAAGAUAACAUAAUUAGAUACUUUUGAAAUGGUGCUAAUGUUGUUGAUAAAACAUUAGGGGUGGGAUGGCCUGAACUUACAAUGCAGCUCUUAUCGCCACCCCAAUCAAAAUGAUCAUAAUCAGCUGCAUACAAAAUAAAUCCAAGAUGAGAAGAAAGAAAGGUGAUCUUUCUCACAUUUUUUUAAACAAUGAGAAAAAAGAGACCCCGUCCUACCUCUUCCCUUAUAAUAAUCCUACCAGCAACAAUACGAUACUAGGACCAUGUGUCAAUCGACCAUCAUAUGUUUGAACCCCAACCUCAAGAUAACCUCUGAUCAAGCAUGCAUUUUAUUUAGUCUAACAUUGUUUACAAUGUUCCAACAAAAAUGUGAAUAUGAAAACACUAUAUUUGUUUAUACUCAUGUUAAACUACGUGGAUUUUGGUGAAAAUUUGACCAGCAGGGACAGCAUGAUGAAUAGCAAGUUUUCCCUAUGCGCCAAAUGAUUGUAUGGUGCUUCUGUCGGGGAACUAGUAGGCUACCCUAGUAAAACAAUUUUAAUCUACCGUUCAACCAGAAAACCUUGUAAGAGGGAGAUCAUGGAUCGUUACCACUAGAUGCGCAAGCGUUGUUGGAGAGGCUCGGUCCAACGUAGUUGCACGUCGAUGUAGAGGAAGUAGACGAUCACGUCUUGCUCCACGUCCAGCCGUCCAACACCACAGCAACAACAGUAGCACCUCCUUGCGGUAUCCACACGUACGGGGUUGGAGCACCGUGCGUGGUGUGCUAGCACCGGUGGCGCGGCCUAGGGUUUCGUGGAAGGAGAGUAGAGGCGGCGGCUAGGGUUUUGAUGUCCCUGCGCCCUAAGCCCUGCCUCUACUUAUAUGGACCCCGCUAAUGAGCUUUCACGUAAAGGCCCAUUAGUGGUCUAACCACUCUCGGAUCAAUAUCCAUAUGUCCCUCAAAUAUGGAUCAAAUCCAUAUUGUCCCUUGGGCACAUAUCCAACAAUCUCCCACUUGCACUAGAGACAAUCACAUAGGCAAGUUACUCCAACCCGUUAAGUGUGUGACCUGUUGGGUUCACAUGUGCACGAUAAUGACAUGAAAACUAUUUUUCAAAUCAUAAAUCAAUAGCAGCACCUAGCAACACAUAUUGACUCCCAUGCACACAUAAAGAUCAUAUCGGCUGAACCUUAGACAUACACAUGCACCGAUCCCUUUGCCUCACGAUAUCAGUCAAGCUCAGGGCGAGAUAUGUGCCAUCCCUGUGGUAGCUUGACCAUUGACUCGAACAAAUAGUGGAUUCAUCAUGACUAACUCUUAGUCAUCGUGAUUAACUUUUUAAUCACAUUGGCAUGGCCAUGCACUUCCAAAUCCAACUAUCUCGAGGGGCCAGAGAUAUCUCUCAUGUUAUUAGGUGGGACAAAUUCCAUCUUGAUUGGUCACAUCUCAUGACAUAUUUCAUAGCAUACCCGAAAGGUACCUUUUUAACUACCCAGUUAUGGAGCAGCGUUUGGUAACCCCUAAGUGUGCUACUACAUAUUCUAAGAAUCAAUGACAAUCUUAGGUCUAAGGAUCCUGAAGGUACAUCAUAUAAGACAACAACUGAUGGCACAAUAAAUAACAUCUCAGUAGAGUCUAUUAGUGGGUCAAUCCAACACCAUGUCCUCUAACAUGUGUCCACAUUAUUGAUUUGACAUCUCUAUGUCUAUGAUCUGUGAAAUGUGAUCAUCUAUCAAUACAUGUGCUAGUCCAUGAAUCAAUAUUGUCCCACAUAAUGAUAAAAAAACUAGGGAUCCUUUAAGAUAAUAUCAUAAGCGAACAAAGAAUUUCACAAACAAGUCAUGUACUCAUUGAUUAAUGCAAUGAUUAUUAUCCAAGGGACUGAAUAACAUUUUAUUCCAUUACACAUAAACAUGGACGCAAUACAAUCUCUCACAUACACUAGUCUUGAUCAUGCAAGUAUCUAAUACCCAUGGAUCUCAUAUGCGCCUCAUGCUUGGGCUGUGAGAGAGGCUUCGUCAACGGAUUAGCAAUGUUUAAAUCCGUGUGCACUUUACAGAUAUUCACAUCACCUCGAUAAACGAUGUACUGAAUGAGACGAUAAUGCUGUAGCAUGUGUUUGUUCUUCUAAUGCGAUCUAGGCUCCUUGGCUUGCGCAAUGGCACCACUAUUAUCACAAUAGAGGUCCACUAGGCUGGAGGCACUAGGAAUCACACCCAACUCAGAAACAAUUUUUCUGAUCCAAACAGCUUCCUUUGUAGCUUCAGAAGGGCUGCAAUGUAUUCGGCCUCCGUCAUGGAAUCAGCAACUGCAUCUUGCUUGGAACUCUUCCAGCGCACCGCACCUCCAUUGAGGCAAAACACAUAUCCAGAUUACGAUCUCGAAUCAUCUUUGUCGGUUUGUAAGAUAGCAUCAAUGUAACCACUUACAACGAGCUUUUUCUCACCUUCAUAGACUAGGAACAUAUCCUUAGUUCUUCUAAAGUACUUUAGGAUAUUCUUACUAGCCACCCAGUGAGCUUCUCCUAGAUUUGAUUGGUAUUUGCUUGCAGCACUAAGAGCAUAGGCUACAUCUGACCGCGUACAUAGCAUGGCAUACAUGAUAGAUCUAAUAGCAGAAGCAUAUGGGAUCGCUCUCAUCUUCUCUUGCUCAUCAGGUGUCGAGGGACACUGAGUCUUGCUAAGAGAAAUACCAUGUGACAUUGGUAAGAAACCUUUCUUGGAAUCCUGCAUAUUGAACCAUUUCAAUACCUUGUCAAUGUACGUGUCUUGGCUUAAUCCAAUUAGCCUUUUUGAUCUAUCUCUAUAGAUCUUAAUGCCCAAAAUGUAUGCUGCUUCUCCCAAAUCUUUCAUUGAGAAACUAUUUCUUAAUGAAGACUUGAUAGCUUUGAGCAUUGGAAUAUCAUUUCCGAUCAACAAUAUGUCAUCUACAUAAAGGACCAAAAAUACAAGUGCGUUCCCACUAGCCUUGUUGUAAACACAAGGCUCUUCUUCAUUUUUAGUGAAGCCAAACCCUUUGACUACUUCAUCAAAACAAAGAUUCCAACUCCGAGAUGCUUGCUUUAGUCCAUAAAUGGACUUUUGAAGUUUGCAUAUUUUCCUAGCAUUUUUUGGAUUGACAAAACCUUCAGGCUGUGUCAUGUACACAUCCUCACUUAGGUUUCCAUUAAGGAAAGUCAUUUUGACAUCCAUUUGCCAUAUCUCAUAAUCAUAGUAUGUGGCAAUUGCUAGGAGGAUCCAAAUAGACUUUAGCAUAGCAACUGGUGAAAAGGUCUCAUCAUAAUCAACACCUUGAAUUUGUUUAAAACCUUUCACCACCAAUCGUGCUUUAUAGAUGUGAACAUUUCCAUCCAUGUCUAUCUUUUUCUGAAAAGCCCACUUACACUCAAUGGUUUUUACACCAUCGGGUGGUUCAAUCAAGUUCCAAACUUGAUUUUCUCUCAUGGAUUCUAGUUCGGAUCUCAUGGCUCCAAGCUAUUUCUUAGAGUCUGGUCCCAUCAUUGCUUCCGUGUAUGUCUUAGGUUCAUCAUUGUCCAACAACAAUAUGUCGUGCUGCCCCGUGGUUAGGAGCAUGAACUUUACAGGUGCACGACGUGCCCAUUCAGAUCUACGUGGAGCUAGUGUCUCAACAACAAGUUCUACAACGUUUUGUAUAGCUUGUUCCAAUUGAGAUUCAGUAGGAGAAGAAACAUUUUCUGGUCUCUCAUGAAUUACUUCAAGUUGCACCAUCCUCCCACUUACUUUUCUUGAGAGAAACUCUUUCUCUAGAAAAACACCAUGUCGAGCAAAAAAUACUUUGCCCUCUUCCCGAUUGUAGAAAUAAUAUCCUUUGGUUCCCUAGGGUAUCCCACAAAGAAGCAUUUAUCAGACUUGGGAGAAAGCUUAUCAUACAUCAUACAUUUUACAUAAGCUUCACAACCCCAAAUCUUAAGAAAAGACAGUACGGGAUGCUUCCCGGUCCAUAUCUCAUAUGGUGUCUUCUUUACAGAUUUAGGUGGAACACUAUUAAGUGUGAAAGUAGCAGUUUCUAGAGCAUAUCCCCAAAAGGACAAUGGAAGAUCAAUUUGGCUCAUCAUAGACCUAACCAUGUCCAACAAGGUUCGGUUCCUCCAUUUAGAUACCCCAUUUAGUUGAGGCGUCCCGGGUGGAAUCCAUUGUUGAACAAUUCCACAUUGUUUUAGAUGAUCACCAAACUCAUGGCUCAAAUAUUCACCUUCAUGAUUAGAUCGUAGAGUUUUAAUUGCUUUAUCCAAUUGAUUUUGUACUUCAUUCUGAAAUUCUUUGAACUUUUCAUAGGAAUCAGACUUAUGCUUCAUUAAGUAGAUGUAACUAUAUCUACUACAGUCAUCAUAAAAGUAAUGAAGUACUGAAAUCCACCUCUGGCCAUGCAGCUCAUUGGUCCACAUACAUAUGUAUGCACAAGGGCCAACAACUCAUUCUCCCGUUCACUAUGUCCCGUAAAAGGCGUCUUAGUCAUUUUGCCAAGUAAACAAGAUUCGCAUGUAUCAAAAGAUUCAAAAUCAAAUGAGUGUAGAAGACCAUCUUUAUGGAGCUUCUCCAUACGUCUCUCAUUUAUAUGACCCAAAUGACAAUGCCAAGUGUAGGUGGGAUUCAAAUCAUUAGGUCAGAGCCUUUUAGCAUCAAUGUUAUAAAUUGGCUUAUUCUCAAGAUCUAGAUAAUAUAAUCCAUUCACCAAUGGAUAAUUACCAUAGAUAAUAUCAUUCAAAUAAAUGGAGCAACACUUGUUCCUUAUUAUGACCUCAUAACCAUCAACUUCCUCUAAACAUGAGGAGGAUAUAAUGUUUUUGCCCAAGGCAGGAAUGUAAUAACAAUUAUUUAAUUCUAAGGAGGAUAUAAUGUUUUUGCCCAAGGCAGGAAUGUAAUAACAAUUAUUUAAUUCUAAAACUAAUCCCGACGGUAAUGAAAGUGGAUAAGUCCCAACAGCCAAUGCAGCAACCUUUGCACCAUUGCCUACACGAGCAUCCACCUCGCCUCUUGCACACUUCCUUGUCCCUUUAAGCCCCUGCAACGAUUUGCAAGUAUGAAUCAUCGAUCUGGUAUCAAGUACCCAUGAAUCAUCAGGACGAGUAGCAAGAUUAAUUUCAAUAACAUUGAUAUCUGAAGUAGAAACAUCAACACUCUUCUUCUUCUUGAGCUCUUCCAAGUAAAGCUUGCAAUUCCUCUUCCAAUGGCCAGUCUUCUUGCUGUGAUGGCAAGGAUCACUUGCUCGCACCUUUGGCUUGGGAGUUGCUGCAACCUUAGGCUUAGGAUUUGAGAUCUCAUCUGAAGACUUAGCCUUAGGCUUGUGCUUUCUCUUUCUAUCCUUCUGCACCAUCAUCACAUGAUUUGCACCACUUUUCUUGAUGCUUUCCUUGGUAGCCUUUAUCCCAUGCAAUUCAGCCAAUGUCUUCUCCAUGUUAUUCAUAUGAAAGUUCAUAAUAAAAGGCUCAAAGCUCGUCGGGAGCGAUUGGAGAAUGACAUUCGUAGCCAGCUCAGCACUAAGGGGAGAACCAAGUUUCUCCAGGCUCUCAAUGUAACCAAUCAUCUUGAUCACAUGAGGACUGACAGGACUACCUUCUGCUAGCUUGCAUGCAAACAAGGACUUUAGAGAUGUUGAACCUCUCAGACCUUACUUUGUUCUCAAACAUGCCACGUAAUCCUACAAUCAUAUUGUAGGCAUCCGAAUUCUCAUAUUGCUUCUAAACCUCAGAGGACAUAGUGGCAGGCAUGAGACAGCCAACAUCAUGUACAUCAUUAGUAUGCUUCUCAUACUCCCUCUUCUGAGCGGCGGUAGCAUUUUCUAGCAGGUCAUCAAGAAAGGGAAUCUCUAGAACAUAUUCCUUUUUCUCUUGCUUGAGAACAAUUCUCAAAUUGUGAUACCAAUCGAUAAAGUUUGUUCCAUUAAGCUUUUCUUUUUUGAGAAUUGAACGCAAGUUAAAACUGGAUGGGUUACUAGCAGUUGGUGCCAUGAUCUACAAUAUAAAAAUAUGCAACAAUAAGCACUAUGUAAAUGUAAAACUUCUUUUAAACAAUUUAACAAAAGUUCCUCCACUAUAUGGUUGGAAUCAUUUCCCUCUAACGACAUAUAGUGGUAUAAGAUCCAUAUUCAACUAGAUCGUAGUGAGCUUUGGCAUCACGGCUAGAAAUCUAGUGACUAAGGUAACCAGUGUUUGCUAAUCACAUCCUUAUGUGACUCUUGUUUGUUGGGAGGCAUCAUAUGCCCCAACGCCCAACACCAUGCCCCAAAGCCCAAAACCAUUUUGAUAGCUUUGUUAAGUGGACCAAUACUAUGCAUGUAAAUGUCCGACAUUUACCCUACUUAUUAAGAUAGCUGGGGUACUCUACUUUGGCGGACAUACCACUCAAUGAUCAAAAUUUUAAUAGUUGCAACCUUUGGAAGGGCAUCAAUUUCAAUCUUAAUUUUUUCGAGGGAACCUAUUCUAGCGUGAAUAUCAAGUCCAACCAAUAAUUCAUGAUAAAUAGGAUGAUAGGAACAUCAUCACAGGCAAUCAUAUUAAUUGUGAAAUAGUAUGUCCCAUUAACAUGGUGAUCUCCAUAUCCAUCGCCAUAUGCCUCCUGUCCUUGUGAAAUAGUAUGGCCCAUUAACAUGGUGAUCUCCAUCUCCAUCGCCAUAUGCCUCCUGUCCUUGUAUCCACCGUGCUUGAAAUCAGCCUCCACGAAUGAAUACAAGCUACUACAACCAAUAGCUAGUAUGAAUUACAUGAAGAAAUCAAGCAUCACAAGUUGACGCGCAGGUCGUUAUACAAUAUCAUGACAGCCUCAACCCAGCUGUAAUUAAUCAUGACACACAAGCCAUGAAAAUUACAUACAUGCAUCACAUACACAUCUUGGGCCAUACCAUUCACAACAUUCUCUGCAAAAACAAGUUAGGUGAGAACUAGUACUAUCGUAUGAUCAAAAAAGGGGGGAUAACAAUCUAGGCGCGAGUCGUAUAGCGGUCCUAAAAACCUCACAGGAUUACACUGAUCUUAUCUAUGAAAUCGCAAUGAAAAUCUCAUCGGACAGAUCACAUCUAGCCGAUUUUGAGUCAUUCAUAAUGCCUCGUAUUUUGAUUAGGUUUCCAUGAUUAGACUAUGACACAUAGUCAUGAUCACAUCGGCUUUGUCUACUUGCGCACACGGUUAGUCCCGAUGGUGAUUCCAGCCGGUAGGGACAGGUUGUGCACGCACGGAGAAGAAGCACGAACAGAUCAAUGACACAUAUGACACUAUCAUCUCAUAACCUUGUGAACCCUCCUAAUGACCAAUUGAUCUAAUCAACCCGUACUUGAAAAUAUGUAAUAGAUCGCAUCUACUACACCAGCAUAUCAACUAUAUGUGCAUGAUCCAAAUCACAAAUUGCACAAGGCCGGCUCUGAUACCACUGUUGAGGAACUAGUAGGCUAUGCAAGCAAAAUAAUUUUAAUCUACCGUUCAACCAGGGAACCUUGUAAGAGGGACAUCAUGGAUCGUUACCACUAGAUGCGUAGGCGAAGCGAAAGCGUUGUUGGAGAGGCUCGGUCCAACAUAGUUGCGCGUUGAUUUAGAGGAAGUAGACGAUCACGUCUUGCUCCACGUCCAGACAUACAGCUCCACAGCAACAGCAGUAGCGCCUCCUUGCGGUAUCGACAUGUACGGUGUGCUAGCACCGGCAGCACGGCCUAGGGUUUCGUGGAAGGAGAGUAGAGGUGGCAGCUAGGGUUUUGAUGUCCUUGCACCCUGAGCCCUGCCUCUACUUAUAUAGACCCCUCUAAUGGGCUUUCACGUAAAGGCCCAUUAGUAGUCUAACCACUCUCGGAUCAAUAUCCAUAUGCCCCUCAAAUAUGGAUCAAAUCCAUAUUGUCCCUUGGGAACAUAUCCAAUAGCUUCUUUAUGUUCAUACACAUAUAACGCAUUGGUGUAUAAAUGCUAGCUUCGUGCAAGUUCUUGCGAAUCUUCGUUUAAAGGCACAUUUUUAUUUGAUACUAUUCAAGGCGUCAAAAUAAGCAUUCCAAGCAAACCAAUUGCACAAAGCUCUUAUGAAAUUGGAUCCAAUCAAUAUGCUUCCUAAAAUGGAAAUGAUAGUAGUACUUGUUUAACCAUAAGAGAAAUACAUCAAAGAGAAUCUUAGAACCGAACAUCACAUACUAAUGAAGCAACUGAACAUCUUGUCGAGUGCCAUGGAGCUGUCCUCACACCUGCACAUAAGUUACUCCAGGAAGUGCCCAGGGAGCCUGCAAAUCCUCACCGCCCCAGCGCGAGUAGACUGCCCAGACCCAGCAUUGGAGCAGCAGUGUAGAGAGAGGCUGAGGGAGAGCGCUGGCAGAUCCAGUGCCAAAGCAGUAGUCGACAGAUCCAGUGGUGGGCGGAGCGUGAGGUAGUGUUGGCGCUAGAAAUCGGCUGAUCGAAACCCCAGCGUCUGACACACGACCCAGGAGAAUCUGCUUAACUCCUGUUCGGGUGAUCGCCCUGGUGCGGUUCGCGCGGCGUACCAGCCAAUCUGACAUGUUGAUUGGCAAGGAAAAAUACGUGUCAGAUCCCAGAGGUUGCGAUCGGCUAAAUUUCCGAUCUCGAGAAAGCUUAUCAGCGAAUCGGCCGAUUUGCCGUAAUAAAGAAAUCAGCUAUGUAGCAGCCGAUUAACGGGCAGCGUGAAUGAAAACUGCUGGGGUAAUCAAUACAACGCUAUAGUAGCAAUACCAGGAAUAGAUCUAGUCGGCUAUGCGUAAAACAAGUAAAUUAAAUGACGCAAUACGAGAAAAGCCGAGAUUGCCGAUUCCUAGCUGGAUAACUGAUGAUAAAACUAGAACAACAGGUAAAACCUAGAAUUCUAGUAGAUAUCGAUAACUAGUGAAUAAAUCUAAACGAAACAACAGCGAUGCGCCCAAAGUUAAAGCUUAGAAUUUACUUGAUAAACGGAACUUAGAAGAUUAGCCGGAGGUCAAGUUGAUGCAGCCCCGCCAACCCGUACGAACUCGUGAAAGAGGAAAAGUAUUUGGCGAAGUCGCCUGCUUGAAAAGUAAGUACGAGGAAAUAGUAGUUUGUUGUAUUGAAUUGUUGAUGAUUACAGAUCUACAAAAGUGGCUAUUUAUAGCCCCGUACAGACGACUCCUUAUCUGACUAGAACUCUAUCCCUAAUUCAAAUGGAAAACGAAUAUUUACAAGUACGAUUCGUACUAGGUCGAUUAUUAUGCACUUCAUGGGCUGAUUCCCUCUUCAUCUUUAUAAUCCUUUCUAAGCCCAUACCGGCCCAACUAUUCCAACCUCCUAAUCGGCCGAUUUCCUCAUCGGCAAGGGGUAACCGAUCGGGAACCGGACGCGUCCGAUCCUAAACCUUCAAGGGUCAAGCGAGGCAGAAUUCUAAAGGUCAAGCGAGGCAGAAUUCUAAAGAUCAAUCGAUCCUGGACUGUAGCAUCGACCGAUCCUGGACUGUAGCACCAACCAACCGAUCUUUAACUGUAGCGCCAUUCGGCCGAUUUCCAACUGUCACCCCUGUAUCUCGCCGUAUCUUCCAAUUUCUUCCUCUCCUGACGCCGAUUUUACUCGUGUCAAAAUCUAGCGUCAACACAUGCCCCCCAGUUUCGGAGUAAAACAUAGUCUUUACUUCGAAAUUCUUUUCAACUUCCCCUCCGAAACAACCGCAAUGAAAAUAUCCUUCCGUUUCGCGGUCUUCAACCUGAUGAUUGCAAUCUUUUCAAAACGGGCGCCCACGACAACCACUACUCCCGAAAAACUCGAAACGCCGGCGCGGUAAAAAUUCCAUUUUUACCCCUCCUCAGGCCCCCUUUAAAUAUCAGCACAUCCCGCACUUCCCUUUCAAGCUCACGUCCUUCUUCCUCAGCGCACGAGCCUUCUUCUUCCUCCAGCAUUUUUCCUUAAUCCCCCAGCUUUUCGGCACCGUCUUCCUGUCACUUUCCUUCCUCCCCUUCCAAUGGCGGCACCUUGAGGCACCUCACCCGCGCGCGAAGCUCCAGAAAUAGUGCCUUCGGCGGAGGUUCUAGCAGCGACAGUGGUGGCCCCGUCGUCGGAAGAAGGAGCUCCAUUUAGCGAAAGUUGAAGCUUCUUCCGAGAUCUCGAUGGCGACCUCGUCUUCCGCAGCUGCACCGGCGAUCCCGCCGACUACAAGGAACUUCAUCCCAGAGGUCAUCACCGAAUCUUUUCUUUAUCGGUAAUACAUUUACUUUAGAUCUAUUUCUUACUUUUGCACCCCCUUUCCUUUUUUAGGCGGUUAGACAUCGCAUCACCAUUCAUCUUACGGGAAAUCCCGGCCUUGUUUGCCUUGGACCCAUGGGAAACCCAGAUCCAACGGAGCUAAUCAAUUUGGAAACCCAUAGGAUCCCCUUCAAACAAUCAACCAUGGACCUAGAUCACUGGUUGGGCACCUUUAGGUCUUGGCCGAAUGAAACUCCCGGUUGGAGGGAAUGGUACCAGCGGAUAGCCGCACCCAAGAGGGUCCAAUGGGACGAGCUCAAAAUCGGCCAAUGCAUCAAUCUAUCCCUAUCCCAAAUGGAACGGAAUGAACCAUUAGUGAUGGCAGCUUCUUACUUUUGGUCUGAUGCUCUUAAUGCAUUCUUGUUUUGACACGGACCCAUGACCCCCACACUGGCCGAUGUGGUUUUGCUGACCGGCCUGGACAUUUCCUCCCCGGACACCCCUUUCCGCCUUCUAACCGUAACAUCACAUCGACUGGACACGAGGGGAAUCGGCGGGUGGAAAGGCUUCAUUAGAUGCAACAAAAGAGCCGGAUCUGUCGAGAACAGAGAACACACGGCCUUCCUAAUGAUGUGGUUGGAGAAGCACUUCUUCUGUGGGAGAGCAGCUGGCCCAUUGACCAACACCCAAGCUUUAGCUGAAGCAUUAUCAAUGGGGACUUCUGUUCCUCUUGGAAAGCAUUUACUAGGAGCAGCAUACCACAUGCUUCACCAAAUCGGCAUCAAACUAUCCCAAGGGGAGCCGAUUGGAAAUCCAGGUGGACCCUGGUGGUUCAUUAACUUAUGGCUGAACUUGUACAUGAGCAAGAUUUCUCAGCAGAGAGUGGAACACAUGACAUUCCCCAGCAUUGAAUCGGCAGAGGAUCCCACUAUCCGACGCCGAUGUACAUCUUUUGGCGAAGUGGCAUCGGCCUUUCCCGGUUGCCCGUACUCUGCUACCAAAGUGGCCGAGUACUUUCGGUGUUUUUACAACGGUUUUAAUGAAGAUGCAGCCGUCUGGUUUCCUUAUUGGCGAGAUGACCCAAUCUUUGAGCUCCCCUCUUGCUUCGACUCGACUACCGGCCGAUUCGACGAAGACCUCACAGAUGAGUUAAUUAAACCGGGAAUCCUACCGGCCAACUUCUUCUCAGGGAAAGAUGCUCCUACGUAUGAGUUUUACAAUCCCUCUGCUGCAGCACGUCAGUUCGGCAUGGGUCAGCUACCGAUUCAAGUGUACUUCGCUGGCCGAGCUAAGUUCAGAGAUGAGCUCACAAAAGGUCUUGACUAUAGUCGGCUGCGAGAUCGGGUCCCAGACUCCAGCACUAUUGACCUGAAUGACCGGAUAGUAGCUCCCUUCGCUGUCCAACCAUUCAAGCUUUGGUGGGCUGAAUGGAAACAAUACCUUUUCUGCAACUCCGCGUCGACAUACUGCAAUCUCCUGGAUCCGACCAACACCGACCCGAACGCCGAGGUAUUUUUUCUCUAGCCGAUUUUCACUCCUUUAUCAACGCGGUUGAAUACGUAUACUAACAUCUUGCUAUUGCUUCAGUCUAAGAACCGUGUCCCCCCAAUACGCAGCCGGAGUGGCCGGCCGAUAGAAGAUCAUCAUCCAUACACCAUCUUCCCCCUUAUCGGCUACAAUGCCCCUUCCGUGGACGUGAUCGCUGGCCGAUCGAAGCAGGCGCAGAAGAAAGUUACCAAGAAGACCAGUCGCCGAGUUCGAGCCCGUAUAGAAUCGGCUGAUCCUCCCACGAUCAUAUCGGCAGAAACUUUGGCCGCACUGCCUCUUCAAGCUGCCAGAGAAAUAGAUACUCAAGUCGUCACGCAAGCUGGGGCAGCCGCUGCAUCAUUACUGGUGGAGGCCGUGCAGGUAAACUUAUGUCCAAUCCUUCCAAUUGAUGUCUCAAUACUAACUCCUCUUAUCUUAGACUGCACAGAUUACUUCUAUGGACCCACAACAAUUGGCAGCAACCCAAUCGGUCAUCGACGCGCCCCCGCUUCCAUCCGCCGAGGUAUAACACUCUUCAACUGAUUCUCCUAGUAUUUGAAUGAUGUUCUCAUUCAUCCCUUUGACACAGGUCACCGGUACGCUAAGCGCUCCUCUUAAUCAACCAAUGGUCAUCUCCCGGGAAGCUGGCCCGAGCACAGCACCAAUCAUCGUAGGAUCUUCUUCUUCUGAUGAACCAAUGGCACCAGCCCCUGAAUCGAGGAUGACGGCUCCCCAAACGCAUCUUGAGGAAAUCCGAUUCAAGGAGGUAAGAGACCUUUCACCCUUACUUAGCCGAUUUGCUAUCACCAUCGGCUGAUUUGUUUUUCUUCUUGACUUAUUAUUUCCAGGAACAGGACACCCAUGACAACAGUCUCUUCUCAUUUGCGGUCGCGCUCUCUGAUGACGAGGAAGUCGCCUCCCGCCAAGUCACUUUGAGCUCCAUCCCUGAUGACGUCCGCGCCAAACUUACCAGCAUCCGAUCCCUUCUUCAAGAAGACAUUGGCCGAUUGGUAGAAGAUGCCUCGCCGAUUCGGCAGCUCUUCGGUGACGUCAGCGGGCGGGUGCCAGAAGAAGCGGAAGAAGCUUUGGCGCCGGCCGCGUAUAUCGAGUUAAUGAGGAUCCCGGUUUUCAGGGCCCUGCGUCACAUGGCCGAUCGCGCCAAAUUGGCCAAGACUCGUGAAGAAGAAGGAACGUACAAGCGUCAGGCCCAAGAGGUGCAUCAACGAAUUCACUUUCUGGAAGAUUCUCGCCCGGGAAUCGUCGGCACAAUAGAUCACCUCAAACGCCAAAGGGCAGAGCUUGCCAAGGAGAUGGAACAGGUGACCAAAGCAAUAAAUGCCGAAGAGAAGAGGCUUCAAGAACUCCCAUCCGUCAUCGCCGAUCUGAAACGGGAGAGGCAGCAUCUGGCCCACAAAGCCCUUAAACUCCACCGCAAUAUGCUAGAAGUCCCCGGAUCGGCAGAUGAUGACCAACGGGUCCUGGACUCUGCCGAUCAAAUCCGGCGCCGAGCGAUUGCGGCUAUCGAUGCCCUUCUGGGUAACCUGUAAAAGUACUGGCUAUUUUUGUACGAACAUUUAAUGACCGCUUUGACCGUCCUUCGCGGCGCCUCUUUUAUUUAUUGCCUUUCUCACCUCCGACGGGACACGCCUUACCAAACAUCUACGCCUCCUUUUCUUAUAAAUGCCGGCCUAGGCCCCCAUUCCAAGAGUACCAGUCUAGCUCGGCUUUAUCUUCCCAACCUGCUUUCGUCGGUGCGACUUUCAGUCACGUCUUCUUCAUCCUCUUCCUCUUUCUCUGUUAACCAGGUGAAAGUUUUGCCUUCAUCCUUUUUCUUAGUUUAGAUCUUCUGAAGGGAAUCCCCUUUUUGAUCGUUACUUUUCACAGCCACGGCGCCUUAGCCCUGAACUCGAGCGAGCCAUCAAACUCAUGCACUCCGAUGAACCGUUGUCGCAAGAGGACAAGGAUUUAAUCAGGGCUCAUCGUGACGAACUCGAAGAGCAUGUCCCUGCUGACAUCCGACGGAUCUGGGAUUUUCUGGACGGCAACGCCCGCCGGCGACCUCAAGCCGACAGAAGUCAUCUGCUUCCUCCACAAGUCGUCCUUGAAGAUGCAGCAACAGGAACAUCGCGCCCGGCAAUGGACCGGAGCCACCCUAUCCCCGUCAAGUCGAAGCGGAGCCUUCGAUGAAAGAGAUAGAAGAAGAGUACAUCCGUCUUAUGAUAGAACUAGGUUGGGCUGAGAGAGAGCGUAAGAAAAAGCGUGGUUAAUUAUUUUUUUGUUCUAAGGGCGACUUAUACCUUGUCGGCCGUGUAACUCAUCGUUCGUACCGAAUGAAAUAUAUCGGCCAAUUUGGACGAUUACGUGUUUUCUCUAGACGAAUCCUUUCGUAUCGGCUGUGUGUCGCUCAUUGUGGUCGAUCCUUAUGCUCCGACCCAUAUACUAGGGUAGUACCUUUUCAGGUAUCUCCCGUUCAGAGCCCUAGUAAAUUCUUCUCCUUCGAUUGUUUUCAGAAUAUAAGCAUUUCCUGGAGCACAUCUGCCGAUUUUAUAUGGCCCUUCCCAUGUAGGGGACCACUUACCGAAUUUAGGAUCUUUUGACCCAAUCGGCAACACUAACUUCCAAACCAGGUCCCCUGGAGAGAAUUUCUUGACUUUGACCUUCUUAUCAUACCACCUGGCCACUUUCUUCUUGUUUUCCUCGAUGCUUAUCAAAGCUCUCAGUUGUUGGCCAGCCAAGUCAUCAAGUUCCCUUUUCAUGAGUGAGGAGUAGUCGUCGGCCGUCAGCUGGUCCUGGAGCGAAGUGCGUCUUGACCCCGCCCUAACUUCCCAUGGUAGUACUGCAUCGUGACCGUACACCAACUGAUAAGGGGACAACUUGGUGGAACCAUGGCAAGCCAUCCUGUAUGCCCAUAGGGCUUCAAUCAAACAUAGAUGCCACUUUUUUGGCUGCUCCUCUAUCUUCCUCUUGAUUAACUUUAUUAUCCCUUUGUUGGAGGAUUCGGCCUGGCCAUUAGCUUGGGCAUAAUAUGGAGAGGAGUUUAACAAUUUGAUCCCCAUAUCAGCCGUGAGCUCCUCAAAUUCUCCUGAUGUGAACAUUGUCCCUUGAUCAGUUGUGAUAGUCUGAGGAAUGCCGAACCGGUAGACGAUGUGGUCCCUUACGAAGUCGGCCAUGGCAGCCGAUGUCACGGCUCUUAACGGAAUUGCUUCCACCCAUUUGGUAAAGUAAUCGGUGGCUACUAGAAUAAAUUUGUGCCCUUUGCUUGAUGGAGGAUAAAUUUGGCCGAUAAGGUCUAUUCUCCAUCCUCUGAAUGACCAUGGUUUGAUAAUGGGAUUCAUGGCCGACGCGGGCGCACGUUGGACAUUCCCGAAUUUCUGACAAUCCUGGCAUCCUUUAUAAUAUUUGAAGCAAUCUUCGAGGAUCGUCGGCCAGUAAUACCCAUUAUUUCUGAUCAUCCAUUUCAUCUUAUGGGCCGACUGGUGGGCUCCACACACCCCCUUAUGGAUUUCUCCCAUCAGAGUCUUGGCCUCCUCUGUUCCCAGACACUUGAGUAGAACGCCAUCAAUUGUUCGGUAGAACAAGUCGUCCUCCAGUAGUACGUAUUUGGUAGCAUGAAAACGCACCCGCCGAUCCACUUUCUUAGAUGGAUCUUUCAGGUAGUCGGCAAUUUCUUUUCGCCAGUCAUUGGCCGCGAGUUCCAGAGCCAUAGCGCCUUGAAUUGGCCGAUACCCAAAUGCGUGCUGGGCGAGCUUGUUGGCAUCCUCGUUGUGAUUCCUUGGGAUGUGUUCGAUUACUGCCAAUUUGAACUCUCUUAAGAGCUGCAGGCAAUCUUCGUAAUAGAUCCUCAAUACAUUGUCCUUGCAUUCGGACUUCCCUGUUAAUUGAUCCACAAUAAGCAUGGAAUCCCCAAAAAUUUUGACAGAAUCGGCCUGGACUUCUCUUAGCAAUUGUAAUCCCUUCAAUACAGCUCGGUACUCUGCUUGAUUGUUAGCGGCGGUUGCUUCUAUCGGCAGAGAAAAAUCAUUGCUUGCCCCCCGAGGCAAUAUGAGGACGAUGCCGAUUCCUGAUCUGACCCCACAUGACGAUCCAUCAAAGUAUAAAGUCCAAGGUACCGGUUCCACGAAGGUAGCCUCUGGUCCGCAGUGUUGGGCGACGAAAUCGGCCAUGACCUGACCCUUGAUGGCUUUCGCCGAUUCAUACCGAAGGUCAAACUCUGACAAAGCUAAGAUCAAUUUGCCGAUUCGUCCUUUCAAAAUCGGCAAUGACAGCAUGUAUUUUACCACGUCGUCUUUGCAUACGACCACACAUUCCGCCGACAGCAAAUAGUGCCUGAGUUUGGUGCAUGAGAAGUAAAGGCAUAGGCACAACCGUUCCACUGGAGGAUACCUUGUUUCGGCGUCCAGAAGUCUUCUACUGACAUAAUAGAUUACUCGUUCUUUUCCCUCGAACUCCUGGACUAGAGCCGACCCAAUAGCUUUUUCAUCGGCUGAUAAAUAUAGUUUAAACGGUUUACCAGUUUGAGGAGGGACCAAUACCGGUGGUGAGAUCAAGUACUGCUUGAUAUCUUCCAGUGCUUUGCGUUGCUCUUCCCCCCAUAUGAACUCCUGGUCGGGCUUCAACUUUAAUAGUGGUGUGAAAGCUUGGAUCCGCCUAGAUAGAUUAGAUAUGAAUCUUCUGAUGAAAUUCACCUUGCCGAUUAGAGAUUGCAACUCAGUUUUAUUCUGCGGGGCCACGACUUGUUGAUGGCCGCUAUAGUCUUCUGAUUGAGUUCUAUUCCCCGCUCGUGCACCAUGAAUCCUAAGAAUUGUCCGGCGGAUACGCCGAAGGCACACUUAUUCGGAUUCAUCUUCAGCCCAUGUUUCUUCGUGCAUUCCAAUACUUUUCGCAAAUCGGCCAGAUGCUCCUCGUGUCCUUUUGACAUGACUACGACGUCAUCGAUGUAGAUUUCUACCAGUAUGCCGAUGAGUUUGUGAAAUAUAUAGUUCAUGGCUCUUUGAUAUGUGGUGCCGGCGUUUUUUAAACCGAAAGUCAUUACCACCCACUCAAACAAACCAAGGUGACCUGGGCAUCUGAAGGCCGUCUUGGGUAUGUCUUCUUCAGCCAUAAGUAUUUGAUUGUACCCAGCGUUUCCGUCCAUGAAACUAAUAACCUUGUGUCCCGCGGCGGCGUCUAUUAGUACAUCGGCCGUCGGCAUGGGGUAUCCGUCCAUUGGUGUGGCCUGAUUAAGAUUCCUGAAAUCGACGCACACGCGUAGCUUCCCAUUCUUCUUGUAUACUGGUACAAUGUUGGAGAUCCACUCGGCAUAACGGCAUUGCCAAAUAAAUUUUGCUUCGAUUAGCCGAGUUAUUUCGGCUUUUAUGUCUGGUAGGAUUUUAGGAUUGCACCGUCGUGCAGGCUAUUGAUACGGCCGAUAUCCUAGUUUUAUGGGUAGCCGAUGUUCAACAAUAGACCGGUCUAAUCCGGCAUCUCAUGAUACUCCCAAGCAAAACAAUCCUUAAAUUCUCUUAACAAACUUGUCAGUUUACAUUUGUAUUCUGGAUCUAAAUUUGCACUAAUAUAAGUCGGCCUUGGUUUGGUGCCAUCGCCUAAGUCUAUCAUCUCUAAUGAGUCGGCCGACGUGAACCCAUGUCCCAGCUUCCCAUAUUCUCGGGCGAACUGAUCCAUUUAAUCUGAGUCUUCAGAGCCGACUGCUCGGAUCGGCUGUAGGCCAAAAUCGGACACCUUCAAGAAGUCAGUAUCCCAUACUCUUCCGGAUAUGCACCUGACGGUUUCGCAGCUCCAUUGCUGCGUGUCAGCUGCUGCGAUGCUGUAUGCGGAAUCGGCGGUGACCACUUCGAUGUUGUCGCCGACCCAUUGUACGAGGCAUUGAUGCAUUGUCGAUGGGAUGCAGCAGUUUGCAUGUAUCCAGUCUCGGCCGAGAAGCAUGUUGUAGGACCCUUUGCCAUUAAUAAUAAAGAAAGUAGUAGGGAGGGUCUUACUGCCGAUGGUGAGGUCGACGUAGAGGGCGCCGCGAGCGGGGGAUACGUGUCCCUCGAAGUCCUUGAGCAUCAUAUCUGUCUUAGUCAGGUCAUCAUCGCCCUUCCCAAGCUUCCGGAGCACGGUGUACGGCAUGAUGUUGACUGCAGCGCCUCCGUCUACCAGUAAUCUAGUAAGGGGUCGGCCGUUGACAUGUCCUUUAAGAAACAACGCUUUCAGGUGUUGCCGUUUGUCGUCUUCGGGCUUCUCGAAUGUGGCUGUCAUUGGCUCAAAAGCCAAUUGCGCCAUCUGUUCUUCUAUUGCCGAUAUGUUCUGUCGGUCGGCAGGAGUCAUAAAUUCCAUCGGCAGUAUGAAAACCAUGCCGAUGUCGGCUGCCGAUUCGUCGCCUGCCGAUUCGUCGCCUCCUUUGUCGUUUCUUUUGGGGCGCCAUACCUGAGACCUACCUUCCCUCUUGUCCGUCGUGUACUGUUGUUCUUCCUCCUGCUGUUCCCAUUGGCGGAGACGCUGAAUUCUUCAUUUUUGAGACUUGGUCAAUCCAUCGGGACACCACCUGGGGUUCACUGGUUUGGUUCGUGGCCUGGCGCAUUCCCAUUCCGGUUCACGUCCUAAAGGGUUCUCGUCUGACACUCGAGCAUCGGCCAUCUCUUCAAGCUGACUGUGGACGCUGGCCCUGUUUUCUGGCCGGUCAUGUCGAUCGAAUCUGCCCCCCGGCCUAUCAUGGCGCCUGCCUUCCGACCGGUCAUAUCGGUCACUUCUGCCCCCCAGCCGAUCACGCACGGGAGGGCGCCGGUCGUCUCGGUCGCGCCAGUUCCUGCUGAUCGGCUCUGGUCUCCCGUCUCUAGAGCGAGACCUGUUGAACGGCCGAUUGUUACGAUACGGGCCGUUGCACUCCGGGCAAUUAUCGGCCGAAAGUAACUUGAGGUUGCUUUCCCAACAGUGGAUGAAGAACGGGCAUCUCCAGUGAUCUUCAUGUCGUCGCAUCGCUUCUUCCCGGGAUCUUGAACGUUCAUGUUGCCGCUGAUAUUUGUGGAGCAGGAAUUGGGAAGUAAUGCGUGGUUCAACUGAUCCGUCGUCAUCGUCCUCCAUCCGCCGCUUCCCCUUGAUGUCUUCAGGUGUCACUUGAUUUCUGGGGUCUACGACGCCGCUCUUUUUAGCCGAUUCGGACGUCAGCACCUUUGUUUGGAGCGAGUUCUUUCCCGCGUCAACCAUGUUGGUGGGGAAGGGGUGCUAAUCGAUCUUCAUCGGCUUGGCCGGUUUUGUUGGUACUUCAAAUUUAAGUCUGCCCUGCUCAAUAGCCGUUUGUAUCUGCUGCCGGAAGAUUUUGCACUCGUUAGUAUCAUGGGAGGUAGCGUUGUGCCACUUGCAAUAUUUCAUCUUCUUCAGCUGUUCGGCAGAAGGAAUAGUAUGGUAUGGAGAGAGCUUGAUCUGUCCUUCCUGGAGGAGGAGGUCAAAGAUUUUAUCGACCUUUGAUGUGUCAAAGCCGAACGUUUCCGGCUCCUUCUUGCCUAACGGGCAUGAUAUCGGUUUCUUUCCUUUAACCCAUUCUGCAAGACCGACUUCUGCAUCUUCUUCGGCCUCAACCUCUUCUAAGUAUGCCACCUUCUUCUGGAAGUUCCUCCGUGGAUCGAAAGAACGUACCUCCUGUCCAGACAAUCAGUGGACGAUUUGGCUCAAGCUCUCAAACUCCUGUGAGGCGUAUUUUUCCUUGAUGUGAGGUAGGAGACCUUGAAAGGCUAUAUCAGCCAGCUGUGCAUCAGUCAGAGCUAGAGAGUAGCAUUUGUUUCUGAUUUCUCGAAACCUCUGCACAUAUGAGGAUAUUGGCUCGUCGCUUCUCUGCCUGAGGCUGGUCAAAUCGGACAGCUUCAUUUCAUGUACCCCGGCGUAGAAGUAUUUAUGGAACUGCCUCUCCAGAUCAGCCCAUGUAAUAAUCGAGUUGGGCGGUAAAGUUGUGAACCACUGGAAGGCCGAACCAGACAAUGACGACGAGAAAAGCCGCACCCGUAGAGCAUCUUGCGCCGCUGCCUCACCGCAUUGGAUGAUGAAUCUGUUCACAUGUUCUACGGUUGAGGUAUCGUCCAUCCCCGAAAACUUGGUGAAGUCCGGAACUUUAUACCGAUGGGGAAACGGCAGUAAAUCGUACGUAGACGGGUAUAGUGUCCUGUAGGUGUAAGUCUGCACCUUUGGCUUCAAGCCGAAUUGUUCCUGAAUCACCUCUGCUAUACGUGCUGACCAAUCCGGCUGUUGCUGGUAAACCGUCGGCUGAGGGACUGGUACGUGAUGGUAUAUUGGCGGCGGGAUGACUUGAUGCUGAGUGAAAGUAUGUGGCAUUUGAUGUGUUAUAGCCGGCUGUGUAUUCAGGGUCGGCUGUUUGAAUGAGCCACUCGUUUCAUCAUAUAGUACGAGCUCUGCUGCUUUGCUCAUUUCUGGUGUGACAGGCUGGUACGGCGGCAUAGUUGGUCGAGUGGCUGCCUGGAAAGACGCCUGGAAUUGGGGACUUUCCUGAUUGGCCGAUUGAUCCUGAACGGCCGUAGCUGAUGAUGCCCCCCAAGGCGCUGGAUUAACCGGAGGGAACUGCGCAGAGGACAACUGAACGGGAUGGGGCUGGAGGUGUUGUGUGCCAGUAUACCCCAUAGAGAUCGAUGAUGAGGAAGCGCCUGAACCCCCAACUGGAAAAUGGAUCGGCUGAGAAGCCGAAUUCAGAUAACUCUUGUUUGGUGGAAUCGGCGGAGCAUAUGCCGGUCCCUUGUACCCUUGAGAUACCCCGCUAGCCAAGGAGCUGAUGACAGCAUUGUACACCGUAUUCGCAAGCACCGGGGAUUGAUCGAUGAAGGCUUGAUAAACGGACUGCUGGACCAUCUCGGCCAUCUUGUCCGAGUCCUCGGUGAUUGUGAUCUGGCGGGGAGUUGGAAACAGAGUCUUUUUGAUAGUUUCCCCGCUUCUGGUACGACUGAAGGACUGCAGGCAAGCCUUCCGGUAGUAUGCCGUCUGCCUCUCUAGUUCUUCCUUCUGGUCAUCCUUGAGAUCUGCUUCUGUCACUUCGAUGACGUUAUCUUCGGAGACUUCAGCAGCUUUUGACAUGGUGGCGGUUGUAUUGGUCCCACUGGGCGUGCCAAAAGUGUGUUGGCGCUAGAAAUCGGCUGAUCGAAUCCCCAGCGUCUGACACACGACCCGGGAGAAUCUGCUUAACUCCUGUUUGGGUGAUCGCCCUGGUGCGGUUCGCGCGGCGUGCCACCCAAUCUGACCUGUUGAUUGGCAAGGAAAAAUACGUGUCAGAUCCCAGAGGUUGCGAUCGGCUAAAUUUCCGAUCUCGAGAAAGCUUAUCAGCGAAUCGGCCGAUUUGCCGUAAUAAAGAAAUCGGCUAUGUAGCAGCCGAUUACCGGGCAGCGUGAAUGAAAACUGCUGGGGUAAUCAAUACAACGCUAUAGUAGCAAUACCAGGAACAGAUCUAGUCGGCUAUGCGUAAAACAAGUAAAUUAAAUGACGCAAUACGAGAAAAGCCGAGAUUGCCGAUUCCUAGCUGGAUAACUGAUGAUAAAACUAGAACAACAGGUAAAACCUAGAAUUCUAGUAGAUAUCGAUAACUAGUGAAUAAAUCUAAACGAAACAACAGCGAUGCGCCCGAAGUUAAAGCUUAGAAUUUACUCGAUAAACGGAACUUACAAGAUUAGCCGGAGGUCAAGUUGAUGCAGCCCCGCCAACCCGUACGAACUCGUGAAAGAGGAAAAGUAUUUGGCGAAGUCGCCUGCUUGAAAAGUAAGUACGAGGAAAUAGUAGUUUGUUGUAUUGAAUUGUUGAUGAUUACAGAUCUACAAAAGUGGCUAUUUACAGCCCCGUACACACGACUCCUUAUCUGACUAGAACUCUAUCCCUAAUUCAAAUGGAAAACGAAUAUUUACAAGUACGAUUCGUACUAGGUUGAUUAUUAUGCACUUCAUGGGCUGAUUCCCUCUUCAUCUUUAUAAUCCUUUCUAAGCCCAUACCGGCCCAACUAUUCCAACCUCCUAAUCGGCCGAUUUCCUCAUCGGCAAGGGGUAACCGAUCGGGAACCGGACGCGUCCGAUCCUAAACCUUCAGGGGUCAAGCGAGGCAGAAUUCUAAAGGUCAAGCGAGGCAGAAUUCUAAAGAUCAAUCGAUCCUGGACUGUAGCAUCGGCCGAUCCUGGACUGUAGCACCAACUAACCGAUCUUUAACUGUAGCGCCAUUCGGCCGAUUUCCAACUGUCACCCCUGUAUCUCGCCGUAUCUUCCAAUUUCUUCCUCUCCUGAUGCCGAUUUUACUCGUGUCAAAAUCUAGCGUCAACAGGUAGCUAGCAGCCGGAGGAUGGGACGGAAGCGGAGGUGGUCGGCAGCGGCGGGCAGAGUGUGAGGUAGCUGACAGCUGGAGGAGGGGGCGGAUGCGGUUGGUAGCAGGAGGCAGGGUGGGGUCGGAGGCGAUGAGCGAGGCAUGCGGGCAUCCUGCAGCUGGAGGUAGGGCUGGAUGCGGUCAGCAGCAGCAGGCGGAUGGGUCAGCAAUGAGCCACUUGGCGGGGAGGAAGAACAAAUAAAAGUGUUGGUCUCAAAGAAACACUUGUAGGUUUUGGAAAACAAUGGAUCCCUCAUUACGAUGGGUAGAGCUCACUGCAUUCCUUGAAUAUACUGUACAUAAAAGGACAUUGGAGGUGACGUGUACAAAUUGAAUUCCUCCACGUGGUCACAUUUCUCAUGCCUCCAUCCUUCCAAUCUCAGGACUUCACCUGCACACUAGAUCGAUCCUCCAUCCUUGUGUUUUCACCCUUGGUCCGAGAUAGUUGUCCAACCUCAUGGCACCUGGUUCAUUAUGCUGCCUCGAGAACUUAUAACCUCGUGAAGUCUCCCUUCAGGUUCCGUUCCUAAGUAAAGAGUAAAAAGGUGAAAGAUCGGUGUUCAGAUUAACAUCUAACACUCGAGGGUUAGCUCAGUUGGAGUUUAGUCAUCAGCUAUCAGUUGCUAGCUUUGAGUCUCUCUAGUAACAAAGAAGAUGUGAGGGUACGAGUUUUACUACCAGAAUAGUUUCCACAAGAACUUGCGAGGUUAGCCAAGUUUUGUUCCUUGGUCCAUAACUUGCCAGGUUACAGAGUUUUUACCCACGAACGGCGUUGGAGGGUGAUUAGUUUUUUGGCGAUCCCCAAUAGUAGCCCCUCAUGGGCGAGGGUAGACUCCGAUGGGCUGAACCCGUGACAAAGUGUUGUUCUAGUAAAAACGUCACCCUCGAGCGUUUGAGGAGAGAUGAUCCAAUGGUUACUUUUUAUGCCUGACGUUUUGAUUUUUGAUUGGUUGUCGCUUCGGCUUCAGUUCGAGGUUUGAGGCAUUCGUUCGCGCCUGUUAGCUCCCCUAUAAAAGGUGGGGUGCGGGUCGCUCGGGGCUACCCUCACGUUUUGCUAUCAGUUUGCACGUUGUUUUCUUAGUGCUUUGAGAUUCACGCUUCAUCAGCUAUUUUCGUCGAUCUUCAUAGCUUCGAAGGUAUUACUCUUAUCCAUAUUUUUCAUUCUUGUUUGCCUCUUACUCUAUUGUUUUGCUUUUUUGAUUUGCUGUUAUGUGUUGUUUAGCUAGCUUGAAUUAUGCAAACCGUUAUAUUGAUGACACGUGAAGAGUUAGCAGAGCAAGUGAGGCCACGUGGUGAUGCUCUCGAGGGACAAGAGGGUCGCGUGGGUUCUGAUCAUUUGGAGAUUUCUUCCGAUAGUGACAGUGGGGAGGAUCUUGCAAACAUCGAGGCUGACCCAUCGUAGCUUAUGGCUAGCAAGGAUACUUUCCCUACAACCCUUCACUUUGAGCAAUCUUUGGUUUCAUAGAAUACUGUUGAUUUUUAUGUCAGCAAGGGCUAUUUUCCUAAGGGUGUUGCUAGGCCUCCCGGCGAGGAGCUUGUGCCAAAACCUAAUAUUGGCGAGGCUUUGGUCUUUAGGGAUUUCUUUGCCACCGGCCUGCGGUGUUCCUGUGAUAAGAUGUUGCCUCAGAUCUUGGAUAGAUAUGGUGCUAAGCUUCAUCAGCUUACUCCUAAUGCCUUCGUGGCACUUUCUAAGUUUUACUACAUCGAGCGGACGUUCGGAGACGUGAUUGACGUUGAUGGUUUUGCAAGGCUCUUCGAGCUUGAUGUUUAGAAGAAGAGGGUUGAGUUUGAUGAGGAGGAGGGGGGCUUUUGAGAUGCAGUUUGGCUGUUGCACGUUUACGACCCGGAGGAAGAAUGAAAGUAAGAAAAUUUCCAGGGUCAACCUCUCUAUGGCACAGAAUAAUAGAUGGGACAACAUGUGGCUUAGCUAUUGGUUUUACAUCAAGGUGGACAUGUCCGAGGUUUCUGGCUAUGGUCAGUCGUUCUACCCAUUUUUCAGCUCAAUGUCUCCUUUGAUCAAUAUAACUGCUCCACCAUUCUUAAGAACAAAGGCUUUCCGAGUUUGCGAGGAUGCUUUUGUUCUUGCUUGUUCGUCUGUUGCUGAGUGAGACUUAGUUGAAGAAUUUUUGGCUGCGAACAUCUGGCUCCUUGUUGACGCAAAAAUCAGAUGGUGACCUUCGCAUAUUAACACACGAAACCUGAGAGAUCUGCUUCGCUCAAGUAUAGGUUGUAACCCUCUCGAUCCAAGGCAUGCCAGUCAAUUUGACCUGCUAAUUAACAAGGGCAAAGAAGUUGUUAAACUCGAGAGCAAAUCAACUGAUGUUCCAAUUAGCUCCAGGAGAUCGUAACGGCCGGGUAGCCGCUACAGAAAAAAGACGAUCGGCUAGGUCAGCCGAUGUAUGAGUAAUCAAUGCAAAGGAAUUGUUGAAAUGCAACCUAAACAAUGCUACGCGAACAACACUUGAAAUAGAUCUAAUCUGCUAUAGAACAGUUUUUGAUUGAAAAACAAGUUAAGAAGCCAAUCGGAACCUAUUCCAACCUGGAUAGUGGUGAUAAAAGCUAAAGCAACAAGAUUUAAACAAAUAAACUUGCAGAUUUCGCAAAUAUUGAUAACUUAAUGAAUAAAUCUAGACGAAAUAACAGCGAUGCAAAGAAAAUUAAAGCCUAGAAAUUACUUGAUAAACGUGGAACUUACAAUCCAGUCGAAGAUCAAGAUGAUGCAUCCCUGCUAGCUUGGAAGAACCUGUGGAGAAAAAGAGAACUUUGGCAAAGUCGCCAACUUGAAAGUAAAUUAUGAAUAAAGUAGAUUUGUUUGUUUGUGUGUACAUCUUUUUCAGACCUCGCUGCGUCUCUAUUUAUACCCUAAACUCAAGACUCCUAGUCCUAGUCUAUUACGGCGCAAUACAAUAUAUGUAACUAAAGAAACAAACUUGUCUAAAUAAAAGGACUCUGAUAGAGUCGGAGUGCCCGAUCUUUCGGUGAGUGGAGAUAAAUUCGACUUGGUGGAAGUAGACCCUCACGAUCCGACUACGACGAGCGAACCCGAAGCGCCAAUGCAAUCGCUGAACCAACUCCCGAUGGUUACCAACCUCGCUGGUGCGAGAUCAGCCUGAUCACGAAGAUCGAUUUCUGUCCGCAAUCGAAGAACGAACAAGAAAGAGAGGCGAGCAAUCUAAAUAUCACUCGAAGGUGGAGUUCUGAAUCACAAGGACAGCGCGUAUUUGCGCGUGUUCAAGAGUAGCUAAAGCUAGAUGUAAAACAAAACUCAAGUCGUAAACAAAAAGGACUCGGACUAAAUAAAGGGGGCGCAGCCCCUGGAGUCCGAAGGGGUCACGGCGCCCAACCCUAGGCGCCCCACCUGGGCUGCUCUGUUGGGCCAACUUCUUAUUCUGAUGGGCCUUCGUUCCUUAACAGCAUGAUGAAGUUUAAUUCUCUCGCACGGGCUCAAGUGAUUGGCCCAACUGGAUGAGCAACUGUAGGCGCCUGAGGUGGAGGAGCAACUGGAGGCGCCUGAGGUGCUGCUGGUGUAGAUGUACUCGUGGUGUCCUCAUCAGACUCGUACAAGAGUCGGAAAUGAAUUUGGCCUCUCUUGACCAACUCUACCUCCAUUGUCUCGCAAUAUCUUCACUGAUCAACUCUUGCCUUUUAACAGUCGAACCCCAAUAUCUCCGAUCGGCUGGAAUCCUCUUGCUCGCUUCGGCUGGGUCCCUGUCACCCUUCAUCAGCUGACACCUCCCGUCCUCAUCGGCUGGGUCUUCGUCACCUUUCAUCGGCUGAACCUUUGUGACUCUAUCGACCGUUUUCACUAGCCGUUGCCCUUCUGUCAUGCAUCAGCAUCUCUGCUUCAUUUUGACGCCAGUUUUGACACAUGUCAAAAAUGGUGUCAACACAUGCCCCCUAGUUUCGGAGUGAAAUAUAUCUUUCGCUUCCGAAAUUCUCUCGACCAUGAUUUACUUUCCUGAGAAAGUGCCGGCGAACAACGGUUUUGGAGUAAAAUAUAUUUUUUGCUCCGAAAUUCUCUCAGCCAUGAUUCACCUUACUGAAAAAAAUGCCUACGAACAAUAGCUUCUCAUAUUUCACAUGGACAGUGGAUGAAAUGCCAUACAUACCCUUCACAAGCAAGACUAUAAAUCCACGGCCAUUAUCUCUCUCCUCUGCUGGCUCACCCUUUCGCGCAUCAAAGCAAAUCUUGUUCUUCUCCUUCCUCAAGCGAAAAAGCGAUCUCCGGCGACCCGUCUGUGUUCCCCAACGGUUGCUUCAAGUCGCAGGUCCGCUCCAUCCAUGGUGACCCUUUCUUCAAUCCCUGAGGUAUGUUUCCUAUCUCCCAUCAUUCUUUCUACAUUCUUGUUCUAAAUUGACUAUUCUGAAUCAAUUCUCAUCUGCAAUUUAUACUCUUUGUUCUCCCUUUUCCCAGAUGAACUCGGUGAACAGCCAACUUGAGGCGAUCAUCCAAAUCCUCCAAUCCAACGAGAAGCUCUCUCAAGCAAACAAAGAUCUGAUCCAGACCAACCUUGAUCAAAUCAGAGAUUACAUUCCCUCGGAUGUCAAGCUGGUUUUAUCUGCAAUCAACUCUGCAAGUUCAAGUCGGCAGGUGCAACAAUCGGCCAUUCAAGCACGAGACCUUCAGCUUUCUUCUUCAAUUCUCGAAAUUAAAUUGACUACUCUGGAAGCUAGAUGGGAUCAACUUCCGCAAGAACUAAGCCAGAUCACCAGUGAGAUUAACAUAACGCCAACUCAACUGGGACACCAUCUAGGCCUGCUCCACCAAAGGGAACAAGUAAUCGCCAAUCUUCAAGUUGAAGACAACCAAGCUCGCCUGCGUGCGAUAAAAUCGAUCCAAGAUUUCUUGGGUUUGAUGUAAUGUCUUGUUGUAUCUUGAUAACUUAGAGGUCGCAGAUAUUAUUUGUUCUAAGGGCGAUGCAUAUUGCAUCAGCCAUGUAUCAGCCGACGUACCGAAUUGAAAUUGGCUUACUUGUAUCUCAUCGACUAUCAACAUGUUUGCUUUCCUUCUUUUUUUACUGAAGGCGAUACUCUCAGUAUCGGCUGUAACAAUCCGAAGUUUUAAGCCAUCGGCUAUGCAUCUACCCAUAUACUAGGGUAGUAUUUCUUUAAGUACUUCCCAUUUAAGGCUCUAACGAAUUCUUCCCAUUCAAGUGUCUCUAGAAUAUAUGCGUUGCCCGGAGCAUACCGAUUUACCCGAUAUGGUCCUUCCCACGUGGGCGACCAUUUUCCGUAUUUAGGAUCUUUAGACCCUAUCAGCAACACUAAUUUCCAGACCAGAUCUCCUUGGGAAAACUCUUUGACUUUGACCUUCUUAUCAUACCAUCUGGCAACUCUCCUUUUAUUUUCUUCAAUACUGAUCAAAGCCCUUAGCCGAUGACUUGCUAGAUCCUCCAACUCACCUUUCAUCAGGAUUGAGUAAUCAUUGGUUGUCAAUUGAUCCUGCAAUGAUAUACGUCUUGAUCUCGUCUUUAAUUCCCAAGGCAAAACCACCUCAUGCCCAUAAACCAACUGUAAGGGGAUACUUUUGUAGCACCAUGACAGGCCAUCCGAUAUGCCCAUUAAAAUUCAUUUAGCGUAACAUGCCAACGUCUUGGUUGCUCCUCAAUCUUCCUCUUGAUUAACUCGAUAAUCCCUUUGUUGGAUGCUUCAGCACCACUUGCUUGAGCAUAAUAAGGAGAAAAAUUCCAUAAUUUAAUUCCCAUACUGGCAGCAAAUUCAUCAAAUUCCACUGAAGUGAACAUAGUCCCCUGAUCGGUUGUAAUAGUCUGAGGGAUACCGAACCGAUAGAUAAUGUGCUCUUUAACAAAGUUAAUCAUGUUUGUCGAUGUCACAUUCUUCAAAGGAAUCACUUCAACCCACUUUGUAAAAUAAUCUGUUGCUACCAAUAUGAACUUGUGGCCCAUACUUGAUGAUGGAUAGUUCUGGCCGAUCAAGUCAAUUCCCCAACCCCUGAACGGCCAUGGCUUAAUUAUAGGAUUCAUAGCCGAUGUUGGAGCUCUCUGUACGUUGCCAGACCUUUGGCAAUCUUGACAACCCUUGUAAUACUUGAAGCAAUCUUCAAGGAUAGUUAGCCAGUAGUACCCAUUAUUUCUGAUUAUCCAUUUCAUUUUAAAGGCCAAUUGAUGAGCCCCACAAACUCCCUCAUGAAUUUCACCCAUUAAGCUUUUUGAUUCUUCAACACCAAGGAACUUGAGCAAGACCCCAUCAAUCAUCCGAUAAUAUAAAUCAUCCCCUAGUAACACAUAUUUUACAGCCUGAAGACGUACUCGUUUGUCAACCUUUUUGGAUGGAUCCCUUAAAUAAUCAGCUAUUUCUUUCCUCUAAUCAUCAACCAUCGGCUCUAAGGCCAUAGCACCACAAACCGGCCGAUACCCGGAAGCACUUUGAGCGAGUCUGUUAGCCUCUUCAUUGUAAGAUUUGGGAAUAUGCUCAAUGGUCAUGCUCUUGAAUUCCUUAGGUAACUGGAGGCACUCUUCAUGGUAGACUCUCAAAAUGUCAUCCUUGCAUUCAUAUUCUCUAGUUAAUUGAUUGACGACUAGCAUAGAAUCCCCAAAUAUUUUAACAGCAUUAGCUUUAAUCUUUCUCAAUAGCUUGAUGCCCUUUAAAAUAGCUUGAUAUUUGGCCUGAUUAUUGGUAGCGGUAGCAUCAAUUGACAACGAAAACUCAUAGUUUGCCCUCCGUGGUGACACAAGUACUAUGCCAAUCCCUGAGCCGAUUCCACAUGAAGAUCCACCAAAGAAUAAAGUCCAUGGAACUGGUUCCACGACAUCAACCUCCGGACCACAGUGCUAAACAACAAAAUCGGCCAUGACUUGUCCUUUAACAGCUUUAGCCGAUUCAUACUUUAGGUCAAAUUCUGACAGAGCCAAAAUCUAUUUUCCAAUUCUCCCAUUCAAAAUCAGCAACGACAAUAUAUAUUUGACAACAUCAUCUUUGCAUACGAUGAUGCAUUCAGCCGAUAAUAGACAAUGUCUAAAUUUAGUGCAGGAGAAAUACAAGCAUAAGCAUAGCCUUUCGACUGGAGAAUACCUGGUCUCCGCAUCCAAGAGUCUCCUGCUCACAUAAUAAAUUACCCAUUUGUUACCCUCAAACUCCUUAACAAGGGCCAAUCCGAUGGCACGCUCAUCAGCCGAUAAGUACAACUUGAAUGGCUUAUGUUCCUGGGGAGGUACCAACACUGGAGGUGACACUAAGUACCGCUUGAUAUCAUCUAACACCUUUUGUUGUUCCACUCCCCAAACAAAUUCUUGAUUGGCCUCUAAUUUUAACAACAAACUGAACGGUUGAAUUCUUCCAGACAAGUUUGAUAUGAACCAUUGAAUGAAAUUAAACUUGCCGAUCAAUGACUGAAGCUCAGUUUUAUUUUCCGGAGCAACAACCUUGUUAAUGGCACCAAUGAUCCUCUGACUAACCUCGAUGCCACGUUCAUGUACCAUGAAACCCAAGAACUGUCCACCCGAUACACCAAAAGCACACUUAUUUGGAUUCAUCUUCAGUCCAUGCUUCCUUGUGCACUCUAGAACCCUGCGUAAAUCAGCCAAAUGCUCUUGGUAUCCUUUUGAUUUAACCACGACAUCAUCGAUGUAAAUCUCCACUAUCUUGCUGAUGAGUUCAUGGAAAAUAUAAUUUAUGGCCCAUUGAUAUGUAGCCCCAGCAUUCUUCAAUCCAAAAGUCAUGACGAUCCAUUCAAAUAAGCCGAUGUGCCCAGGACACCUAAAGGCUGGUUUGGAAAUAUCUUCUUUAGACAUAAAUAUCUGGUUAUACCCAACAUUACCAUCCAUGAAACUAAUAACUUUGCACCCUGCAGCAGCAUCUAUCAGCACAUAGGCUACUGGCAUCAGAUAACCAUCCAUCAGCGUGGCUUUGUUGAGAUCCCUGAAAUCAAUACAAACUCAUAGCUUUCUAUUAUUCUUGUAUACAGGGACAACAUUAGAAAUCCAUUUAGCAUAAUGACACUGCUUGAUGAAGUUAGCUUCAAUUAAUCUUGUAAUCUUGGCUUUAAUAUCAGGAAACACUUUUGGAUUACAACGCCACGCAGGCAGCUGAUAUGGCCGAUACCCUAGCUUUAUAGGAAACCGAUGUUCAACAAUAAAUCGUUCUAAACCAGGCAUUUCAUAAUAUUCUCAAGCAAAGAAGUCUUUAAACUCCCUAAGUAACUUAAUCAAUUCUUGCUUAUAUUCAUAAUCUAUCUUAGCAGUAAUGUACGUCGACCUUUGCUUGCUACCAUCUUCAAGAUCUACCUGCUCUAAUUUAUCGGCCGACGUAUACCUGUGCCUAAGCUUCCCAUCAUCUUCAACGAACUCAUCCAUCAAGAUGAUUCUUCUGAGCCGACUGCUUGGACUGGCUAUAGUACAAAAUCGGACACCUUCAAGAAGUCUAUAUCCCAGGCUUUGCUAGAUAUACAACUUACUUGUUCACAGCUCCACUGUUGGGCAUCGGCUGCGGCAAUGCUGAAAGAGGAAUCGGUAGGGACAACUUCCACUGAAUCACUGAUGCACUGGAUGAGACAUUGAUGCAUUGUAGACGAGAUACAACAAUUGGCAUGAAUCCAAUCUUGACCUAAGAGCAUGUUAUAUGACCCUUUACCAUUAAUGAUGAAAAAUGUGGUAGGUAAGGUCUUACUUCCAACCAUCAAAUCAACGCAGAGUGCCCCCUGGGCUAGUGAGAUGUUUCCUUCAAAGUCUUUCAGCAUCAUAUCCAUUUUCGUCAAGUCUUCUUCGCCCUUUCCAAGCUUGUGAAACAUGGCAUAUGGCAUGAUAUUUACCGCCGCACCUCCAUCCACCAACAGCUUGGUAACUGGCCUCCCAUUAACCUAUCCUUUGAGGAACAAAGCUUUUAAGUGCCGAUGCUUUUCAUCCUCAGGCUUCUCAAAGGUAGCUAGCAUCGGCUCUAAGGUUAACUGCGCUGUCCCUAGCUUUGCUUCCGAUAUUUCACUAUGAUCAGCUGGAGCCAUAAACCCCAUCGGCAGAAUGAAGACCAUGUUCAUAUCUGCAUCCGAUUUAUGGUUAUUAUCCGUAUUAUCGGCUUUUGUUUUGACGCACCACACUUGGGAUUUGACUCUUUUCCUCUCUAGGGCACGUUUUUCUUCUUUUUCUUGUUGUUCCCAUUGGCGCAAGUGCUGAACUAUUCUCUUCUGGGACUUGGUCAAACCUUCUGGGCACCACCUAAGGUGCUUCACACCACCAUGCUAUGAUGCACGCUGCCUCUCUAGUUCGCGACACACCGGCUCCUCAUCAGGGACUCUUUCAUUGGCCCUUUCUUCCAGCCAAUUAGGUACAACAAUUCUGCCCCCAACCAAUCAUGCACAUUGACCCUGCCCCCCAGCCAAUCAUGCAUUGGAAUACGCCUAUCACCAUAAUCAAAUCUAUUUCUGAUGAUCGACUUGCGAUUUCUGUCAUCAAAGCAUGGCCUCUUAAACGAUCGGCUAUCUUGACACAACCCAUUGCACUCAGGGCAGUUAUUAGCCGAUGGUAGUUUGAUCCCUUCUUCCCAGCAGUAUAUGAAGAACGGGCACCUCCAAUGAUCUUCAUGGCGACGUAUCUUCUCUUCCCUGUGCGUUGCUAUCUCUUGUUGCCUUUGGAAUUUGUUGAGCAAUUCUUGAGAAGUAAUCAGCCUUGCAAGGUCCCUUUGAACUUUCUCCCUCUUCUAAUCGACCUUUUCCCUUGAUGUCAUCGACCGAUAUUUGAACUUGUGGAUCUACAACUCCACUUUUCUUGGCCAAUUCUAAAGUCAACACUUUGGUCUGGAUUGCACCUUUACCACCAACUUCCACCAUGUUAGUUGGGAAAGGGUGCUGGUCGAUCCUCAUUGGCUUUGGUGGCUUUGUAGGGACUUCAAACUUAAGUCUUCCAACUCAAUAGCUGAUUGGAUCUGCUGACGGAAAACUUUGCACUCAUUUGUAUCAUGAGAUAUAGCAUUAUGCCACAUGCAGUAUUUGAUCUUUUUGAGCUCCUCAGCUGAUGGGAUAGUAUGAUAGGGCGACAACUUGAUCUGCCCCUCUUGCAACAACAAAUCAAAGAUUUUGUUGGCUUUAGUAGUAUUGGACCCAAACUUUUCAAGUUCUUUCUUGCCAAAUGGACACAAAACUGGCUUUUUGUUUUUGAUCCAUUCAACCAAGCCAAUUUCCAUCUCUUCAUCCGAAUCGGAGUACUCCACAUAUGCAACCCUCUUUUGAAAGUUCCUCUUCUGCUCAUAAGGGCGCACUUCCUGGUUUGACAUCUGAUGCACGAGCUGACCUAGACUUUCAAACUCUUGCGAUGCGUAUUUUUCUUUGAUGUGCGGCAAGAGUUCUUGAAAGGCUACUUCAGCUAGCUGGCUAUCACUUAGGACCAAACUUUAGCAUUUGUUUUUGACUUCUCUGAAUCUUUGUAUAAAGCCAGCUACUGACUCAUCACUCAUCUGCCUUAAACUAGUCAAAUCCGUGAGCUUCAUCUCAUGAACUCCAGCAAAGAAGUAUUUAAGAAACUGCUUCUCCAGAUCAGCCCAGGAAAUAAUAGAAUUUGUUGGAAGUGACGUGAACCACGCAAAGGCCGAUCCGGACAAGGACGAUGAGAAUAGCCAAACCCUCAACGCAUCUUGUGCAACUGCUUCUCCACAUUGAAUAAUGAAUCGGUUGACGUGCUCCACUAUAGAAGUAUCAUCUUGUCCAGAGAACUUGGUAAAGUCAGGUACUUGGUAAAGGAAGCAGAUCAUAAGCAGGUGGAUACGGCAUUCUGUACAUGUAAGUCUACUACUUAGGUUUUAACCCGAACUGAUCUUGCAUUACUUCAGCUAUCUUUGCAGCCCAAUCUACCUGCUGGUGUGCAGACUGUGGCUGUCACGGUAUGACCAGCUGAAUCAUAAGUUGAAAAGUCAAUGCUUGUUGCUGCAGUUGUGGCAAAACUAUCGGCUGAGCAGCUGAUGCUUGUUGCUGAGGCUACGGCUGAACUAUCGGCUGAGAAGCCGAUGCUUGCUGCUGAGGAAGGAUAACGUGCUGUAGUGUGCCUACCUCCUCAUUACAAUACCAUUGUUGACCUGUCUUGAUGACGUAUCAAAGUGCCGGUUCCCCCAUUGACUUUUGAAGUAUCUUGCUGUUGAUGUUGAGUCGUCGGUUGAGGAGUCAACACCUGUGGUAUCUGUAUAUGAGACCCUAUGGAUGGGGUGAACGACCCUGGAGGCAUUCCAAACCCAGUGAUCGGGUUCCAUCCAAUUGGUGUUCCUGCUGCUCCCCAUUGCGCUGAUGAUGAAGUCAACAGCGAUGGAGUAGAAUAUACUGGGGAAAUCUGAGUCCCCAUCUGCGUCGGUGGAGGUAAUGUAGCAUUGGGCGUCAGUGGUGGCAUAACAUUGUAACCUCCUCUUGACUGCAUCAGCUAAGAAACCGAAUGAGUCAUACCAGGCGUUGUCAUGAUGUUUCCGAUUGGGGCACUAUUCACCCUACUAGGGGACUCAUAGGUUGGACCUCGAUAACCUUGAGGAGCUCCCCCGAGUAAAGUGUUGACGACAGCGUUGUGAACGGUGUUGGUCAUUACUGAAGAUUGAUUGAUCAACACUUAAUGAACAGCUUGGUUGACCAUCUCUUGCAUCUUCCCUGGAUUCUCAUCGAUAGUGAUAUGAUGAGGGGUUGGAAAAUCAUGCUUUUUAAUAGUUUCUCCCCUCUUGGUAAGGCUACAGACCUCAAGUACAUUAAUUUAUAUUCCUCCAUAGCUCUUGCCAGGUCACUUUUCUGAUCCUCCUUGAGAUCAUCUUUCGUAACCUCCAUGAUAUUUUUGUUUGAGAGAUCAGAAGGUUCCGGAAUAGACAUGUUGAAAACUGCUCGUAGUCCCACCGGGCGUGCCAAAAGUGUGUUGAUGCAAAAAUCGAACGGUGACCUUCGCGUACUAACAGACGAAACCUGAGAGAUCUGCUUCGCUCAAGUACAGGUUGUAACCCUCUCGAUCCAAGGCGUGCCAGUCAAUUUGACCUGCUAAUUAACAAGGGCAAAGAAGAUGUUAAAUUCGAGAGCAAAUCAGCUGAUGUUCCGAUUAGCUCCAAAAGAUUGUAACGGCCGGGUAGCCGAUACAGAAAAAAAACGAUCGGCUAGGUCAGCCGAUGUAUGCGUAAUCAAUGCAAAGGAAUUGUUGAAAGGCAACAUAAACAAUGCUACGCGAACAACACUUGAAACAGAUCUAAUUGGCUAUAGAACAGUUUUUGAUUGUAAAACAGGAUACGAAGCCAAUCGGAACCUAUACCAAGUUGGAUAGUGGUGAUAAAAGCUAAAGCAACAAGAUUUAAACAAAUAAACUUGCAGAUUUAGCAAAUAUCAAUAACUUGAUGAAUAAAUCUAGACGAAACAAUAGCGAUGCACCGGAAGUUAAAGCCUAGAAAUUACUUGAUAAACGCGGAACUUACAAUCCAGCCGGAGAUCAAGAUGAUGCAACCCUGCUAGCUUGGAAGAACUCGUGAAGAAAAGGAGAACUUUGGCGAAGUCGCUGACUUGAAAGUAAAUUACGAAUAAAGUAGAUUUGUUUGUUUGUGUGUACAUCUUUUUCAAACCUCGCAGGGUCUCUAUUUAUUGUAGGGAUAUGAGGUAGGCUACGCUAGCGCAAAUCAAAAUUUUUCUACCGCGUAAACCAGGAAAACUGCCGUAUAAGGAUCACGGGAUUACCACUCGACGCACUGGUGCAGAAGAUGUACAAUCGCGUCGGGGCAGCGAAGUCGAUCAGCGUAGUCGAACACGUAGUCGAUCACGUCGAUGUCGAGCAGCUCCUCAGCAACUCGUCCACGUGCAGCAAGAUCGUCCUCGUGCCGCGGCUCGUCAUCGGCUCGUCGUGGCUCGUCGGCGGCUCGUCCAAGUGCUGCAGGCGCAACACCUCCAAGGUAUCCACACGUGCAGGGAGGAAGCAUCGCAAGCCAGACUGCUAGGUCCGCGAGUUGCAACAGGCAAGGGCGUGGGAGGCGUGGCAGAUGUGUUUCGGCCAAAAAGGGAUCAAACCCUAGGGCUCCCCCCCCCUCCAUUUAUAGAGGUUCCUGACGGGCCUUUGGGUCCGAGGCCCAUUAGUAAUUCUAAACCCUUAAGUGUGUGACCCUAUGGGUUCGAAUACAUAUAGAUAUGGCCCGAGUACUCCUAUUCGGCCCAAUAGUCGGUAGCGGCCUCUAGCAAGACGUGCCAACUCCUAUACGCACACAAAGAUCAUAUCAGACGAACCGUCACAACAUCAUGUACAUGCUAUUCCCUUUGCCUCACGAUAUUUGGUCUAGCUCCAAGCCGACCGCUUUUCUCGAUCCUAUGAUUCGGAAUCCCUUUGUAGGUUAACUCUUAACUGUACGUAGCAUGGCUCUGCAUUUUCGAAUCCGAUCACUCGAGGGGCCCAGAGAUAUCACUCUCAAUCAGAGAGGGGCAAAUCCCAUCUUGAUUGACCAUGUCGCACAGCAUGCUUCUUGACAAAUCCGAAAGCUACCUUUUUAACUACCCUGUCACGGUGUAGCGUUUGAUAGCCCCUAAGUAAGUCAAUCCACAUCUUGAGUAUAUGCGACAAUCUUAGGUCUAAGGACAAAAGCGUACAUGUUGUGUAAAGACAGAACUACUUCUCGUGUUGGGUCAGUCCUAGCACAUGUCUCCACAUGUGCCCACAUUAUUAGUUUAAUAUCUCCAUGUCCAUGACUCAUGAAACAUAGUCAUCAACUAAUACAUGUGCUAGUCUAAUAUUCAUGUGUGUCCUCACAUGAACUCCGACUAGGGACAACUUUAGAAUAACCAUACAAGUAAAGAGUUUCACAUACAAUUCACAUAAUUGCAAAUUAAUUCAAGUAGCCUUUAAUGGAUAUUCAAGGAACACAAUAUAAUUCACGGAUACAAAUGGAAUAUCAUCAUCUCUAUUAUUGCCUCUAGGGCAUACCUCCAAAAGUCUCCCACUUGCACUAGAGUCAAUCUAGAAGGUACCUAAUACCCAUAGCUCUUACAUGCGCAUCAUGCUUAGCCUGCGAGAGUGGUUUUAUCAACGGAUCAGAAAUGUUCAGAUCCAUGUGUAUUUUGCAUAUCUUGAUCUCACCCCGGUUAACGAAAUCUUGAAUAAGAUGAAAUCGCCGCAUUACGUGUUUGUUCUUCUGGUGGUUCCUUGGCUCCUUUGCUUGCACAAUUGCCCCAUUGUUAUCACAGUAGAGAUUCAAUGGGAUGGACGCAUUCAAGAACACACCAAGCUCAAUGAGGAAAUUCCUUAUCCAAACACCCUCCUUCGCGGCUUCCGAAGCCGCGAUGUACUCAGCUUCUGUGAUAAAAUCGGCCACUGUCUCCUACUUGGAACUCUUCCAACUAACAGCACCACCAUUUAGCGUCAACACAAAUCCUGAUUGUGACUUUGAAUCAUCUCUGUCGGUUUGGAAACUAGCAUCGGUGUAACCUGUUACAGCGAGCUCCUCCUCACCUCCAUAGACGAGAAACAUAUCUUUAGUCCUUCUUAAGUACUUAGAAUAUUUUUCACUGUUGUCCAGUGACUCUCACCUGGAUCAGACUGGUGUCUACUUGUCAUACUUAGCGCAUAUGAAACAUCUGGGCGAGUACUUAUCAUUGCAUACAUGAUAGAUCCAAUAGCCGAGGCAUAUGUCACUCUACUCAUGCGAUCCCGCUCAUCAGCAGUCGAAGGACAUUGAGUCUUGCUGAGAUGUAUGCCAUGUGACAUAGGCAAGAACCCUUUCUUCGCCUCUUCCAUCCUGAACCGCUUCAACACUUUGUCAAUAUAAGUAUCUUGGCUUAAUCCUAUAAGCCUUCUCGAUCUAUCUCUAUAGAUCUUAAUACCCAGAAUAUAUGCCGCUUCCUCUAAGUCCUUCAUCGAAAAACUAUUUUUCAGUGAAGUCUUUACGGACUCAAGUAUAGGAAUGUUAUUUCCAAUCAGCAAUAUGUCAUCCACAUAUAAGAUUAGAAAUACUACAGAGCUCCCACUAACCUUCUUGUAAACACAAGACUCUUCUUUGUUCUUGGUGAAGUCAAACCCUUUGACCACUUCAUCAAAAUGAAUGUUCCAACUCCUAGAUGUUUGCUUCAAUCCAUAAAUGGAUCUCUGAAGCUUGCAUACUUUUCCAGCAUUUUUUGGGUCGACAAAACCCUCUGGCUGUAUCAUAUACACGUCCUCAGCUAGGUUUCCAUUUAGGAAAGCUAUCUUGACAUCCAUCUGCCAUAUCUCAUAAUCGAAAUAUGCAGCUAUAGCUAGAAUAAUCCGAAUGGACUUAAGCAUCACUAUGGGCGAGAAGGUCUCGUCGUAGUCAACUCCUUUAACUUGUCGAAAACCUUUUGCGACAAGUCGUGCUUUAUAGAUGUGAACAUUUCCAUCCAUGUCCCUUUUCUUCUUAUAGAUCCACUUGCACUCUAUGGCUUUAACACCAUCAGGCGGGUCAACCAAGUUCCAAACUUGAUUGUCUCCCAUGGACUCUAUUUCGGAUUGCAUGGCACUCUGCCAUUUUUCGGAGUCUGGGUCCAUCAUUGCUUCUGCAUAUGUUGCAGGCUCAUCAUUGUCCAACAAUAAUAUUUCCCGCAUUUCGCGGAGCCUUGCCGACCUUCGUGGUUGUGGCGGUGCUUCUCUUGCCAUGAGUAUCUCAACUUAUUCUGCUACGUCAGCAUCACUCAUUGAUUCUUGCCCGAUCGGCUCAUCUUAAACUUCUUCAAGAUGCACUGUCUUUCCACUCUUUUCUCCUUUAAGAAACUCUUUCUCUAGGAAAACCCCGUUCCGAGUGACAAACACUUUGCCCUCUGACCGGUUGUAGAAAUAAUAUCCUAACGUUUCCUUUGGAUAUCCCACGAAAAUGCACUUAUCCGACUUGGGUGUGAUCUUGUCCGACUGAAGUUGCUUGACAAACACUUCACAUUCCCAAAUCUUUAGAAAAGACAAACUGGGAACUUUUCCGGUCCACAUCUCAUAUGGUGUCUUAACUACGGAUUUAGAUGGUACCCUAUUAAGUGUGAAAGCUGUUGUUUCCAGAGCGUAUCCCCAAAAUGAUAACGGUAGGUCCGACUGGCUCAUCAUUGAUCAAACCAUGUCUAACAAAGUUCGAUUACGUCGCUCGGAUACACCGUUUCUCUGGGGUGUUCCAAGCGGCGUAAGUUGUGGAACAAUUCCGCAACUCUUUAGAUGAUUGCUAAACUCGUGGCUCAAAUACUCGCCUCCACGAUUAGAUUGUAAGGCCUUAAUUUUCUUGCCACGCUGAUUUUCAACUUCAUUCUAAAAUUUCUUGAACUUUUCAAAGGUUUCAGACUUGUGACUCAUCAAGUAGACAUAGCCAUAUCUACUAAAAUCAUCAGUGAAAGUUAUGAAGUAUUGGAAUCCUCCUCUAACCGUCGUGCCCAUUGGUCCGCAUACAUCGCUUUGUACGAGUUCCAACAAGUCUACUACUCUCUCAGGAAAACCUGUGAAAGGUGUCUUGGUCAUCUUGCCUAGCAAGCAAGCCUCACAUGUCUCGUAUGAUUCAAAAUCAAACGAAGUUAGAAGUCCAUCAGAAUGGAGCUUCUUCAUGCGCUUUUCACUUAUAUGACCCAAAUGACAAUGCCACAAGUACGUAGGUGUAAUGACUUAGGUUUAAUCAGUCGAGCUUAAUCUUAAGACAAGUUCCCAAAUCUGCCGUUCAACUCAGCCCGACCCCUGAAACCCAAUUAAACAGCACCAACCUAGUGAACAUCAGCUCUUCUCUAAGUCCCGGAACCAGUGUUCUUCCAAAUCUUGGAGUUGUGGGAGAGCCAAAGGCUGGAAGAUGGACCCAAAACCAGAUCCCAUGGAUCUCUCGGGUCCAACGCGCUAGAGCCAGCGUGCGCCCUGCUUCAGAGCCUCUCCGCCGCGUGGCUCAACCUCCCCGACGAGCGCCGCCUCGCCCAGUCGCCAGCCGCGACAAGAAAGAUCAGCGCGCCUCCUUCCCAAUCGCACGCAGAAGCACCCUGCAGACUUUCCGCCUCGUCUCGUCUUGCCCGCAACCUCGCUAGCUGCACCAGGCGCCCUGUCACCGCUGCGACCAGGGAUUGGCCGCUGCCGCGCCAGACCGCCUCGCCUCCCGCGCUCAUCAUCUCACCCAGAUCCCUAGCCGCGCGCCCCGAUGCCUUCCGGCUUUUCCGUCACCCUCUCAGUUGCGCUGCCCACGCGUGCGCCCCACGACAAUACCGUCCUCGCCAACCACGGCUCCGGCAGAGGCAGCUCCUAUUCCCGCCUCGCCAGUAGCGUGCCCCGGCAAAGCUGCUGGUCUGCGCCGGCUCGCAUCGCCACUCACCCGGUCACCUCGCCUAUAGCGCCCUCACCUGCAGUGCCCCUUUCUUCCUUCCUGUCACACGCUAGUCGAGCCGCCGCACCCAAUCCGCCGCUUGAUGUGACCAGACUCGCGCUCGCCCUCGCCAAUCCUUCCCUCCAGCAAAAUCGUGCCUGCACAAGCUCUGUCUCUAGUGCCCAAUGACCGAAGACCCUAUCCCCAAAGCUCCGCUUCGCCGGCCAAUGGAGGCAUCGACCAAUCGCCGCCAUGGCAGAGCACUUCAUCCCCUUCGACCUGAUCCUCGCACUGCCCGAACUCCUACUCUUCCACACAGCUAUAAAAGGGAGUACCAGAGCCUCUACCAGAGUUCCCUUCAACAUCGUUGCCUCACCGCACCUUCCUCUAUUCGCACUCAAGCGCUGUCGCAUAAGCUCUUGAGGAACUUCCCCUCUCCGCUCAACACCCGCUUUUCCCAACCCACCAGCCGCCUGUUUUCUCCGCACGAUGCUAGAGCUUACUUGUUGUACACAAGGAGCAUCGCCGCCGCCGGAGCACCGCCGGACCUCGCCGCCACCCAAGCCUUAGCACCUUAAGUCUUUCCGCCUGAGUCUAUUCCUUCCCGACCACAAGACUUCACCAAGUGGGCCUAAAGGUAAGCUGCCGACCCCUUUCCGGCUCGCCCGACCCCUUUUUCCGUCUCUCCCGACCCUAUCUGUUCGCCGACCCUUGUCCGCCUCGCCCGAGGGCUCGGCUAUAUCUUUUUCUUUGACCCGAGGGUAUCUGUGUAAAAUUUCGGGACUUCUCUGUGUUAAGUCUGAGGACCCUGGUACAGUUAUUCCUUAGGUCUGAGGGUCAGAUCAUAAGUUUCUCCCCAUCCGACCCUUUUGUCUUGUUCUCUAUCAACUGAAGCUUGGAAUUCCACACCUUUUCCUGUAGCUUGCUACAAUUUUCUGAGCUAAAGUGUGCAAGUGUUGUUGAAAUAACCUUCUAAAUGUUUAACCCUUGCAUUUGCAUUUUCGUGUAGAACUAAAUCUCACCGAUAGCACCUACGAGCUGCAUCCGGUGCCAGAAGACGGAGCGCUAGCUGAGCCGCCGACCGCAAGAGCUGAAGCAGAACCCGCAGAAGACCAGUUUGCCUCCGCCCCGCUCGAAGGAAAGCCCCGGAGCAUAACCCAACUUUUCUAAACUUGUGCACGCCUUCACUUGUAUGCAUGUGCAUUUACGUUAUAGGAGUUGUUUGAAACCAUAGAUGCAUGACUCAGUUCCCUUGAUCUGAACACUAGCAUGAUAAGUCCGAAUAGUUGCAAUGCUUAACAGGACUCGGUAAAAGUCGAGUGAUUCCCUGUCACUCGCGAGUUAUAGGAGUUGCUUGUUUUCCUUCUGGUUACAACUAUAAGGAUGGUGGACAGGGCAGGGCCUUGUGAACUCUUUUUGGUGGUCGGUGGAUCGCCCCGUCUGUCUAUAUGAAACUGCUUAAGGUCGGAAAGUGUUGGUGUUUAUGAUCAAGUGUUUGAAAGUACUAAUCUCAUACCUAGUAUGGGAUGGGGAAGCCUAGUACCUGAUUGAACUAGGGCGUGGCUUAUACCCCUGCUGUCCCUGGAACGAGGUUCCCAUGGUGCAUCAUGUGGGUGCAAGUGCGGUCACAGUACGACAAGAGGUCGGGACUGUGGAGCAUUGCAUGCCAAGGGAAGUUUGGACCUGACACGUGCCUGGGAAUUGAUGGGGACGGCCGACACAGGAAGCGACCCUCGGUGGUGCGCGGAUGUCGUGAGAUUAGGUUUGCCAUGCAUGGUUAAGAAACCCGAAUCAAUUCGUCUGCCUCUCACAGUUUGAGACUGCUUGAUCGCUAUGCUACACUGAGUAAAGAUGAAAUAUGGUGAUGAUAUGAACUUGAUGCUUUCUCUAUAUAUAUAUUGUUUGGAAACUAUGUUUGCUUAGCAUAAGUUGCAAAUAUAGACUGGUUAAUGAACUUAGAACCGGAGCUAAAAUAUUAAAAGUAAGGACCCACUGUAGUUGCUUUUGGCAGAACAAACCCCUCAACCAAAGAGCCUUGCAUGUCUAAAAGUUGGUGGAGUAGUUUUCCACCGGUCGGUUAAGUCUUGUUGAGCUUAGUAGCUCAGCCUUGUUUGUGGCAUCUCUUUCAGGUGAAGUUGCAGCUUCUGAGUGUGCUGCUAUUGGCACUUGGCCGCCCCAGCUUCCUCCUGGUCGGACGGCGAGGACAGGGACCAUUGAUGUCCUGAUCGGCCUCAUCAGGGACAUCCGACCCGACGCUAGUUUCCGCCGUUCUGUUUUACAUUUUUCCGCUGCUCAUGAACUUGUAAAACUCUGAUUUUCAAACCAGUGUUGAAAUAAAUUGUUGAACUUGUUUAACUUGGAUGAUCUGUUGUAUUCUCUGUAACCACUCACCUUCAUGUGAACUAUGCUAACUCGGUCCUGUAUAAGUGGUUUUAUCGGAUGAAAUCCGACGGAUCGUCGAGUUGACUUGAUUAAAGCAUAUGAUCGCGUGUUAGGCGACUUAAAUGUGCUUUAGUUAAGUUAAUCCGAGGUGUUCUGCCACAGUAGGACUCAAAUCAUUAGGCCGAGGCCUUUUAGCACUUACGUUACAGACAGGUGAACCAUCAAGAUUUAAAAAAAACAAUCCAUUCACAAUGGGUGCAAAAGCCAUAAACAUAUCAUUCUUAGAGAUCACACAACCAUUGUUUUCACUCACAAAUGAAUAACCAUCCUUCAUCAAGCAUGAAGGAGACAAAAUGUUUCGACUUAAACUAGGAACGAAAUAACAAUUAUUCAACUCCAUAAUAAAUCCUGACGGGAGGUGGAGUUGCAUCGUCCCAACGGUCAACACAACAACUCUUGCAUUAUUGCCCACGCGGAAAUCAACUUCUCCUCUUUCCAUGCUUCUACUUCUUAUCAUUCCCUGCAUCGAAUUGCAAAUAUGAGCAACCAAUCCGGUAUCAAAUACCCAAGAAUUAAUAAUUGUAUCAGCGAGAAAUAUGUUGUCUAUAACAUUAAUAACAAGCGUACCUGAGGUGGAAGUACUCUUACUUCCGCCAUUCUUCAACGAAGCUAGGCACUGCUUGCAAUUUCUCUUCCAGUGACCAAGUUCAUGACAAUAAAAGCACUCUUUGUCUGGAGCAAGUCCAGGUCCAGCUUUAACCUUGGGUGCUGGGUUUGGCUUGGACAUUCCAGCCUUGCUCUUCUUCUUUCAAGAAUUGCCCUUCUUCUUAAAGCUAGGCUUGUUCUGUAUAGCCAUCACAUGGCUACUACUAGCGCUUUUCUUAAUGUCAGCCUCUGUUAUUUUAAGCAUGACACACAGUUCAUUCAGACCCUUCUCCGUCCCAUGCAUAUGGUAGUUCGAGAUGAAGUUCCCAUAGCAGGACGAAAGAGACGAAAGAAUGAAAUCAGUGGCCAACUCUUGGCCCAGUGGGAAGCCCAGCUUCUCCAACCGUUGAGUGUAACCAACCAUCUUGAUUACAUGUGGUCCUACUGCUGCGCCUUCUGCUAGCUUCCUCUCCACAAAGGCCUCAGACACAUUGAACCUUUCAGUCCUGGCCUGUGUUUGGAACAUGUCUCUAAGCUCCACGAUCAUAUCGUGCGCCUCAUGGUUUGUUUUGAACUACAUCUGCAGCUCGGGUUCCAUGCAAGCAAGGAUAAGGCAGAUUACUUCGAGGUCAGCAUCACAUGCUUUCUUGUAAGCAUUCUUAGUAGUAGCAUGUGCAUCAUCAGCAGGUUCUUCUGGUAGUGGGUUGUCUAGAACAUCUUCCUUUUUCUCAACCCUGAGAACAAUUCUCAGGUUACGGAUCGAAUCCGAGUAGUUUGUUCCAUUCAACUUGUCCUUCUCAAGGACCGAACGCAAAGCAAACGGUGUAGUGCUGCUAGGUGCCAUUUAAUCUACAACAAAAGUAAUGCAAAAUACACUAAGACAAACGUAUCCAUGAUAGAGCAAAUCACAUUAAACUAUUUUAACAGAAUCUACUCCCACUAAAAUCAAUAUCCCUCUAUUGAUACUUAGUGAUUCAGGAUCCACAACUAACAAGUCCACUAGUGAGCUUUAGCAUCACCGCUAGCAAACAAGGUAGAUCGGUAAGCAACUUCUUGCUAAUCAUAUCACAUAUGAUUCCUGUUGUUGGGUGACAUCUCCAUGUCUUGGCACCCAACCUUUAUGCUCCAAGGUCCUUAACCAUUAAGAUAACCUUGUUAAGCAAACCAACCCUUAUGCGUGUAAGUGUCCGACACAAACCCGUCUAGUCAAGGAAAACUAGUGGCACCCUAAUUUCAUAGACCCACCACCAAUUGUACAAGACAUGGGAUGGUGCAAGUUUUAGUUGGGAAGACAUACUAACUUAAACUUUGUGAGGGAUCGUUCUACUUCUAACAUCACAUCAUGCAGGAAGUAAAACAUAAAGAAUAACAUGCACACAAUUGUGACACAGUAUGGCCUGUUUUCUUAUGGUAAUUUCCAUCUCCACAGAACCUGUUCACCAUGGUGAUCUCCAUCUCCAUGUUCCAUGUGCGUCAUCCUCCUGGUGAUGAGUCCUCAAGGAAAUAGAACAUGCUAUGAUGCCUAAUAGCUGGUAAUGAAGAUUACAUAGUUGCUUGAAUCAUCAUAGAUUGGUACGCAGACCAUUAAAUACAUUAAACUGACAACACAUAUGGCUCCAGCCAUGUUGGCGUACGCGCGACACGCAGGUCAUGAAUGACUAACACACAUGCAUCACAUACACAAAGGGCCAUACUGAUCACAAGAUACAUACAUCCUGCAAAAUAGAGUUAGGCGUUCUAACGUUCCAAACAUCAGAGACCCGAAACUCCAUCUUCCAAGCUGAAUUUGGGAAAUCUAAUUUUGCCGAAAAUGGCAAAGCCAUUGAAUUUCAUGUGUAGCUUUUUCUGUAGAUCAAUUUUCAUCUAAAAUUCGUACCAAUCCGAGAUCGUACCGAAAAGUUACGGCUGUUUUACCGAAGCACACGCACACGGCAAAAUUCCGACCCGGCAGUAGAUCCAUUCUACUAUUGCGCAUCUCAUGCGCCUGGCGUAUGAACCUGAAUUUCGAUUCGACCAAUCACAUCGAUCUUCGCUCGUUGCAACUGGCAUUAUGUGAAUCACUUAACUCUGAUGGUGGAAAUACGACCGGUAGGAGUAUGUCGUUACACAACCAUUGCAGCACGAUUAUGAAACUAGGACAUAGAUCAAACUGAAAACUCGCAUAUCUCCAUAUGCACACAUCCCGAAUCUAAAACAAAACAGUUACGGCUCUGAUACCACUGUAGGGAUACGAGGUAGGCUAGGCUAGCGCAAAUCAAAAUUUUUCUACCGCGUAAACCAGGAAAACUGCCGUAUAAGGAUCACGGGAUUACCACUCGACGUACUGGUGCGGAAGAUGUAGAAUCGCGUCGGGGCAGCGAAGUCGAUCAGCGUAGUCGAACACGUAGUCGAUCACGUCGAUGUCGAGCAGCUCCUCAGCAACUCGUCCACGUGCAGCAAGAUCGUCCUCGUGUUGCGGCUCGUCAUCGGCUCGUCGACGGCUCGUCGUGGCUCGUCGGCGGCUCGUCCAAGUGCUGCAGGCGCAACACCUCCAAGGUAUCCACACGUGCAAGGAGGAAGCGUCGCAAGCUGGACUGCUAGGUCCGCGAGUUGCAACAGGCAAGGGCGUGGGAGGCGUGGCAGAUGUGUUUCGGCCAAAAAGGGAUCAAACCCUAGGACGCCCCACCCCUCUAUUUAUAGAGGUUCCUGAUGGGCCUCUGGGUCCGAGGCCCAUUAGUACUUCCAAACCUGAUCCAACUUGGAUCAUAUCCGAGUUGGGCUUCCAGCCCCUUAAGUGUGUGACCCUAUGGGUUCGGAUACGUAUAGACAUGGCCCGAGUACUCCUAUUCGGCCCAAUAGUCGGUAGCGGCCUUUAGUAAGACGUGCCAACUCCUAUAUGCACACGAAGAUCAUAUCAGACGAACCGUCACAACAUCAUGUAGAUGCUAUUCCCUUUGCCUCACGAUAUUUGGUCUAGCUCCAAGCCGACCGCUCUUUCUCGAUCCUGUGAUUUGGAAUCCCUUUGUAGGUUAACUCUUAACCGUACGUAGCAUGGCCAUGUAUUUUCGAAUCCGAUCACUCGAGGGGCCUAGAGAUAUCACUCUCAAUCAGAGAGGGGCAAAUCCCAUCUUGAUUGACCAUGUCUCACAGCAUGCUUCUUGACAAACCUGAAAGCUACCUUUUUAACUACCCUGUCAUGGUGUAGCGUUUGAUAGCCCCUAAGUAAGUCAAUCCACAUCUUGAGUACAUGCGACAAUCUCAGGUCUAAGGACAAAAGCGUACAUAUUGUGUAAAGAGAGAACUACUUCUUGUGUUGGAUCAGUCCUAGCACAUGUCUCCACAUGUGCCCACAUUAUUAGUUUAACAUCUCCAUGUCCAUGACUCGUGAAACAUAGUCAUCAACUAAUACAUGUGCUAGUCUAAUAUUCAUGUGUGUCCUCACAUGAACUCCGACUAGGGACAACUUUAGAAUAACCAUAGAAGUAAAGAGUUUCACAUACAAUUCACAUAAUUGCAAAUCAAUUCAUGUAGCCUUUAAUGGAUAUUCAAGGAACACAAUAUAAAUCAUGGAUACAAAUGGAAUAUCAUCAUCUCUAUGAUUGCCUCUAGGGCAUACCUCCAGCAUUUAUAUCCUAAACUCAAGACUCCUAGUCCCAGUCGAUUACGACCCAAUACAAUAUCUGUAACUAAAGAAACAAACUUGUCUAAAUAAAACGACUCGUACAAGAGUCGGAAAUGAAUUUGGCUUCCCUCGACCUACUCUACAUCCAUUGUCUCGCAAUAUCUUUGCCGAUCAAGACUCUCUUGCCUUUUAACGGUCGAACCCCAAUAUCUCCGAUCGGCUGGAAUCCUCUUGCUCUCAUCGGUUGGGUCCCCAUCACCCUUCAUCGGUUGACACCUCCCGUCCUCAUCGGCUGGGUCUCCGUCACCUUUCAUCAGCUGAACCUUUGUGACUCUAUCGGCCGUUUUCACUAGCCGUUGCCCUUCUGUCAUGCGGCAGCAUCUCUGCUUUAUUUUGAUGCUAGUUUUGACACAUGUCAAAAAAUGGUGUCAACACUCCUUUCUCGUGGAUGGACGCCAAAGGAAUUGUGAUGAAAACAGUGUCAUGGUACCCUAGACCGAUUCCUUUUCCUAUUUUUGGAUUGAGUUUGCCAAAGGGGGCCAAUGCUAGUGUUUUCGUUGACGAGAUCGAGAGGCGGGCUGUGGAUAUUCUAGGGCCCUGUCACGAGAAUGAGUUUUUGUCUACUCGUAAGUUUGUUACGCAUGGUCUUCGAGUGAACCGUGUUUUUUCGGAGAUGGGCAUAGAGGUGGAACCUCACGUCAAACCUCGCAAACCCUCUACGCGGAUGAGCGAGGCUGGUACGACUGGUUCGGUUGAAAUUGGUGGAAAUGGGGGGAAGGAUAAGAAGAAAAAGAAACCUAAUGACUCAGCUUCUUUGUCUGUGGUCGACGUUAGCAAGAAAUCCAAGAUCUCUAGCCUCGAGGCUCUUAAGAAGAAAAGUUUACUUGGUCAAGGCUCCUCUGCUGAUCAGCAGUUGAGCUUUUCCAGCAAAAGGCUCGAGGUUGGCAAAAGCUUUGUGCUUACAAAAUGCGAGCUCAAGGCUAAGUCGGAUACCACCAGGUCAGAGCUCAAAGCUUCCGGAGCCUUGGCUGGGUUCAAGUUGAAGAAAUCUGGAAAGAAAAUUGGAGUAGGAAUUGUAAGUGUCCUAGAUGAUGAUGAUGAUGAUGAUUAUGAUGAUGAUGAUGCAGAAUUUUGAGAUGAGGAUUUGUCUCUAGCUUCGUCUUUGCACCUCAAGGCUGAGGAAACGUCUCCUCGAAAAGAGUUGUGCCCCGAGGCUGCUAUUGCUACCAAGAAUGACAAACUUGACCCGGUGCCUGCUGAGUCAGGUAAAAAUAUCGUCAAAUUUUCGCCUAAAUUAAGCUUCGUAGAUUCCAACGGUGCCUCUAUUAAUUUUUUAUGGAAUUCCAAAAUACUUUUGGCGCAGCUGGAGAGCCAUACAACAAGCUCUCGAUGCUUUUGAGAGUGAAUCCUGUACCCAAGGGCUCUGCUCUGCCUCAGUUUGUGGUAGAUUACAGUAAGGCUUUUGGCACAGAACUUAGGGAAAAUUUAUUGUCUGUUCAUGUGCCUAGGUCAGGUGAGGAUGAUGAUCCUUUCAAUCCGCCACUUCUAUGGGGAUCGAGAGACUCACUUCAGGUUGUAGGUGAAAUAGCAAAGGCAACUUUAGGGGUGGCUAAAACUGAUAUUUCUUCCGAGGUUCCUGAGGAGGGCGAGGUUGCCAAGGAAAAAGAGAAAAUUCCUCAAGUUCCUACAAGGGUUAAGCCUUCUGCUCAAGAUAAUACUCGAGGCAAUUCAUUUGAUCUCGAGGGUUUGUAUUUUGAUGAUGUCUCUUGUUUUGUUUGAUUCUUGCUUACUUGCUUAUUUAUAUGAUGUUCGAUGUUUUGAUAGAUUACGAGAAGUCUUUACGAUGCUACGACCCUAUCAUUUGGCAAGAAUAACAGCUACCCUCAGGUAUAAGGUAUUGCUUUUGUGACUGUCGAGGUUUUGGUGGUCUAGCAAUGCGGUCUUUUUCUUAGUUUUUUUACUUGUUUUUCGUCAUUUCUCUUUUUAGGCUGUGAUUUCUAACAAGGUUGGCAUUGAUAGGUUUCAGGAGAAAGAGAAAGCCGCACUUAGCCUCAGCACCAAGAUUCUGGAACUCGAGGCUAAGAUUGUGAGGUUAAACAAGGAGAACGCGUCUUUAAAUGAUCUUACGACCUCACUUUCUUAGGAAAACACAGAUUUGAAGAAAAAUAAGGAAUUGCUUGUGAAGACAUGUAGUGACCUUGUUCAGAGGGUGGAAAAUUUGGAGAAAAUUUAACAAGAUAAUCUUGGUGUUAUAGAGAAGUUGCGGAGCACUAUAAAAAAGGAUUCAACAACUAUUUCAUCUUUGAAAAAAGCUUGCGCUGAAAAGUAUACGAUGAUCCAUACACUUGGCAAGAGCCUCCAGGACCAGAAAAUUUUUAUUGAUGAAGGGGAAUAGGUGUUGAAGAGUAGAUUUGCAUAGGUUCACAAUGGAUAUAAACUUGCUUUGGCAGAGUUUGGUGCAGGAGCCCCUUCCUUUCCCUACAGACAAGGGGCCAAGGAGAUGUUUGAUUGGAUGGACCAAGAGUUUGAGUCCUUUCCCUAGGUCAUUGUUGGGGCUAGCAACUACGCGGCCUCUUUUUGCUGUGAUGGCAUGCUGAUAAAUUGCUGGAGGGUGAUGGUUGUUCUGAUUUUUUGAAGUUUGGGGCAUGCAGUUAUUAGUUUCCUUUAGCCUCGAAGCUUGAGGAACAAGAGAUGUCUAAAAAUAUUAAAAUUUUGAAGAAAAAUUCCUUGAAACGAUUCUGGGCAGCUUCUGGACACGAUCAUGCAAGGCUAGUUGCUCGUGAUCAACUUGCGAAGGUUUGUGUUCUUAACUCUUGAUUGAUGUUUGUACCUUUUCUAGUUGUUUUCUUACUGGUAUUUUUUUGAUCAGGCCAAGGGUAAGGAAUCGAGGGACGAAGGUGAAGCUGGUGGUUCUGGGCAGCACGAGGCGUAGGCUCGAGGCUUGAUUUAGUUUGAUGUGAAGCUUAGGAUCAGGAAGUGAGACAUUUGCUGGUUGUAAUAUUUGAUGGUUGUAAACAUUUGCUGUAUUGGAUGCCUUUUCGACCAUAGCUAUUUGAAUAUAGUUGUUAAUUGUGGUGUUUGUCAUCUCUCGUGCUUUUUGUUCAUGCACUACUUCUCACGAAUCCUUUUUUCUUCAAGGGUGUUUUAUGUUUGGCUACUGUGCCAAAUGUGUUGCCUGAGGCUUCGAGCCCCUUGGCCCUUAGAGCCACGAGGUUUCGAGGUUCGACCCUUGGUUAUGCAAUAGAAAUUCGUUUUGGACUUGUAACAAAACUCGCAGCAAAAAGGAAUAAAUACUGUUUUUCUUUUUGGAAAAAUGUCACCCCCCCCCCAUAUUUCUUUUUGCGAAGGUUUUGUUCAUGUUGCUAAAGAUUUGUGAUGCAUGUGCAAUCAUUCGUUAGUCUUGAGGGGGUUAUUGAUCCAUUGCCUUAGUGUAUUUUCACACAAACGGAUGAAGAGCUUUUUUGUAAAAAAUGUCAAACCCCCUCCCCUCUUCCAUUCCUUUGUGUGAAAUGCGUUGGUUGGUGCCUUUUUUUAUUAGAGACUAUGUUAUCACUUCUACUAAAGUUUGCGUAUUUGAGUAUUCUAAAGAUAAGUUGACAAAACUUAUUUUCGAGUUUUGUUGACUUAAUAAUUUAAUGUAAAGUUGGGUCGAAAUCGCAACUCUUGGUUGCUUCGACCGCAAAGCUUGUAAAUCUGCGAGGUUAGGUGGAAUUUUUUAUGAAAGCCGAUUAUUUAAAAUUUGUAAACCUGCGAGGUUGGAUAGAAUUUUUUAUGAAAGCUGAUCAUUUAAAACUUGUAAACCUACAAGGUUGGAUAAAAGUUCUUCAUCACAUAGGAGUGUGAGGCUCGGAUGCGCAGAAACGCAAGUUUUCAAGGUGUUUAAAGAUUAAAACUGGUGUUGCAACUUGUUGUUGCUUCUACCCCAUGCUUGUGUAGAAACACAAGUUUUUUGUCACACAGAAAUGCGAGGUCUGGCAACUUGUUGUUGCUUUAGGUUGGAUUUUGCGUAGAAACGCAAGUCCUUCUUGCGUAGAAAUGCAAGUUUUUCGUCGCAUAGAAUUGUGAGGUUUUGUAACUUGUUGUUGCUUUUUUGCUGGAUCUUUGCACAGAAAUGCAAAUCAUCCUUUCGUAGAAACAUGAUAAAGGGGGAAUUGUACUUCAUUAGAAUCUAAAGGGUUUACAUGGAUCCGCCUCGUUAAAAACCUUGCCUCUAGUGUGGAUCCCCCCUAGCAAGUAAAAGAGUACGAUUCGUUUGCAGAAAAGUAAAUACGAUAAAGUAAAUUUUGUGCCCUUGACAUUGUUUAUAGAUUCACAAGUUGAAGGCUUUUGUAAGUGUAGUGACUAUGGGUAAUAUUUGCACAAGUUGUCCACAUUCCAAGGGUGUGGCAACUCUACUCCAAGCUGAUCUGCGAGGUAGAAGGAUCCUAGCCUAUUGCUUCGAGUGACAAUAUAUGGCCCUUCCCAAAUUUCUUGUAACUUCCAGAGGUUCUCCCAGUUUUUUCUCUUCUUGAUAACUAGAUCUCCCACCUUGAUUUCUUUUUUCACUACCUUCUUGUCCCUCCACUUUUUUUGUUUCUUGUUGGUACUUGUCAAGGUUAUCUGUUGCUUGGAGUAUAUCAAGCUCUAUCAUGUCUUUAUCGAACUUUUCAUUGUCUGAGGAAGCCUCGAUCUUUAGCACUCUUUAGCUUUCAUUCCUGAUUUCUUCAGGUGUCAUUGCCUCAGAGCCAUACAGAAGCCGGAAAGGUGUGAAGCCUGUUGCUCUCAAGGUUGUGGUGUUGUGAGACCAUAUGACUCUUGGUAGCUCGUCUACCCAUUUCCCUUUCUUUUGGUCGUAUAAGCAUUUUUUGAUCAAAAAAAAUUAUGCCAUAUGCUCUUUCUAUGACUCCAUUUGAUUGUGGAUGAUAUACUGAGGUAAAUUUUACCUUGGUUCCUAUACUUGCACAAAACUCCUUGAAAUCAUUACAAUCGAACUGCUUGCCAUUGUCUACUAUUAGCUCUCUGGGAACCCUGAAUCUACAGAUGAUGUUCUGCCAAAAAAACUUUUGCACAGAGCUCAAGGUUAUGUUUGCCAAUGGCUUAGCCUCAAUCCAUUUGGAUAAGUAGUCAACUUCCACCAUUGCGAACUUGCAGUUGCCUUGAGCAGUUGGUAGUGGUUCCACCAAGUCCAUGCACCAUCUCUGCAGCGGCCAAGUUGGCGGUAUCAGCUGUACUGGUAGUGAAGGUGCUUUUUGCUAAUUGGCUACCUUUUGGUAGGCCUUGCAAGUUCUUACUAAGCUUUGAGCAUCAAGGAUUGCGGUUGGUCAGAAGAAACCUUGCCUUAUGGCUUUACCCACAAAGGCUUUGGUUCCGAUAUGAGAACCACAAAAACCACUAUGGAUUUCAGUUAGUAAUUAUUUUCCACUCUCUGAGGUUAUGCACCUAAACCAAGGAGCCGAUAUUCUAGAAUUGUACAAUUCUCCAUCAACUAUGGCAUAGCCCCUAGCCCUUUGCUUUAUUUUGCUUAGUUCAGCCUCGUCAUGUGGCUCGAAAUGUCCCCUAAGAUAAGCCAUGAUUGGAGCCCUCCAGUCAUAUCUGGUGGUGUUUAUAACCUUCGAGGCUGGCUCUUUUGUUGACUUUGAAUGGAUGACUUCGUAGAACACAUCAGGAGGCAUGGGUUGGUUUUGUACUGCUGCUUUUUCUAGUCUGUCUGCUUUAUCAUUUUCUGCCCUUGGGAUGUGCUGUACGGUGAAUCCCUUGAAAUAUUUCUCCAUCGAUCUUCCUGCGGCUAAGUACUUCACGAGCUCUGGCUCUCUAGCCUCACUAUUUUCCUCAAUGUGCUCUUGUAUUACUUUUGAAUCUGAUUUUACAAUGAAUACUCAUUGGCCCAAGGCUCUCCUUUUCCUUAGCCCCAAGAGUAAUGCUUCAUAUUCAAUAGUGUUGUUGAUGGACCUUGCUUCAUUUUAAAAAUCAAGCCUUGCGGCGUAUCUGAUUUUCACCCCCAAUGGUGAGGUGAUUAUCGCAUACACUCCAGCCCCCUUGUCACACCAGGCCCCAUCUCAGUGUAUGAUCCAUGGGACCUCGAUCUCAGUUUGGCUGAUGCAUGGAGAUGUCCAAUCUACUAUGAAAUCAGCUAAAACCUGAGAUUUGAUUGCACUUCUUUUUUGAAGUCCACCACGUACUCAGAUAGCUCUGAUGCCCAUUUUAUUCUUCCUGAGGCUUCCCUGUUUGUGAAAAGGCUAUGAAGCAGUUGGUUGGUGACCACUACUAUUCUGUGACCCUCAAAGUAAUGCCUUACCUUGCGUGCUUCCAUGAUUACGGCAUAGGUGAUUUUUUCUAACUCUGAAUAAAACAGCUUUGAUGCGAAAUAUGCUAGCGUUUGUUUUGACUUGCCUUCAAUCUCUCUUUCUUGCACCAAGGCGGCAUUGACUGAGGAGUUUGAGGCUGACAAGUACAGCAGCAAGGGUGACCUUGGCUCGGGCGGGCACAACUUUGUCAUAUUUGUUAGGUUGUCUUUUAGUUCUGCGAAGGCUUUGCUCUGUUGUUCCCCCACUCAAAUUUCUUGGAGCUUCGCAACACAUGGAAAAAAGGUAGGCUUCAUUCCACAACUCUUGGGAUGAAUCUGUUGAGAGCUGUUAUUCUUCCUGUUAACUUUUGCAUAUCUUUUACUGAAAUUGGUUCUUUCAUGUCAAUGAGGGCUUGAAUUUUAUCUGGAUUGGCCUCGAUGCCUUUUGUUGAGACCAAGCAUCCCAGGACCUUACUGUUGACACUGGAUUUUGGAUGAUUUUCCAAUAAAUUUCAGAAUAAGGAAAAUAAUGGAUUCACACUGCAUGGCGAAGGAAAUAUAGCAUGAUCAUGUCUAGUUCCGAUGCGAGGCGUGCGUACAAGGAAGCCCAACGUGUUUCGGCCAGGAGGAGUUCGUGACGUCUACAUGAAGGAAGCAAUGGUAUAUAGAGCAAAUCACAUAAGAUUUCCAUUAUCUGGAGUGAUUAGCAAAGUGGCCAAAAUAUUGUAUUAUUUCUUUUGGGUCUUGUACGUGAUAAUUUGUUAUUAUACGUAUGGCUAGGAGGCAGGAUAUGGAAUGAUAAUUAUGGUAACUAAAUUAAGUUAGUCAUAUUCGAUUUAACCCUAGAGUCUUGCCUUGUACAAAAAGUCCAUUGCACCCUAUAAAUAUAAAGAGUCGUGACUCAUUGUAAAGCUUGCUGGUUACUGCACCAAGUUUUGGUGUCCACACUUACCUCGUUGAAUUCCAAAUACACAUUUUUCUGGAUUCAGCUUUAAGUUUGCUCCCCUCAGAUUGGCAAAAGUUUCCGCGAGGUCAUGAAUAUGACCUUCUCGUUUGUCACUUUUACAACAAUAUCAUCCACGUAGGCUAGGAUGUUUCUUCGAAGUUGCUUACUCAAGACUAUUGCUAUCAUUCUUGAGAAAGUUUGCCCCGCAUUCUUGAGCCCCUCAGGCAUUCUUACAAAGUAGUAUGUCCCAAAUAGAGUUAUGAAACUUGUCUUUUCCUCAUCUUCUUUUUUCAUUCGUACCUGGUGAUAACCUGAGAACAUGUCUGGUAGUGACAACAUUUCACUAUUUGCAGCAUCAUCUACCACUUUAUCAACCUUUUCUAGCGGGAAGUCAUAUUUUGGGCAAGCCUUGUUUAGAUCAGUGAAAUCUAUACACAUUCUCCAUUUGUCGUUCAUCUUCUUGACUGGGACUGUGUUUGCUAGACAUUCGAGGUACAUAACCGUGCGUAUUACAUUGGCAUCAGCUAGCCUUUGAACCUCUGCUUUGAUAUCUCGUAUCUUGUCCUCUAAUAUUUUUCGAAGCUUUUUCUUUUUGAGUCCUACGCCUUUGUUUAUUUCUAGCUUGUGUUCUAUUAUAUCCCUAUCAAUCCCUUGCAGGUCACUUGUGGACCAUGCGAAGACAUCCUUGUUUUUGUUCAGGAACUCAAUUAACCACUUUUCUUUGUCAGCCACGAGGUUAGCCCCGAUUGUUACAACUCUGUCUAGAAUGCAGUCAUCUAGCAACACCCUUCUGAUUUCGCCGUCGACGCUCAUUUUCACCUUUUCUUUGCCUCUUUUAGGUUUGAUGUAUGGUUUUUUCUUUUCUGAUGGCUCAACCUCCUCGGGGCUUGCUAGGUGGUGUACAUUUUUCUAGCCUGGGGUUGCACCUUUUUCAAUGUUCCUGGCUGUUUACUGAUCGCCAUAGACUGUGAUGACUCCUUUCAUGGCUGGGAUUUUCAUACACAAUAAAAGCUGCCUUAUAACUGCAUCAAACUUGUUAAUGAAUCCUCUGCCAAAGAUAGCGAAGUAUGGAUAGUACAUCUCCACAACGUUGAACAUUAUGCAUUUCGUUCUGGCGUUGUCUAAGUUUCCAAAUGAUACUGGCAAUGCUAUUUUUCCCAAGGCUCGUACUGGCUUUCCACCAAAGCCAAGCAGUGGCACUUCUGCCGGUCGUUGCAGGUGAGGAACGAUUUUCAUUUCCCUAAAUGUGCUUGCAAAAAUGAUAUCCGCUGAGCUUCCAUUAUCGACUAGCAGUUUUUUGAUUUUCCAUCCGGCAACGAUAGCCUCGAUCACCAUCACAUCAUUAUGCGAGGAUGUUUUAAUUUAAAAUCUUCUUCCGUGAAGUAGAUGGGCAUGUGUGCCUAUUCUAGCUUGGCUGUGGCCCGACAGGGAUGAUGGAAUGGACUUGUCUGAAGUAAUUUUGCCUUUGUCUUUUGUUCUCAAACUCUAGAGAGGAUCCACCUGCUAUUAGCAUGAUCAUGCCGUAGGUGGGCAAGGCGUUUGAAUUGGUUUUCGGAUUUAUGAGUUCUUGCAAGGAUCCUUCCGAUAUUGGUAGCCGUAGGUGGGUAGGGCUUUGGGGUUGUUGUUUUGGGUAUUGUUAGGCUCAGCUUUAGGUAUUUGAUUGGGUAGAUUUGGUAGGGGCAGUGGUAUCUCGUGUAGAGGCUGGAAAGGUGCGUAGUUUGCAGUUUGCGAGGCUUGCUGACUUUGAGGUUGAUACUAUGGUGAAGGUUGCCACAUCAUGGUGGGUUGGUAGUUGAAGGAAGGAUUGGUAAAGGAGUUUGCGAGGUUAGUAUUUGGGUUUGCUUGUGGAUAAACUUGGAAGUAUGGCUGUUGUGGCCAAAAAGAGGUGUAGUGGAUGGUUUUUGGUGCUACGGCUACUCUUUUUUCUUCAGCUAUUCUUUCGAAGGUCUUUUUCAUUUCUUGGCAAAAGUUGGUCACAUGAUCUAGUUGCUUGCCAUGAAAUGUGCAAUAGAACAUUUGAGGUUGAUUAUUUUGAUUGUGCAGCCUCUGAGGUCCUCUGCCUCGGCCUCUCCCUCUUCCGGAAUGAUCGCCUCUUUGCCCGUUGCCAUAGUUUGUUUGCUGUUGUUGUUGGGGCUGCCUACUAUGAUCUUGAUUUUGCUGUUGUGAGGAUUGAGCACCCUCGAUUGGUAGCACGUGCUGAGCUGGCUAUGGCUGCUAGUAUUGUGGAAAAUUGUAUUUCAAGGCUUGCCAAUUUUGGUCUUUUUGAUCUUGCCUUUGGCGGUUUCUUUCCAUUACUCUUUUUCUGUGAUCCUCAUCUGACCUGCAGUACUUUUCCAGCUCUGCGAACAAAGCUUCCAUGGUUUUUGGCUUUCCACUUGUUAUGUGCGAAGCUGUUGAGCUUGGUGUUAGCCCUCUGAUGAAGGCUGUUAUGGCUACGCUUUCGUCCACAUCUAGAGUUUGUGACUUCAAUUGCACAAAUCUUCUAACAUAAUUGGCCAGAGGUUCUUUGUCUUUUUGGAUGCAAUGGAACAAGUCGCUCCGGUCUAAUGUUGUACUGGAAGCCUUGGAAGUUUUGUAUUAGCUUUGUCUCGAGAUCUGUCCAACUGUAUAUUGACUAUGGUAGGAGUAGCGAGUACCAGUUCAGUGCUGCUCCUUCGCCUGCUAUGAUUAGGGCCUUGCCUAAAACCACAUCAUCUCCUCCGGCCGAUGCUACUGCAGUUUUGUUACUCAUGAGGAACCAGCGAGGGUCAUUUUGCCUAUGAUCGCCUUGUAAGUUGUAGGCCAUGGAGUCGUUUGCAAGUCCAAGAACAAUGGAGAGUUUUGGUCAACUGUUACAUAAGCGCUUGUCAUCAUUGGGUGUUGUGCCCAGCAAGAUUAGGAUUUGCCUGUGGGAUAGAUGCAUCGUUUAUGACAUGUUGCUGUCUCGAAGGUGGUGGUUGUGGGGGCAUGUUUUGCAAGUAUUGUACUUCAUCCAAUUCUUGAUUUAGUUUUGGCAUGUUUUGCAAGUAUUGUUUUUCUUGAUUUAGUUUUGCUAUUUUCCUGGCCGCUAGUCGUUGUGCUUCCAAUUCUUGAGCAAAUCUUUCUUUUUCUUUUUUCAAGGUUUCGAGCUGCUUUAAUACCGAGGCCAAUUCUUUUUUCUGCUCCAAGUAAAUCGUUUACUGUGCUUGUUUAUGGUUAUGUUUGGUUUGUUGUCUCUACCUCGGCUCUUUUUUUCUCACUUCUUGUUCGUAAGUUAGCCUCGACUCUUUUUAAUCUCUCAAGGGUGUAUGUGUCAUCUUGAUCAAUAGGGACAAGUCCUCUCUCUUGCUCUCCUUUGCCCUCGGUGGUUUCCUGCAGUGUGAUCUUCUUUUUCUUUGGUUGUAGCAUCGUGGGUUGUGUUGUGGCUGAGAACACGGUGGGCGUCCUAUUGGUCUCAAAGAAAAUUUGAUACCAAAUAGAUUUGUGGAUAAAAAAAUAAAACACUUGGAGGUUUUGGAAAACAAUGGAUCCCACCUUGCAACGGGGUAGGGCUCCCCUUUUAUAGUGACCCAUGAGCCACUUUACAUUCCGAAAAUGUCCUUCCUCAACCACUACAUUCCUAGGAUAUGCCGUAUAUAAAGGUCAUUGGGGGUAACAUGUACAAAUUGAAUUCCUCCACGUGGUCACAUUUCUCACACCUCCAUCCUUCCAACCUUGGGACUUCACCUUCACGCUAGAUCGAUCCUCCAGCCUUAUGUCUUUACCCUCAGCCCGAGAUAGUUGUCCAACCUUGUGGCGCCUGGUUCAUUAUGCUGCUCCGAGAACUUAUAACCUCGCGAAGUCUCCCUUCAGGUUCCGAUCCUAAGUAAAGAGUAAAAAGGUGAAAGCUCGGUGUUCGGGAUUGACUUCGAACACUCGAGGGUCAGCUCAGUUGGAGUUUAGUCAUCAGCUAUUAGUUGCCAACUUUGAGUCUCUCUUGUAACAAAAGAAGAUUCAAGGGUACGAGUUUUACUACUAAAAUAGUUUCCACAGGAACUUCCGAGGUUAGCAAGUUUUAUUCCUUGGUCCAUAACUUGCGAGGUUAGAGAGUUUUUGCCCACGAAUGGCGCUGGAGGGUGAUUAGUUCUUUUACCUAUCCCAACAAAGAGGCGGGGGUAGAGGUGACGACGGUGCGGUCUAGGCAGCGGGCGGGCAUACGAAGGCCGGGAUGCAGGGUGACGGUGGCGUGUGCGAGGCGGCGUGGGUGGGUGGGCGAGAUGGAGGCGCUGGACGACGGCAGCGUGGAAGGGUGAGGCGACUGGUGCGGGUAGCAAAACGAGGAGUAGAACAUGCGAAGGGCAUGUGUUUGACAGAGGAAGAAAGGAGUGGGCGAGCUAGAGACUUGAUAAGAAAGAGAGACCGAACAAGGAAGGGAAAAAGGGAAACGAGAGGAGAAGCGUACAAAUUAUUGGAUAUGAUUAUAUUAUUUAAUCCUUUUAUUCAUAUGAAUUUACAUUAUAAAUUGAAGGAAAAAGUAAAGGUGAAUUGGACAUUUGAUCUAUUAAUCUAUUCAUCAAAAAAAUAGGAAAAGUUGUUCUACCAAACGCUUUCCAAAAAUGACUUUAGCUCCUGCAAAGAAGUCGCUUCACUAGAGAAGCCGCAGCCAAAGCUGUCUUGUCAAUAGUCAGAGCCCUGCCAAACAGACCCAGAUAGAAUGGGAAUUAAAGAAAGACAAGAAGAAAAAGAAAUAGGAUGAAAAAAUAGAAAAAGAAUAAAGGUAUUAUGGACAUUUCCUCUUUUGCAUCCAUUUGAAGCUACCUCCAUUAUAAUUGUUCCGUAAAAUAGUUCUCGCAAAUUUACGGUUCAAGUAAAAGAUAGUAACUUAUUAGUUAUAAGAAUAUGAAUAAAAUAUGUGUGUCAAAAUAUAGGAUUGCAAAUAAGAGUUGACUGAAGUAUAUAGAGAAUGAGAGAAGUAAGACACUAGUAGAGAACUGCCAUCCAACCCAUUUUGUCUCGGUUAACAUUGGACCUGGCGCUAAAGUGGCUUUAGUCCCGGGUUAAAAAUGAGGCACCGAAAGGACACCGACGGGAGGGGUUUUAGUCCCGGUUGUAAAAAUCUGGCACCGACGCCACCCUCCUUUUUGUCCCGGUUGGAAAUUCUAACCGGGAUAAAAGAUUUAGUCAUAGUUGGAAUUACCAACCGGGACAAAAGGGGACAUCACGCGGCUCGAGGCAGCGCUCUCCAUCCGCUUCGUCUAGGCUCUCCUCUCCACUUAUCUCCUCAUCCUCAUCCUCAUCCUCCUCCCUUCUUUUCCUCUCCUCAUCCUCCUCCCUCUCCUCAUCACUGGCGCCACCCGUUCCCCUCCUCCCCCUCUCGACACCACUGCCACCCCCUCCUCCUCUGCUCGCCCCUCACUGGCAGUGAGGAGCGGCAGCGGGGCGAGGGCAGGGCAGCGACCGAGCGGCGGCGGGCGAGCGGCCGGCGGGUGUGGGCGAGCAGCACGGCGGGCGGAGGCGGCGAGCGGGCGGGCGGAGGCGGUGAGCGGGCGGGCGGAGGCGGCGAGCGGGCGGGCGGCGGGUGGGGGCGGCGAGCGGGCGGAGCAGGGCGGGGCGGCGGCCGGUUGGAGUGGGGUGGCGGUCGGCCGGCCGGCGGGCGUGGGGCGGCUUUUUUUAUUUUUUUUUCAAAAAUUUUAGUCCCGGUUGCUAACACCAAACGAGACUAAAGGGGGUUAGACCCGGGACUAAAGAAACUUCCUUUUAUCUCGUAAAAUUAAUGCCGGUUAGGCAUUGGAGAUAUACGGUCCUUCCCAACCAGAAUUAAUGUUCAGUUUCUACGAGUGAGAAUUCGUAACAUGUACGAGGAAUAGAAGCUUAGGUUUGAGUGUUCGGUUGCAAUGUGCGGAGAAGUCGUGUUUGGUUCACACUAUGGUACUUCAAAUACCAUAUUUUUUCAUGCUCGGUGUAUUGCCUUAAAAACUUUUUCUGGCAACGAUGUGAUAUACUCAUAUACGUUGCAUCUUAAUAUUGUAUUUUAUAAAUUCUUCCGUAAUCCAUAAAUUAUAGAUACCACGGAUUAGUAUCCCGCGUGCUGGUAUCAUUUUUUGUCUUCUUUUUCUAGAUAACAAAUAAUAUUGGAUUAUGAUUCUUUUUACUAUUGCAGAACUCUUUGGUUAAAAUUUAUAUCAGAGAAUUCAAGAAAAAAUACGCCGAUAGGCGGUCAUUGAUGGUUCUCAUUAUCAUAUGAUUUCAUGAAACUUCCUUGUACAUCUAUGUUAAAGUUAAAUGUUUUGUAAAAUAAAUUUAUGUUAAACUUAAGUGAGUUCAAUUCACAGUGCUUGUCAAUCCAAUGUAUAUAUGAUUAUAUUGUUAAGGCAACUAGGGCCUGGUUUGGUUCUAUUUGCUUAUUUUUAAGCAAGUGUCACAUCAAUGUUUAGAUACUAAUUAGGAGUAUUAAAUGUACAUUGGAUUGACAAGCACUGUGAAUUGAACUCACUUAAGUUUAACAUAAAUUUAUUUUACAAAACAUUUAACUUUAACAUAGAUGUACAAGGAAGUUUCAUGAAAUCAUAUGAUAAUGAGAACCAUCAAUGACCGCCUAUCGGCGUAUUUUUUCCUGAAAUUAUCUGAUAUAAAUUUUACCCAAAGAGUCUGCAAUAUAAAAAGAAUCAUAAUCCAAUAUUUAUUUGUAUCUAGAAAAGAGACANNNNNNNNNNNNNNNNNNNNNNNNNNNNNNNNNNNNNNNNNNNNNNNNNNNNNNNNNNNNNNNNNNNNNNNNNNNNNNNNNNNNNNNNNNNNNNNNNNNNAGUGACACUAUCAGACCCCCAGACUUUUGCUAUGCUCCCACGUGGUUCAGUAUAAUAUAAGAAAAAAAUCAAGUCGCUACAGAGCAAAACAAAAUUUACACUAUCACCCCCGAUAUUUGAGGCGUUAUGUUCCCUUUGCUUAAAAAUAAGCAAAGGGAACCAAACGCCCCCUAGAUAGGUGGUCAUAGUGUAAAUUUUGUUUUGCUACGCAGGGACAUGAUUUAGUUUCUAUAUUACACUGAAACACGUGGGCGCCUAGCAAACCUCUGGCGCCUGCUGAUCGACUACUGCGGACUACGGUAGUGCCUAGCGAGUAGCGACCCGGAGAAGAAAACGAUAGGGGCAAAUACCAAAGCCCAAGAAAUCAUGGUAGCCUCCGCGCGCGUGCGGAGUCUCUCGAUGGGGACCACCAGGGCGCCACGGCUGGCUGUAGUCGCCAGCCAAGCAAGCGGCCGCGAGCACUGGUGGCGGCAUCGGCGGGUCAGCCACUCGGCCCGGCGCAGCGUCGGCGACGGCGAGCAGCUACGCUGCCUGGGAGGAGAAUGGCCGUCGCUCGCAUGCUCAGGGAAGCUCAGAGGCGCCAAGGUGAGCCCGCGCUUCUCCCUCUCAGCUUGUCGUGUGGUGCAGCACGCUAGGUAUUCGACCAAAUAUCUGAAUCUGAUUACAGUCCGAUAUUCGUAGGCAAAUUCGAUCAUCACUGGCAGAAUCUGAUGCAAACGCUGACUCAUGUACGCGCUCUAGUCUACGCUUGUCACCUAGAAACGCAUCUUUUUACACCUGUCCCGCAAAGCACGCGCAUUAAUUACACGGUAUCUUUCACUUGGCCAGCCUGUAGCUGUAGCUAUGUUCAGCGUCCAGAGUGGAUGCACUUUUUACUUGACAGCAACCAAACACUUGUUCUUGGUGGAAACUCAACCCACUUAUCAUCGAAUUUUCCAGGUAGGCGGCCUCAUGACUUGAAGUCAAAGUCGUCUAACAUGCAUCAUGCCAAACUGUCAACUUUGCAAAGAGUUUUUUAAAACUUGUGGGCCAUGUACAAGAGGUGCAAACAAAUACAUCGACUUGGCAAACAGUUCCUCUGAAAUAUAGAUGAUUGCCAAAUGUUAGAGUAGUAUGUCUAUUGCAGACUUCCAAUUUCAACUACAGGCAUGUCCGAUUUGAACAGUUAUGUCCAGUUGUAGAGGAUAGCCCGGGAGGUCGCCGGCCCGGCGGCGGUGGUGGUCGCGGGGGCGGGGCGGCGAGGCGGCUGGGGCGCCGCCGGCCGCAGGUAGCAGAGGACCCCUGGUUGGGUGGGGAUGGUGGCGGGGGCGUCUUGAUUGGAGUGGUUAGUGUGGAGGUGGGCUGCGGAGGCGGAUUCGGAGGCUCCCGCCGUCGGAGACGAAGGAGGAGCGGCGGGGCGGGGGCUUCUCGCCGGGGACAGAGAAAAGGCCACGGGAAGACCGUCAGCGGUGGGAAGGGCUAUUUGCGAGCAGUACGGUAGGAGGCAUCCCAUGGGGUGCGCCAUGGGAUGGUGACGGGCAAGGCAGAGGGAGGGAGGCAGGGAGCACAGGAAGGGGAAGCAGACGGAUUGCGGCGGCCCGUGAAAUCAGUCGCGGUUGGUCGAUGAGUAGCGGAGGAAGACGAAGCGUACAAACGAUAGGGAAUGAAUCUGGUACGUUGGCAUCCAAUCAAACGGCUGAAAAAAUCAACAUAUUUUAGGGAAAGAAUCUGUCAUCAGAUAACUAGCCACUCCCAAAAGAAAAGAAACAGGAAAACAGAUACGUAAGAGGAUAAGGACGGAGAAAAAAAUAAAAAAAGAUAACAAACCUUUUUCCCAGUCAUGAGUAAAGGUAAUUUGUUCACGACCUUACUGACAGGUGGACCCUAACUUUGAAGUGGUAAAAUUGUUUUUUCCAUCUAGCACAUGAAUGGAAAUAUGGAUGGAAUGACAUUGAGAAGAUAAAUUUCAAAUUCAAUAGCAUCGGAGGGAUUUCAUAUAAUUCUACUGUACUGAGGGAAGUCAUAUAAAUUUUGAUGGCCUUCCAGUGUGCAAAUUUGGCAUGUUUCUCUCUCUUCAGCAAAGGUCGUUCAAGGCGCGAGCUAGCUGUUUGCGUUGAUGAAAUAUUUGAGUCAGACGACCCGUGUGGUGGCAUCGCGGAUGCGUGUUGAAUCCGAUGUUCGUGGCCUUGCGGGCAUUGCUGAUCAUGGUUAGCCUCUGAGACAAACAGUAAACCAUGCAUCGGUUCUGUGCUGAUUAAAUGUGCCAAGAAAUGCUUCUUUACUCACACGUGUCCGACAAGCACUUGCCUUGAAUUGGACUGUAUUAUUCAUUUGCCCUGCAAAUUCGGAUACAGGCAACUAAUUUGUGUUUAUCCGACGUCCAAAGCAUGGACUUCGAGUCUUCGACUCAACGACAGCCAAGCAAUUGUUCUGGUCUUCUGGAUGGAUCCAAAAGCUAUGAUAAUAAUGAAAACUGCAUCCAUUAUCUUCUGCUAUACUAGAGAAAACUGGGAUGCCAGUAGCUCUCGUUGAGUCGAAGAUUUGGACAAAGCUAUGAUAAUAAUGAAAGGCAGGGGCUUGUUCAUAAAUUCAGCAUCCAUUAUCUUCUGCACUGCAAAGCCCCGUUCCCUGGUCACUUUACCUUACAAAAAAAUUUGGCAACAGCUGCUCAAUCACCUAUCCUGGGCUUUAGGGUCUUCCUGUGAAGUUAACACCACUUCAUCUUCCUUAUCAGGUACUUCAAGCGAUCUAGUCUUUAACUUGUUUAUUGUAUAGUUUACAGAAGUUUUCUUUUUUACUUGCAUGCUAUUCCUGAAAAUCAUUGCCUACUGAGUGUUCUUUUUCCGGCCUUUCAUGGUUAUAAUGUCAAUUUUAUAUAUAUUUACAUAUUUUUAUUGGCAUCUAAAUUCUGCAUCAUCAGCUAUGGACCCCAAAAUUUUGACCCCUUGUCAAAAUCUACUACGUUUUGUUGUUACUUUGUAUUAUUUUGGCACUUAGAUGCACAGAAGCUCCUUAAUUCAUCAUCUAAUAUCUUGUCUUUGGUGAACUUUCUUCUAUCUCAACUUGGCUAUAUUUUUUCCUACUGAAAUUGGAACGAUUAUAUUUAAUUUUCUUUUGUAAUUCAGGCAGUAUGAAGUUCUUUUGGUCGUUACUUCUUCACCUGACAUAUCUACUGUCUAAAAAAAUAAAUUUAUUACAAAGUAAACGUCUUUCGAUAAGCCCGUAUCAACAAGUCUUAGAUGAUAUAAUUGUUCUUAGGCCUAUUUUGGACUAAAUUGCUCAACAAAAAUAUUCCAACAAUAUUUAAUCUUGGCACACCAAAUACUACAACUGCACAACUUAUUAUUCUACAAGUUGCAGUCCUUAAAUUGUUGACUCCCAUGCAUAUUAUUGUUCUACUGGCUCUGAUGUUUGUGAGAAGCCUUGACCUUACCUUUGUUCCAUCACCCAAUGGCUCCUAUACAUUUGAAAACCGUACGGUAUCGUGCUUUUGCGCCUACGCGGCUAUUGCUGUUCAAUGCCAAAUACCAGCUUCAUCACUUUUCAUUUGCAAAUAGCGGAACCUUCGGAACACCAGGGGUCUGCGGUGGCUGCUUUGCAAUUGCAUCAAAGGUUGCGACUGUCGGUGUGCGACAGCUGUUCCGCGGUGGCGGGAACUCCAAGCUGGAGUUGGCCAGGCUUGUAGAGCUGGCCCUUGACCGCCGUUCCAGUCUUUGGCAGCUGGUAGGCGCCUUGCGUCCGGACAGCAGCGCACGACUUUGCCUGGCUUUGGGCGGGCUACUGCGCGCAGCUGUGGAGGGCGGCCGUGAGCGGGCUGUGAUAAGCGGCCGUGCGCACCGGCGGCGUGAGGCCGUGCGAGCUGCGGCGUGAAGCCGUGUGCUACGGCAACUAACCAGAGCUGCCUCGUCGUCGGUGUGGUGGCUGCUGGUUGGUGAUGCAGGUGGCGUCCACGGCGAGUGGCGAGCGUAGGUGCUGGCCGCGGUGGUUCAUCAUGUGGCUGUAGAGAUGACAGCGCCAAGGGAGUCCGGUUCAUCGAUGGUGUGGCAAUAGCUUCAUGUUGUGACAUGUGUGUUGGUCAGGCUGCUUGCAGUGGAACGCGGUGGUUGGCCUGAUUUACAUCGGCUAAUGCGGUGCGGAACAGCGUCAAAAGAUGGAGCUUGCAACAACGACAGCAUGUCGGCAACAGAGCUUGCAGCGGCGGCGGUUAGCCCGGCAUGGCCGGGGCUACUUCGACGUGGGACAUCGUCGAAAGAUAUCGCAAGCAGCGAUGAUGGCUUGUUGACACGAUAGUGGUGACCAUGUGCUAAGGUGGGCAAAAGAAGUAGUUGGAUUAGUAUCUCUAGAGGUUUCUGAUGAUUGUGCUUGCGGUGCAAUUGAGAUUUUGGUGACGACUUGGCAGAAGGUGGCAGAGCUGGCGGAGCUUAGGGUUGUAGGGCGAUGCUCUGUUACCCUUUGAUGACGAUACAUAAGACUGGUUCGUGAUGUAGAGUUCAGUGUCAGGUGCGGCAAGGCCCCUGCGUGCUGUGUUUCUUUCUAGUUGACGAGAUUGAGGUGAGGAGUCCAACGGUGGAUGUAGCGAAGCCUCCCGCUUUGUGUUUUCAUGGUAGCGACUGCGAGACAACCUUGAGUGGUCCGGAUCAGAUGGAUUUCUUUGGUCAAGUUGGGAGUGUGGUGCUGCAGCAAGGUCACCCCACUUUGUGUUUUCAUGAUGGCAACUGCGAGACAACCAUGAGUGGUCCGAAUCAAAUGGAUUUCUUUGGUCAAGUAGGGAGUGUGGUGUUGCAGCGACACUACGAUGACGGUUUCCACAUAGCGGCGACCUUUCUCGGCACAAUGCGGUCUACUUCUUCUUCGAUUUCUGAUGUUGUGAAGCCAUCACUAUGCCAGAAACCUUAAUUGGAGACGCGGUUCAACUGUCAUCGGAGAUGAAAAAAUUCGCAUCACCAAGUUUUCGUCAUCGAUGUGAAUCACAUCGGAGACGUGGAUUUUUCACGCCACCAAUGACCCCUGACGCGGUUUAAUAAGAAACACGUCUCCAAUGAGAGUUAUUAGUAACGCGGAUUUGGCAAAACGUGUCUCCAUUGACUUUAUCACAGAGACGCGUUUUGCCAACCAAACGUCUCCAAUGAUGAACUAAAAAAUAAACGGGCAUGAAAUAUAUCAUUUCCUUUUUAAUAGACAUGUUUUAUCCAUUAUAUACAUCACAAAUACUUUCACAUAUGUCAUAACAUACACAGUAAACAUGCACUUUUUUUUCUAUGAAUCACAAUAAAAAUCACAUUACAAAGCAUGCAUCUGCCAGAAAAAUAGCAGCCCUAAUAUAUGGUCUAGUGACCGGAUCUAGUGACAUCUUCAAUUUACAUUGCCUGCAACCAAUCCACAGAAAUGGGAUACAUCAGAUCAAUAUAGUACUCACAUGCAUGUGCAUCUGUACAACUGUAAAGGAACUGAAAGUAGAAGGAAUUGUGAUAGUACUACAUCCAUCUUUUUCUUGUUAGAACAAUCCUGGCACUUUCAGUCAAAAAACAGUUGAGACUUGCUAUAGCAGCUACUGACCAAUCUGUAUAAUUUACAUGUUUGAGUUUACUCAAAUUAAAACUUCUAAUCAAAAUCCUAUCCAAGUAUUGGGCGUUGCUACCAUUGAUCUGAAGCACAGAGAGCAAGGGCUUAAGUCAGACAGCUAUCAGGCACUUCAGAUGCGCGCAUAUACUUUGACGAAGUUGAUAUCAAUGCUUUUUUAAGAACAGAAUCCACCAUAUACUUUGGAGAAGUACAUAUUGCUGUUUGGUUUCAUAAGAAGAGGGGGAGAAGAAAAAUAGCUAAGAGAUAGAGUUCCUGACCUUGAUCAUUGUGGUUCCAUUCUCACAGACUCUGUGUAUAUCCUCAGACAAGGGCGGAUCUAGGGCCCGGGCUGCCCGGGCUGCAGCCCGGGGCGAGACCAUGGAGUCCCUUUAACAUACGUACUGUUUAGCCUAAUAAAAUGAGGCUUAGAAGAUAAUAUUAGACUGUUUUAGGUGUGAUUCAACAGCUCAGCCCGGGGUGCCCCUGUCCUCAGAGCCAGCUAUUUUCUAAAGAUUUUAUACUCUGCAAAUAGAACAACAUGAGUCCAGUUGAAAUUCACAGACUUUAUCCAUUAUAUAUUUAUAUACAUCGCACAAGUCAUGUUCUCAUGAGGUGAAAUAUCAAACUAUGUUCUCAUGGGAAUCUGGAAUGACAUGCUAUAGAUGUUACAAGACUCCUAACACAUGCAGCUAAAAAGAAGAAGAAAAGGUUGACCUAAGCCUGCCAUAGCUUGGACUGUUGGCUUCUAUCUGUCCAGCUUGACUCUAUAGUAAGGAAUCUGAAAUGAAUAAACAAUGCUAGAGUCAAACUUGGUAAAUAGCAAGAACCCUGGAAUGAAUGCAGUUUGCUCUCUGCAUAAACUUCAGCUAGAAUUAUGUGUUCAUUUCUAAAUAUAAAAAUAACUUGGACAGAGCAUUUUCUGUGUAUUCAGAUAUUCAGGUAUGGCACUAGGAGCAAAAGCACUAGCAGAUAUUCAGCGCAUUACAAGGCAUGAACAACUUCCUAUAGUAUAUAGAAAAUUCAAUUGUCCAACAUUUAGCCUAAUAUAAUUGAAAUGUUCAAUUAACCAUGAUACGCUACUUUUGGAACAGGAAGCUCUAUUUCUUCCACUUUACCUUUUUAUAACAGUUAUUAGGACGGUCAGAAAAUUAAUGUUAAUGGAUCAUAGCCAAAUAUGCAUUAUCUAUCUAUACUAUAAAUAAAGCAUGAAUUGCUUUGAAUAUGCAAGACAGGAAAAACUCACCAUUAGAAUAUCCAUUUGUGUUCACAAUUUCCUUUGCCAUAUCUGCCAUUUCGGAACAUUCAAUCUGUAAAAGUAAGAACAGAUCAAUAUAUUAGUAAAAGAGAACAUACUCAAGAUCAGAAACAACACUAGAACUGGUUCACAUAACUGGUCGACCAAGGUAAUUGCCUCUCAUGUCUGGCAUCCACUUAACAGUCCUUUUUUAAUGGAUCUGUAACCCAAAAUACUGAAGUAAUUAACCAGUAAAGAUUCUACUACUAUGGUUCACUGCUAAGUUAACUAUGCAAAAUAACAGUCUAGUAAUCACGGUGACUACUUCAGUGCUACAAUCUUUUGAUUUUCUUACAAAUUUUGUCUCAAUCAGAAUGCAAUUCAUGGUCUCACCUGCGUGUAUAUAUGGUCGAGCAGCUAGUGUUAGCUUCGAAAGUAACACACCACGAUCUCUUAAUGUCUCUAGUAUAGUGCAUGUCCACCCGGUGCAUAUCACAAUUAAGAAAUAUAUAUUGUUGUUUGGUUUCAUAAGGAGUGGGGGAGAAGAAAAAGAGGCAAAGGGAUACAGUUCCUGGCCUUCAUCAUUGCAGUUCCAUUAUCACAGACAAGAGUGUGUGUAUCCUCAGAGCCAGCCAUCAUAUGAUCUCAUAGAAACUCAAUGAGGGCAGAAGUUAAUAGAUGGCAGAUCCGAAACAACAUUAGAAUAUUGAAGCUAACAAUCAAGCAACAGAUAGCGAAACAACACCUCUGUGACUUGCCAUUAAACUGCAAAACACCUUCAUGUUUCAUUCCCAUCAUGUAAUUUGUGUGGGAAAAACACAUCUUGCAAACUAGAUUACUGUACCUGUGCAUAGCACCUGGAAGAGCUUGCCAUUCGACGCAGCUAGCUUAAGAACUUCCAGUACUACUCUGAAAUGCCCAUGUCCAAGCAUAGUAUAUCCAUCACAAACAAAAUCCUGCCUGAGCUUUGCAGUUGUCUUGCAAGCCUGAAAACGCACCAUACCAAAGCAUCAGUAAACAAGGCAUAAAUUCGAGUACAGAAACUAGAAUGUAAGUUCUGGAUUGGCUGACAACCUUUAAAGAUGUCUAUCCAGAUUUUUCUCCACGCUCAGCUAGGCGUGAUUUUGCUGCAUCAAUCAACCAGGAGCAGCACAUGGUACGCCAUCCGCAUGGAUAAAUCAACACUCCAAGUUUAUCCUUGUAUGGGAAUUAUUAUAUAUUUAAUUAGAACAAACAUUUCAAACUCGUACCACGCUAGAGUUGUUGUCAACACAUUGUCCCCAUUACCAAUCAGUAGAGCAGAGUUUUGCACGAGCAGUACGUAGAGCAGAAGAUGCAUGAGCCGCAGAGGGGAGGCUCGAGCAGUAGAUGGGCAGGCAUGAAGACAAAGGGGAGAGAAGAAACUACCUGGGUAGAGGAGGCAGUGCAUGAGACCAACUAUUAGACAGCAUCAACAUACUCGACACCAUCGACACAAACUGGAUCUUAAACAAAGUUGGUGACCGUAGUGAGCAAUAUCUUUCUGUUAGUUCUUUUCAAGUCCGGUCAUGCGCUGGCUUAUUGGACAUGUACGGCAGUUGAAGGUAAUUGUUAUUCCAAUUUAUUUGGAAAAAAGAACGAAAGGAUUUCCAUCUCGGAACAGAAACAUGUUAGCUUUUUUUUUUUCACAGCCACCUUUUCUGCCCUAUUUGUAGGUACUGCUGUCACAAGCAUCUUUCAAUUUCAUGCUCGCUCAGACAUUAAGUAUUCUGUUGCAUCAGUUUAUUGUUGUUCUUCUUGCAAAAGAGUGAAUGUACUUACGAUGGAAUUCUUUAUUAUUCUUAUUAUUACAGGUACAGCUCCAAUUCGUAUCAAUCAGAAUCCACCUUGUUGGCUGAACAAAGACUACACAAGUACUAUCCAACUGCACUUCAUUUUCCCUGAUUUUUUCUUGCCUGAAACCCCCACAUUGAAAGGUCUAAUUUUCUGUUAUGAUGCGGUUGUUCCUGAAGCUAUCUUACAGCAAAACUGAUUUAUAGACAUCCUCAAACUUUGUUUAUUUAUUCUUCACAGACUAAUCACUACAAUGGCCCGGCAGACCUUGAUACUUACCCUCACAUUCCUCACACUGCUCUGCAUCAUAUUAUCAGUUGCCAUGGGCAUCGAUAACGACUCCACCGACUCUGGUCAGAUCCGCCUAUGUUGUGGAAACCCCAGUCCCAUGGUCGCUGAUGCUAUUAAUCGGGCAUGGUACAGUGACAUGAAUUCCAAGUUUGCGCCAUCAUUACUGGAAAGCUCUGUCGAUGCUUAUGCUUGGUACCCUGACCCUGGACUACCCUCUGCUGCUCCAUACAUAACUGCUCGCAUCUUCACUUCAAAUUACACCUAUUCCUUCCGUGUCAGUUCUGGCCGCAUGUUCUUGCGCCUCUACUUCUUUCCUAUCACGUAUGUCUCCCAAGAUUCCAGUGAGAACUUUACUCCUGAAUAUGCCUACUUUGGUGUCACAGCCUCCAAUCUGACCCUUUUAGAUAACUUCAAUGCCUCCCAAACUGCUCUGGCAACAAAUAGUGGAUUCUUUGUUCUUGAAUACUCUGUAAAUGUUAUUGCCGGCAGGCUAGACCUCACUUUCUCCCCAUCCACACACCAGACUGGCUCUUAUGCAUUCAUCAAUUAUAUUGAAAUCGUGCCCACGCCUGACCUCUUCACAACAACGACACCAACACUAGCAAAUGGUGGAAACCCAAAUCCAUUCCCUAUCGAUCCUGCAACAGGUUUCCAAACAAUGUAUCGGCUUAAUGUUGGGGGCCAGGCCAUCUCACCGCAAGGUGAUAUUGACUUUUACCGCCAAUGGGAUGAUGACAGUCCUUACAUAUAUGAUUCUGGUUUUGGGGUGUCCUUUGGGAAAGACAAAAACCUUUCCAUCACAUAUACACCCAGUGUACCAAAUUACACCGCACCUGUUGGUGUCUAUGAAUCUGCACGGUCAAUGGGGCCAAAUGCACAGGUCAACCUGAACUACAACCUUACAUGGAUUUUACCGGUUGAUGCGGGAUUCUAUUACCUGCUAAGGUUCCAUUUCUGCGAGAUCCAGUAUCCAAAAACUGAGGUCAAUCGGAGGUCAUUCUUCAUCUACAUCAACAACCAGACAGCACAGCAGCAAAUGGAUGUCAUCGCGUGGAGCGGAGGAAUUGGCAGAACAGCAUACAGUGACUAUGCUAUUUUAACAAAUGGUUCCGGUCGGAUGGACUUAUGGGUUGCCCUUCACCCUGAUCUUUCGUCCAGACUAACGUUUCCCGAUGCACUAUUGAAUGGUCUUGAAGUCUUCAAGCUACAGAAUGAUGAACAUAACAGUCUUGCUGGGCUCGAUCCUCCCCUUCCAUCUGCAAGGAACCCGAAUGGUGCUUUACCAACAGCCAUUGGUAAGCCUGGUGGAAGAAACUCAAAAGGUGUUGCACAAGCAGCGGCUGGUGGAGCUGCUGGUGGCUUUGCUAUUCUGUUGUUUGCCUGUUUUGGCAUGUGCAUCAUCUGCAGGUGCAAGAAGAAUGUAGCAAAGGAUUAUGGAAUGACUGGAGUCAAGGGGAACAUGGAACCUCGUCAUAGAAACGUCACACCUGUUCCGGGAACACAGGAACAAUUUCGCCCUUGGCAUGUCACAAACUUUCGCAAGUAUCAUGCCACAUUCCUUGAUACUGUUCCUCAACCCGAUCGACCUGGGGACAUGGUGACUAUGGGAAGGACUAACAACAAGCACUUGAAUCAAAUUGAGUGCAACAAUAUGCCAUCAAAUCUAUGCCGUCACUUCACCGUCAAGGAAAUCCAGGCAGCUACCAAUAACUUUGACGAAACCUGCCUCCUGGGCAAGGGUGGUUUUGGGAAUGUAUACCACGGAAAGUUAGAUGAUAGAGUUAAGGUAGCAAUUAAGCGUGGCAACCCACUAUCUCAGCAGGGUCCCCAUGAGUUCCGAACUGAAAUCGAGACUUUGUCCAUGCUCCGUCACCGCCAUCUUGUAUCUCUUAUUGGAUACUGCAACGAAAAUAAUGAGAUGAUCCUAGUUUAUGAUUACAUGGCGAAUGGUACCCUUCGGGAGCACCUGUACAACACCAAGAAGUCACCUCUGCAUUGGAAGCAACGCCUUGAGAUCUGUAUUGGUACAGCUCGAGGGCUCCAUUAUCUGCACACCGGUGCUAAGCAAACAAUCAUCCAUCGCGAUGUGAAGACUGCCAACAUUCUAUUGGAUGACAAGUUGGUGGCAAAGGUUUCAGACUUUGGGCUAUCAAAGGCCAGUCCAGACAUGGACGACACCCAUGUUAGUACUUUGGUGAAGGGCACCUUCGGAUAUCUUGAUCCUGAGUACUUUCGAAGAAAGCAACUUACCCAAAAAUCUGAUGUAUAUUCUUUUGGGGUCGUGUUAUUUGAGGUUCUGUGUGCACGCCCAGUGAUUAACACUCAGCUCCCGGAGGAGCAAGUGAGCUUGCGUGACUGGGCACUGUCUUGCCUGGAGAAAGAUGUCCUCAGCGAGAUUAUUGACCCUCAUCUCCAAGGGGAAAUAACUCCUGAGUGCUUCAUAAAAUUUGCAGAGAGUGCUGCUCAAUGUGUCGCUGAUCGUAGCAUUGACAGGCCAUCGAUGAGCGAUGUACUUUCGAACCUUGAGGUCGCUCGCCAGCUGCAGGAGAGCUCAAGGGAUAAAAGCAGCGGUGCUGAGGCGAUGGCGUCCCGUGCAAAGACAUGUGUGGAUUCUGCAAAUCCAGCAAAAGACUCAACAAUGAGUGUCGCAGGACAAGAAGUCGUCUUCUCAGAUAUCGCAUAUGCUGAAGGCCGAUAACCGUGAGCUUCAGGUCUAGUUUUUUUAAUUAAUACUCAGGUAUCACUUCUGGUUAGUCUGUAUGGUCCAUAACUGAUUUGGUGAUAUUGUAGAAAUUGCAGAGGACUGAAUGGCAUUAUCUAAUUAACUCAUCAAUGUAUUAGAAAUUUUUCUUAGCAUCUUUGCUUGAAGAAAUCUAAGACGCGUGAAUCAGUGAUAUGCUGCAUACAUACGGAUCCACUUAGGAAUCAUCAAACCCUGUAUGGCUGCUUGUAGAGGCAACAGUCAAUCUUGCGAAUGUUCAAUGUGCAUCCAGGAGCUGAAACAAUGGAACUAACCUAGUUUGUUAAUGAUAUGACCCAUAUGACCAAACCCCCCAGCAUUUGAGUGAUUGUAGCUCUUUCUAUUUCAGAUGUGCUAUAAUCCUUGUGUAGGUUCACUUUGUAGGAACUUGCCAUGCUUGUCCUCAAACAGAGUUGAGGAAGGACCACUGUUCCAUCCCCACCGAAGAUAUACCUAGUGAUUCCAGUUUAAAUUUAUGAGUGGUGCUUUUUAUGUAGAAUCAAGUAUGAGGAAUCCAGUUUUCAUUUCCUUUGUUUGCUUCUGUGAAAGAAGAUGCCAUCUUCUAUUGGUUAUAUGGUCCCGGACAGUAGCACAGUUACAUUAACCUCCACAGUUUAGGCUUAGAGGUUAGAGCCUUUGUUUUAGUUUUUCUUUGUUUUGAAAGACCCCUUUGUUUUAUUGAAUUGUUCACUCCUGUCUCCUGAACACAAACAUACCAAUCUCUCAUGAUGCUCACUUCCUGAGCUGGGCUCAUCAGUAGCAUGGACGUCCGUCACGAGUCGUUUGGUCCUUUUGCAGUUCAGGCCAUCCCACUUGUCUGGAGCAAUCGACAUUCAGAGUUCAGGCCUGUCUCCCUAGGAUACUCCACAAAUAUUUUUUUUAUCGCUAAACAAGCUAUGUGCAUAUCGGAAUCCUACAGAACUAAGUUUUUUUUUACGACCGUGCCUUCUGCCUUGGCACGUUUUCCAUUAAGAGAGAAGAAAUAUUGUUACAUCCUAAGCUAUGUCAUACAGAGGAUGACACAGCUACAAGAAAAGACAACAACUCAACAAGAAGAAAGGAAAAGCAGGUCAAAAACAAUUGGAGACUAUACGGCCAAAAACUAUUGGCGACCUGAUGUUCAUACUUCGUAGUUCGUAUCGUACUAAAUUCGUGUAUAUGGUAACAUUCAAUCGAUACUCAUGUUUUAGUGAAUUCGUUGUUCCACUCUGCUCCCAACAAACUCCCAAGCAGUAAGCGGCGAAGACAAAUGGGCCAUCAAGAGAACGGCCCCGCGUCAGCUGGCGCCGGCCCGCUCGUAGGCAAUGCCUGGCCCGGAGAAGAAAAUCACGAAACGGUGGUUGAACCUGAUCAAUUACAGCGGCCUCCACGCGAGUGCGGCGUUGUACCGUUGAGCACCGGCCGCCGCCACGCGAUGGCCUACUGCGGUCGCCAAGAAGGCGCCCGCGAGCGGCGCCGGCAUUGGCACGGCCACUCAGGGCGAAGUGACGAGUCGAGCUCGAGCACCGAUGCGGGCGGGGUGACUGGAUGGCGCACGCACGCAUGAGUUGGCGUCGUCCGCAUGCUCAGGGAGACUGCGCACAGGCGAAGGUGAGGCCGCGAUCCUUUUUCACGGCGUGUUGCCACCAUGGCGCGCUUUAGCUGUUCGAUGAAAUGCCUGCACAGAGAACCAGUAUCAAAUAUGGAUCCGUAUCCUCUGCCUUUGAGGCCAACGGGGUGCAUUUCCAAACCUUAAUGCAUUCUUUGCUUUGUAGGUGCUGUAUAUGCACCUUUAUUAUUUGCACGUUUUCAAACACGCACUUGCAUAGUUGGCUAGUUGCAUAGCAUUGCACGGUGUCUUUACUUGGCUUGCUUGUACUUGUGUAAUGUAUCUGAUAUGUGUUUAGUACUUUAGUUAUACUUGUUUACCGUUCAAAGCAGAUGAACAUUGACUCGACAGCAACCAAGCACUCGUUUUGCAUAAAUCCAAAAGUCCUUCUGUCCCACUUGCAUACAUUGGACAGUAUCUUCCAAAGGGUCUAGCUGCCAUUCAGUCGAACCCACGACUGAGACUGGGAGGAUGUAAAUUUUGUCUAUGAAUGUGACAUGAGACUUCCAGCAGUCCACACAUACAGUUAUUAACAAUAAAACAUCAAAUCAUCAAUUUGAUGUACUGGAAAUGUAGAUGAUUGUAGGUGAUGUACUUUCCAGGUUUUGCAUUAACAACAGAAGCAUCUCUAGCUCUGAUUGGUUGAGUCACCAAUCGCCAACCAAACACUUAGUCUCGGUGUAACCCCAGAUCAUCAGGAUUCAUGACUUGGGAGUCCAGGCCAUCUCAAAAAGAAAAGUCCAACUUGUAAACCAAAUUUAAAUUUGAAAGAAAAAACAUUGUAGUCAUAGUUGAUUUGGAACCAUAGAUGAUGAUUGCCUAAUGUUCAAUUAGCAUGCCCACUGCAGCCUUUCAGUUCCAACUAGAAGCAUCUCUACUUCUGAUUUGCAGUUUUUCAUGUUAUAUUGAGCAAAUUAUGCAAAGGCAACACACCAGAUUGCCAAAACAAAAAGGUAAAAGGAGAAGAAUCUAUGCAGCCUUUUUUAGAAAAUUGAGAAAGUAGUAUAUCCACCUAAUUUUGCAUUAGAUUAUUCUUUCUGGCUUGGAAAAUUGAAGUACUAAAAUUGAAUCCCUCAAAUCAAAAUAUGAAAAUUAAUAAAACAACAGGGGCUUGUUUGUUGGCAAUGGCCAAGGUAAGCUCCCUGAGCUUACUCCCUCACACACACACACUCAGGCCAGAGGUAGAAGAAGGUGAGAAAGAGCACAGCACACACACAACUCUCUGUUGCUGCUGAACUGCGUGAGCUGCAGGCCUGCAGCUGCUCAUCCACUCUUUAUAGAGCACAAAGUCAAAAAAGAGUACACAAACCUAUGAGUGUAUCUACCAACUACUAGUACUAUAUACAUGACAGGGCUUACUGCCCACUACUCACGGCACUGCUGCCUUACACGGCAGACAGUGGCCAUUCAGGCCAUUCAGCCGGCCAAGGAGCUCUACCUGCUCCCCUUUGCAAAAGGAAGAGAGAAGCAAUGAGCUGAGCAAUUAACUAACAUUGUUCAUAAAAAUUUAGCAUCCGAUUCUUCUGCAAAGCUCCACCCCCUCAUCUCUUUACCUUCCAAAUUUUUUGACAACAGCUGCUCAGUCACCUAUCCUGCAGGAUAGCACACCUUCCUCAUCAGGUAACUUUAAGUUGUUAGCUUGUUUAUUGUAUCGUUUCCAGCUUCAGUUUUUAGCUCAUUUUGUAUUCUUUUGGCUCCUAGAUACACAGAAGCUCCUUAUUUCCUCAUCAGAUGUUGUAGUCUUUGAUUAACAUGCUUAUAUCUCAACUUUUAGCUUUUACUCGAUGUUUCUGUUUUAUUCUGUGAUUCAGGCAGUGUGAAGAUCUUUGUUGUUACUUCUUCACCAUGUGUACUGUCUAAGACCAUAAAUUUAAUCAUGAAUGUCUUUUUAUAAGCACAUGAUUUUUCUUAGGCCUAAUUUUGACUGAAUAGCUCAAAAGUCAGAAGACAUCUUCCAAAACAUUUGGGGCUGUUUGCUUCGGACCUGGCAGGCAGCUCUGUAGCCAGGCAGCGAUCUCCACCCCAGGCCGAUGAAAUCAGACGCCUGGGGAAGCUGCCUGCGCCAGGCAGCUUUGCCAGGACACCAAGCACUUACUAUUGUGCACCUAAUUCUACAAGAUGCAAUCCUUAUAUUUUUGGCUCCCAUAUUAUUGUGCUUGCUACAAUCAACUCAUGCAGAGGCCGAAAAAAACACUAAUCCUUUUCUAAGGAAAAAUUCAACUCUACUGGCUCCGACCAAUGUUUGUCGAAAGCCUUGACCUUACCUUUGAUCCAUCACCCGAAGGCUCCUAUACAUUUGAAAAUGGUACCAAAUCGUGCCGAUGACUGGCGUAUUCACAAAACCAGUUCUAAAACUUGCCAUUUGCCAAUAACAGAAAGGCCUUUUCCAGUAACCCUCUUCAGGUAACACCUCAAUGUAGGGUCCCACACGUUUCCACAAAAGAUGAUUUAGGGAGUGUUUGGAUACCAGGUGCUAAACUUUAGCCGUGUCACAUCGGAUGUUUGGAUGCUAAUUAGGAGGAUUAAACAUGAGCUAAUUAUAAAACUAAUUGCAGCCCCUAGGCUAAUUCACGAGACGAAUCUAUUAAAGCUAAUUAAUCCAUCAUUAGCAAAUGGUUACUGUAGCACCACAUUGUCAAAUCAUGGACUAAUUAGGCUUAAUAGAUUCGUCUCGCGAAUUAGACUCUAUCUGUGCAAUUAGUUUUGUAAUUAGCCUAUGUUAAUACUCCUAAUUAGUAUCCAAACAUCCGAUGUGACAGGUGCUAAGCUUUAGCACGUGGGAGCCAAACAGGCCCUUAUUCAACCUCUUUCACCUUGUUGGACAAUGUUUUUUUAGAUAAUGAAGAAGUCCAUUUGAUACUCCAAUUACCACAAGAGUUCGUAUUCAACUCCAGUACCAGACAGCAUUAGCCGCUGAACUUUGGAAACUGGACAAAGACCUCCCUCAUCCAAUAGAACCAGGUUUUGGUGCUGAGUUGGCAAAAGUCUCGGUAUCUGGCUGCUGACAUGGCAUAUUCAUGGCAAUGGGGACCACCUUUCACCCUUCACUUCAUCUCUUCCUCUUUUUCGAGAAUACGUAGGAGAGCUGCGUAUCUUUGUAUUAAGAAGAAGAGUAAUAAAAAGUUUUACAACGCUAGCCAACCGGGCACACGCACAUGGUUUGAUUACUUAGAGUUCUAUUACAUAGGAACUGAAUCAACUAGAGAUACUUCUGAUGAAGGCCAAGAAACUAAGAGGAUCCUAAACCUCCUACUCCUUGUACUGCAGCCGGCCAUCCCAAGGAAACCAUAUGCUUAGCGCCAGCUUCGAUCCAUACUUGAGCCUCUUCGAGGAUCCCAUAUGUCAAUUGUGCCGCAGUUUUUGUUUGAUUUCUGCUAAAUACUCUGUCGUUCCUUUCUUUCCAAAGUUUCCAGGAGAUCAACAUGAAUGUGGAGUCCAAUCCUUUCUUCUUGGAUUUGUUCAUUCCCAGCCUCUUUUGCAGCCACCAUUCUAUUGCUGUCAGUCCAGGACUAGGAGCUGGGCAUUGCAGGCUCAGCAUUCUGCUGACUGUGUGCCACAUCUCCUGGGUAUAGCAACAUGUAGCGAAUAAGUGGUCAGCUGUCUCCAAUUCCUGAUCGCAAAGUGCGCAUGCUGUGUUGUCCUGCAGCCCGUGCCUGUGUCUCCUAUCUGCAGUCCACAACCUAUCUCUGACGGCCAGCCCCAUGAAGAAUUUCACCUUCAGCGGCGCCCAAGUCUUCCAGAUAGCAGCAGCUGCAGGAAAAUGCGUCACUCCUUGGAAUAAGAACUGGUAUGCAGACUUUGCUGAGUAUGUGCCCGACGGGUCCCAUUUCCAGGAGAUGAUGUCUUCAGUUCCAGGCUGAAGUUGAAUCUCAUGCAUUGUGUGCCACAGCUGCACAUACUGAGAUAAAGCGUUAACUGUUAGUCAUCCGACAAUAUCUCCCUGUUUGCUCGUGUGUUCUGUGUGCUCCCUCCACCACAGCGUUGUUCUAGGCAGGGCCAGUGUGAUGUUGGCUAGGAUGCCUGCAACAACCCCACACCAUCCGCCAUUUUUCUGCUCAACACCACCACACGUCCACACAGCAGCAGCAAGAAGAAGAAGGCAAGUGCUACUUACCGAGUUACCAUAUCUUACCUUGUUACACUCUGCAGCCUUGUCAUGCUCCCUUGCUCCCCACUUCCUCAGUUCCCACAUUCAUCACCUACAACCAUGACAUGAGUGCUGGAACGGUGGAUCGUUUCCACCAGAGCCUGCAGCCUCAUGAUUCAUGAAGUAGCCAGUGCCCACAAAGGCCCUACGGGUGGAAGCCCAGUGAUGCAGCUGGUUUAAGGUCAAUAAAAGAGGAGCAUGGCAUUGGACAAGCCAAGACAAAUAUGAGGAUGGUUGUGGCACAGCCAGAGAGACUCACUAAUAGUUAGCCGGAAAAGGGCCAACUUUGGAGGACUGAAUCCGUUGUAGUCAAAUUUCAUGAUCGCUCUUAAUUAUUAUUUUGCAUCCUUUUAUCGUUGUUCUUUCUUUUUUGCGAAUAAUAUCGUUGUUCUUCUUGCAAAAGAACUAGUAUGCUUAAGUUGAAAUCUUUAUUCUCAUUGCAGGUUUUUAACGACCUGAAUCUGCCUUGUUGACUGAAAAAAUACUAGAAAAGUUCUAUCCCAACUGCCCUUCAUUUCCAUGGUUCUUUCUUGCUCAAAACCGCAGAUGAAAAGGUCUAAUUUUCUAGUAUGCUGCAGUUUUUCAUAGAGCUAUCUUACAGCAAGAUGUAAAGAGAUCUUCAAACUUACUGUAUUCUUGAGACACCAACCACUACAAUGGCAUACCAGACCUUGCUAGUUACCCUCACAUGCCUAACAUUGCUAUGUAUCUUGUCAAUGGCCAUGGCAACUGAUAAAAACUCCACUGGAUCCGGCCAGAUCCGUCUAAAUUGUGGAGCCUCCAAUCCAACAAGUCCUGGUGCUGAAGGACAGACUUGGGACAGUGACACCGGUUCCAAGUUUGCGCCAUCACUGGAAGGCACUGCUGCCACUGCUUCUCACCAAGACCCUGCACUAACUUCCACUACGCCCUACAUGACUGCUAGCAUCUUCACUUCGAAUUACACUUAUUCCUUUCCUGUUGGUCCAGGCCGCACGUUUGUACGCCUCUACUUCUAUCCUAGCACUUAUGGCAACUAUUCUCCUUCAAAUGCCUACUUUGGUGUCACGGCAAGCAAUCUGGUCCUUUUAGACAACUUCAAUGCUUCCCAAACUGCUUUGGCAGCUAAUGUUGCCAGCUUCUUUCGUGAAUACUCUGUAAAUGUUACUUCAAGCAACCUACACCUUACGUUCAGCCCAUCUGCACACUAUAAUGGCUCUUAUGCAUUUGUGAAUGGGAUUGAAAUCGUGCCCACACCUGACCUCUUCACGACACCAACACCAACACUAGCAAAUGGUGGAAACCCAAAUCCAUUCCCCAUUGAUCCUGCAACAGGUUUCCAAACAAUGUACCGGCUUAAUGUGGGUGGUCAGGCCAUCUCUCCACAAGGUGAUGUUGACUUUUACCGCCAAUGGGAUGAUGACAGUCCUUACAUAUAUGGUUCUGGUUUUGGGGUGUCCUAUGGGAAAGACAAAAACCUUUCCAUCACAUAUACACCCAGUGUACCAAAUUACACCGCACCUGUUGGUGUCUAUGAAUCUGCACGGUCAAUGGGGCCAAAUGCACAGGUCAACCUGAACUACAACCUUACAUGGAUUUUACCGGUUGAUGCGGGAUUCUAUUACCUGCUAAGGUUCCAUUUCUGCGAGAUCCAGUAUCCAAAAACUGAGGUCAAUCGGAGGUCAUUCUUCAUCUACAUCAACAACCAGACAGCACAGCAGCAAAUGGAUGUCAUGGCAUGGAGCGGAGGAAUUGGCAGAACAGCAUACACAGACUACGUUAUCAUCACAACUGGUUCCGGUCAGAUGGACUUAUGGGUUGCCCUUCACCCUGAUCUUUCGUCAGGACCAGGGUACUCUAUGAUGCAAUAUUGAAUGGUCUCGAGAUCUUCAAGAUACAGAAUUACGGAAAUAACAGUCUUAAUGGGCUCAACCCUCCUCUUCCAUCUGUUGAACCUGAUGGGAAGCCUGGUGGAAGAAACUCAAAGGUUGCUGUACAAGCAGCCAUUGGUGGAGCUGUUGGUGGCU